AAAAAGAGAGAAGCCACUUUAUACAAAUCGGAGAAUAAGAUUUUUCUCUCUAUUGUUGAGAGAAAAAUUUUCUCGUGCUAGUUGCUUUGGUAGUGAUAAAGGCGCCCACACGUCAAGUGCAGAUCAAACCUGAGUCAUAACCUGGAAGAUCAUUGGUGACAGUUCGUGAUCUAACAAGCGUGGUGGUGACGGAUCGUGAUCUAACAGGAGUGGUGGUGGCGGAUCGUGAUCUAGGAGCCUAAAUCACUUCAGCGGAAAAAGCCAACUCGGAUUUUCAAGGUACGAUUUCUAAAAUACAAAUUCUUAUAUAUUAUAUGAGAGCGAUCUUCAACAGGUUUUAUAAAAAUUUAAAAACCUGAUUUUUCCCCAACAACAACAUCUCCCGUCAUCCCAUUCCCACCAUUCGAUUGUCUACUGUUUAGUUUCUCACUCCACAUCCAACGGCUGAUGCUGCAGUCUGUAGCUUACAAAUUCUGUAAGCUAGUCAAGUCUAAUUGUUGAGUGCCCUGUGCCCAUGCUGUGAAAGUGAAAUUGACUAGUCACCUAGUCCUAUCAACUUUAUUAUUUUUUUUUUGAAAGACAUAUCAACUUUAUUGUUAAUUCAAUUAAUUCAUAAUUUUUUUUAUUCAAUUAAUUCAGAUUUUUUUUUGUCCGUUGGGUGAGUAAUGAAAAUAUGAAAUUAAUUUAAAAUUUUUUUGUCAUUAAAAAUCAUAAAACAUUAAUUGAUAAUCAGAGCCCGACUGCUUAUACGGUAAAAUUGAGUAGUCAUAUCAAUUUUACUGUUAAUUCCAAAAAAAAUUUGUCCGUUGGGUGAGUAAUUCAAUUAAUUCAGAAUUUUUUUUAUCCGUUGAGUGAGUAAUAAAAUUAAUUUAGAAUUUUUUUAUUAUUUAAUAAUUAGAAAAAAGUAAUUUCUAGGUGCACCGUUUUUAUUUAUUUUUUAAAAUAAUUUUAGUCAUUCAUUUUUUUUUUCAAAACAACUUAUUAAAUUAAAAAAAUUAUGGUUCAUUGUUACAAGAGAAUCACGUAACUAUCACAAUGUUAAUAAAUCCUAUCACAAGUGUGUUGAUGAGAUAAUAUUAUAGUAGUAUUUUAUUUCUUUGAAUUUAAAUUCUCAACUCAAAUUUUCAACACGGUAGUUGACUUGUCAUAUAGUGCACAUGAAAACGUGCAGAUUGCAGAUUUUUAAAUAAUUUAAGAUUUUUUUUCCACAUGCCAACCAAGCACUUGCCGCACGGCUAUAUUUAUAUUUCACUAAAUAUUUUUUUACUUACUCUUUUUACUCCCACCGACAAAGUAAAUAAAAUCAAUUUUUGUCUUUUUAUUACUAUCUAAUAUUAUAUAUACACGCCAUUAUGCUAUGAUGCUUCACAAUUCUUAUUCUUCUUUUUUUUCCUCAAACUUUCCAAUAUUCUAAAAGCCAAAAUCAUUAUGAAUCCGCAGCAACAUAAUAUGAAUGCAGAAAAACCUCAACACCCUCAAGAAUACGGUGUUGAUGUAGUUGGACCUCAACAAAAUGCUAGGCCAAAUUAGCCCAGAAGUCGUUUUUUCAAUGAGCUUUUUCAAAAUUUUACUACAAUAAGGGAGGAAAUAAUAGAUAAUAGUUUACAUCGUCCUUAGAAGCGGAUGAUCUUGAGGUGCAACUAUUGUCAUCGAGAAGUUAUUUAUUCAAACAGCCAUGGCACCUUGGGUUUACGUCGGCACGUGCCAAAUUGUUUAGCUCGCCACCAGCCAAGAUAGAAUUAACCUUGCUCGUUUCCCGUAUCCAUAGUUGUGAUUAAUGAAUGUUUUUUUCGUGCUUGUUAUUCGUCAAUUGAUCGUAGUUCGUGUUUUGUAGUUGUAACUUGUAAGUUGUGACCUAUGAUUUGUUAUAUUAAUAUUUCGUAGUUAUGACUUAUUGUAAUGAUUAUUCGAGGAUUGUAUUUUUAAUUUUAAUUAAUUAUUAUUAUGAUCUAUGGAAUUAAAUUUAAUUAAAUUUAUGUAUUGUUGUGUUAUGAAUUAUGAUUGAUUAUUGUGAAAUAAAAUAUAUAGUUGUGAAAUUGUGAUAAACUAAUAAUAAAAUCUUAAUUGCUCUCUUAAUAAAAAUUAAUAUGAUUAUGAUUGUGAAUAUUAUUUUUAUUAUUAUUAUUAUUAUGAUGUUGGUGGGCUUAAAAAAGCACGUCAGGCACGUGGGCUUGAAUAAAGCACGCUAGGCACGUGGACUUUUUUAAGCACGCUAAAAAAAAAGUUGGUGGGUUUUUUUUGGGCACGGCACGAGCGGGCUCGUGUCGUGGGCCGUGCUGGGCUGAACUGAUAAAAAGGUAGGCACGGCACGGCCCACGACACGAGCCCGCACGGCACGGCCCAUUGGCCAUAGUUAUCCGUGAGUUCUAUGGAGGAGGAUCGGGCGGACAUAUUGGUUGAGAUAAAACCAAGACGCUUGUGAACGAGCAAUAUUAUUGGCCACAAUUGAAUAAGGAUGUUGAAAGAUCGUGCAAAGGUGUCGAAUUUGCUAAGAUGGCAAGGGACAUGUACAGAACACGGGAUUAUACAUGCCAUUGCUUAUUAUGAAAGAUAUUUGGUUGGAUUUGACCAUGGAUUUUAUAUUGGGGUUAAUGUGUUCAAGGACUAGUCGAGAUUCUAUAUUGGUUGUGAUCGAUAGGUUUAAGAAGAUAGAGCAUUUUUUUGCUUGUAAGAGGACCGAAGAUGAUGCUUUAGUUACCCAUUUAUUCUUUCAGGAGGUAGUGUAUUUGCAUGGUGUUCAAAAGACUAUAAUUUCUAACAAGGAGGUGAAAUCCAUUAUCAAGUUUUGGCGUCAUCUCUGGGAUAAUUUCGGCAUACAGUUGCAAUUUAGCAGUGCUUUUCAUCCGCAGAUAAACAGUUAAACAAAGGUGAUCAAUUACACUUUGGGCAAUACAUUGCACUGUGCUUAUGGUGACAAGCAAUGGAACUGGAAAGUUGCCUUGCCUCAAGUCAAGUUUCUUUACAACAGUAAGGUGAAUCGAUCUAUUGGCAAGAUCCCUUUUGAGAUUGUCUACUCUUGUUUCCUAUGCCAUGUUUGUGAUCUGGCUGUUAUGCCACCAGUAACUGGAGAAAAAAGCAAAGCAACGGAUAAUGAGUUAGAGAAGGCUCUGCAGAUUCAUGUCAAAGUACAAGCUCAGUUGGAGCUUGCCAUUACUAAAUACAAGGCUGAUGCAGACAAGCAUCGACGCAAGAAGGUAUUUUAGAAAGGUGAUUUAGUGAUGGCUCAUCUGCGGCGAAGUCAUUUUCUUGGUAUUCAUGCAAAGUUGGAGAAGUGGAAGUAUGAUCCAUUUCGUGUGGCACGGAAGAUUAAUCACAAUGCUUAUGUUCUUCAGCUAUAGACAACUGGAAUAUCUCUUACACAUUUAAUGUGGCUGACCUAUUUGAAUAUUAUCCAAAUAAUGAGGCUUGUACGGGCCAAAUUUAAGGACGAGCUCUUUUUCAAAUUGUGGGGACCUAAUAUAGCAUAGUUAUGUAAGAAGAGUAGGGUACCUUCCGAAAAGCAUAACUUGAACUACAAAUGUUCAUUUUAAGCAUAUAAUGUACUCUUUCGAAACUUGUGGUCGAGAUGAAUGCUUGUAUUGUUCUACCAUGUGGUCAAGUCAAAUAUUUUGAUUCUUUCCUAAUCAUUUUUUAGUUUUUCGAUUUUUCCUAUUUCUUAAGGAUUUUUAUCCUUUUUUUUUCUAAAUAUCAUACUUUGUGCAGUUUGUUUCAAAUUUUUUAUUUAGAUUAAGAGAAUUUUAUUAUGAAAUAAUAUUUUAAAUUUGCCUGCUAUAGUAAAUUCACGAUAUUUACAGUUAUUAUAUAAAGGGGCCCAAAACCUUAGCUUUGUUAAUUCAAAUAAAACUUCAUUAUUUAAAAACUUUUGUUUGUCUAUCUUUCAACCUCUGCAUCGUUAAAGACCACAGGAAGUGGCCAAGUAUUUAAAAAGAGAGAUAGAGGUUAAAAAUUAAUUUGGAAUUUAAAAAAAAGUGAGAUAUUUAUCUAUUAGGUUUGGUAAGCACUCACCCCAACUCUAUAUUAGUAAUAUAAGUACAACAUGCAUGAAUGAUUAAAUUCAAGCUUAUUUGUUGUUUGAAAUUUGGUUAAGUAAUCAUCAUUAUUAUUGAUUAAUUAUACAAGAUCCAUCAUUGUUUAUAGAACUAAACUAGUCGUUGCUUCAUUCCUUGCCAACAAUGAUACAAAUUCCACACAAAAUUAUCCAAAACUAAUAGGACAAUUCACAUUAUAUCAACCCGCUCCAAGCAUAUUGCGACUGAUCUUUUAUCAACAACAGAUUUUCAUAUAUAAUUUAUUAUUGUAUAUGGGUGGUAAAAUUUGGACCAUAUAAUUAGAGUGUGACAUGUGUACAAUAGUCUUUAGGUUUGAUAUACCCUUCCAAAGUGUGAAGAGGAAAUUGAAAGGGUAAGGCAAAAUAAGAAAUUAAAAAAAAAAGAGCACGAGCCACCCUAAACCUAGAAAAGUACAGAAAAUGUUUCCGAAGUAACUUAAGUUUGCCACAUGUGAAUAAAGGACUACUGUGACAGUGAUAGCUUCUUCACCAAAAUCGCUACACGUGAGCAUGAUAUGGUCUGCACUGGUACCAUCAUAAAAUAUCUAUUUAAAAGUCAUAUGCACCAAAAGUGAGAAAGGGAACCGACUCAGCUAUUAUCUUGGCCAACCUUAAUAAAAUCAAUAGCUUUUUCAACCCAAUUGGCUCAUUUGAAAUAGCCAAUCAAAUAUUAGGAUAUGUUGUCACUGGGACAGUUCACUGUUGACACGUGUCGAGUGCUAAAGAUGCUAAAGGGCUCAAGUUAAAUAGUCAAAUUACUCAACAACCCCUACCUAAGAAGGGGAACAGGUUAUUACAACUUACCUUAUGUCCAACAAGAUGCUAAUAUGUCCUUAUGUGCGCCCCCUAUAAAAGGUUAAGUUACUCUCAACAAGUCAAGUUAAGUUCCUUUCCCUGAACUCUCAAAUUUUCACUUAUUUUAGGGUUUUUUUUAUACUCAUCCUCUUGCCAACACUUACUUGAUUAGACUGUUAAAGUAAUGUUGCCUGCCAUCACUGGCGUCACCUCUCACAGUCAUUUUCUCUUACUUUCAGAGCUGUCUCAUUAUUAUUCAUCCUAGAAAACUAUUCUCAGGUGAAUCAAUCUUUUUUUUUAAAUGAAAGUAUUACUUUCAAUCAUUCAACUCUGUGAAUAGAUACAAAAGAUGGGUUGGAAUAUUAUCCUCCCAAAUUACACAAUCAGUGUAGUUUAAAGCUAGCUUAGCAAGUGUGUGAGCAAAACCAUUACAAGUUCUUGGUGAGUGCUGUAACUUGACAUGCUUUAGCCUUUUCAUCGUCUCUUGAACCUCAGAAACAAUCCAAAAAAUCUCAGCUUUUGUGCUUUUUCUAGCUGAAACUAAAUCUAAUACUUCUUUUGAAUCUGUCUCAAUAAUCAAGGGUAGACACCCUGCAAUUUCAGCUACUUCCAGCCCGAAUCUUGUUGCUUCGGCUUCUGCAUAAUCCAUUCUAUCAAGCCAUUUUGAUGGCUUUAUGGCUGCUGUGAUGAGUUUGCCCUCUGAGUUUCUAAUUACGAUGCCCAACCCCACUCUCUGAUUAUCUAUCUUUACAGCUGCAUCAACAUUUACCUUGAACCAACCUGUAGGAGGGCAAUUCCAAUGCUCUUGGGAUGCCAAAUUUUGAUAUGAAAUUGCUUGCAAUUGUGGCAUUUGGAUUCUUUUAUAGGACUGAACUAUUGCUUCAGCUCCAGCUACUGAUAGUUGGGAAUCUUCCUUUUUGUUCUUGAAAAUAAAAAGAUUUCUUGAGUGUCAUAUACUCCAACACAACGCAACUAUCAGCUCCAUUUCAGUCUUGCUUCUUCGAUCAGCCAAGGCCAGCAACAAGCUUAGGACAUCCUUACACUUCAGGGCUUUCACUUCCUCUUCAAAGGUUGUGAGCUUCUAAAUUUUUCGCGAGGGUUUACAGUCAAACAACGUGUGGAAAAUCGUCUCUCCAUAACUCCUGCAUCUCUGACACCAGGGGGUUUGUAAAAUCUUUCUCUUCCAUAAAUUCUCUAAUGUGGGCAGCAAAUCAUUUGUUGCCCUCCAUAUAAAAAUCUUCACUUUCUCCGGAAUUUGCAGAUACCAAAUUGAGCUCCAUGAACUUUUGCCUUCCUUUGAGCUGCUAGGCCUGUUUGGGAACUUCAUUUGUAGAGCUAGUUGAUAACCACUCUUGACUGAGUAAUUACCCUUCUUGUCAUAAUGCCACAAAACUUGGUCUAGACUUGGUUGUCUUGGCAGAGGGAUUUUUAGAAUUUGUGCAGCAUCUUCUUGAUGGAAAUGUUUUCUUAUUGCAUCAUCUCUCCAGCAGUGAUCUUCAUCAAUCAAAACUGACACAGUUGUGUCCAGGGGAAGGCUUGGAGGCGAUAUUGGUUUGAACGUGUCUGGUCUUGGUAACCAGCCACUUUGGUACACUUUCACCAGCUUUCCAUCUCUAAUUCUCCAUCUAAGGCCCUUAUGAAUAACCUCUCUUCCCCACAAUAUGCUCCUCCAUAUAUAAGAGGGGUUUGAACCAACUUGUGCUUCCAUAAAACCUGAAUGCCUAAAAUAUUUUUCCUUCAUCACCCUAGCUAAAAGCGAUUCUGGUGCUUGGAUGAUCCUCCAGCUCUGCUUUGCUACUAGUGCUUGGUUGAAACUGGACAAAUCUCAGAAGCCCAAAUCCCCUAUCUUUUUUGCUUGACACAUUCUUUCCCACUUGGACCAGUGAAUAGAUCUUUUCUCUUUUUUUUUCCCCCACCAAAAACCAGCAAUGGCCUUCUGCAUAUCCUCACAAAGCCCUAAGGGGAGCUUAAAAACGCUCAUGGCAUAGGCAGGCACUGCUUGAGCUAGUGCAUUUAUAAGAAUCUCCUUCCCUCCACUUGAGCAAAAAUUUGUUUGCCAAUUGGUGAUUUUGUUUAUAAUUCUCAGUUUGAUUUCGUUGAAAAAGCUGGUUUUUUUCCUCCCCACCAUUGAGGGUAGUCCUAGAUACUUUUCAUGUCUUGAGACCACCUGAAGUUGAAAAAUAUCCUUAAUAGUCGCUAUCUGCCCUUGCUUGGCAUUGUCACUGAAGAACAUGGAAGACUUUUCAAAAUUGAAGAUUUUCCCUGAGGCAGCAGCAUAGCAAUCAAAAAGCUGCUUUAGAUUCAAACAAUCUUCCUUAGUGGCUCUUGUGAAAACCAAGCUAUCAUCUGCAAAAAGAAUGUGAGUAAUAGACAAGUUCCUGCUGAAUUGUAAGCCAUGAAUAAGCUGAUUUGCUUCAGCUUGGUGCAGAAGAUUUGUGAAAGCACAGAUGAUGAACAAAUAUGAGAGAGGGCAUCCUUGUCUUAAGCCUCUUUUAAGCUGGAUAAGGCUUUUUGCUACCCCAUUGAUUAGCACAGAGAAGGAUGUUGUAGAUAUGCAUCUCAUGACCAGCUCUACCCAUUUGUGAGAAAAGCCCAACAUUCCCAAAGUGCAUCUUAAAAAUUCCCACUCCACCCUAUCAUAUGCUUUGCUAAUGUCUAAUUUCAAAGCCACUAGACCAUUCUUUUUAUUCUUGCUAUGCCUAAUCUUAUGAAGACACUCAUACCCAACAAUUAUAUUAUCGGUUAUGAGCCUAUUUGGUACAAAGGCACUCUGAGUUGGUAAAAUUACAGACUCUAGGAUUAACUUCAGCCUAUUCGCUAUAGUUUUUGCAAUGAUCCUAUAGAUAACAUUACAUAGACUGAUCGGUCUAUACUCCAUCACUGUCCUAGGCUUUGCAAUUUUGAGGAUUAAGCAAAUGAAAGUAUGGUUCAGAGGAGCUAUAUUACCUCCCUCAUUGAGGAUGUGCAGGCAUGUGGCUAUCACUCCUUCGCUGACUGAUGCCCAAUGCUUCUGGAAAAAAGCCGUUGGGAGGCCAUCUGGGCCAGGGGCUUUCGUCGGAUGCAUCUGACUCAGGGCCUCUAGAAUAUCUGCUUCUGUGAAAGGCUGGUCCAAAUGGGAAUUCAUUUCUGCUGAAACUUUGCGAGGCAUGUUUCUGAGGGCUAGCUCCAGGUGCUGUUGGGAGGGAUUUGUUGAUGUGAAGAGAUUAUGGUAAUAUUCGCAAAACAUUCUCUCGAUAUCCUCUGCUUUCUCAGACCAUCUGUUAUUUUCAUCAACAAUUCCACUGAUCCAAUUUUUCCUUUUCCGAGCUGAAGCUUUGGAAUGGAAAAACUUGGUGUUUUUAUCCCCUUCUUGCAGCCAUACAGCUCUAGACCUCUGUCUCCAAUAGAUCUCUUCAUCUAUGAGCAAAUCAUCUAUUUGUCUUUCCAAGAGCUUUACUUGAUCGCCACUGCUAUGAUGAUUGUUGUUGUCCUUAUAGGUUUUCAAUUCAGCCAACAACUUCUUUAGCGUCUUCUCUCUCCCUCCAAAAGCUUGUUUACUCCAGAGUUUCAAUUCAGCCAAAGACUCAUUCGCUGCCUUUUUAAAAACAGUAACAUGGUCUGUAUCUUUCCACAUUCUCUUGUACUGCCAUUCAGUAAACACAAUUUCUUUACAUUUCUCAUAGGGACUUUACAUGUCUUCAUAGUGAGUUCUUUGGAAAACUCGUUUACUGGACUUUGUAUUUUUUCCUUUCUCUUCUACCGAAAACAAAAUUGGGUUAUGAUCAGAAGUCCAAGUCUCCAAAGUCUCAGCAGCUGGUUCCUGAAAAAGACUUCCCCAAAUCUUACAGCAAAAGAACCUAUCUAAUCUUUCCUCGACCAAGUGAGUUCAAAAUCUCCUGUUUGACCAAGUAAAAGGUCGGCCUUUGCACCCUAAAUCUAUCAACCCACAGAAUUUUACUGCUUCUCUAAACUCAUUUACAGCAAGCACACUCCUAUCUUUCUUUCCAAUCUUCUCCUUCAGGUGUAAUAUCUCAUUAAAAUCUCCAAAACAAAGCCACGGCAGGGAGGAAAGACCAGCUAACCUUCGCAUCAACGUCCAAGUAUGUUGUUUUUGAUCUGAUUCAGGGUGCCCAUAGAUUCCUGUACAUCUCCAGUAGCUACCAUUUUCAACAUGAACCACUGCAUCUAUAUAGUGUCUACUGUAAGAUUUAAUAUCCACCACAACCUCCGAAAUUCAUAACAAAGCCAGCCCACCACUCAAACCAUUUCUACUAACAGCUAAACAAUUCUCAAAUUUUAAAGCUUUACCUUUAUCUUGCAUUUGCCUAGACAGCAGCUUCAUUUCACAGAGAAACAUAAUCUGUGGCUUGUGCAACUGGAGAAUUUUUUGAGCUUCACGGAAUGCUCGGUCAUUCCCCAUCCCCCGAGCAUUCCAGGAUACAAUCCUCAUGGCUGUUGGCGAGGCUGGCACCCAGCCUCCGCCGUUAAUUCCUCUGUGUUUGUGACUGUCAUCUCCACUUAUCUUGUUUGCUGCAUUUCCAGUUCCCACUUACCCUUUGCUUCUGGCGCGCAGCUUUCGGUUUGAAACUCACCGCUUUGUCUUUUUCUUUUUGAAUCUGGGCUGCCCCCGUUAAAAUCUCCAUUAAACCUUUUAAGGCUCUUUACUCUCUCAACAUCCACUGGAGUUCGCUCAAUAGCUCUUGCUUGCAGCUUCCAUUUACGUUUUUUAAUUUUUUUCUGUGUUGCGUAAGUUCUAGCAGUUUCUCCCAGGCCUGAUUCAACAUAAGCUUCGUUUGGGCUUUUCCUAACUUGGGCUUGGCUUUCUUGAGAGUACUGAAGCUCUUUUUCUUUUUCUUUUUCAUUUUUAUUUGGCUCAUUUCCACCUCUCAAUUCCCGCUCAUUUGCAUUUUUUAUUCCUGCUACACUACCCCAGGCUUCUGUUUCAGGUUCAGAAGCAGCUGGGCACACCAGCUUUUGGCCACUUUUUUCUGACAAUUUUGAGAAAACCGCCCCAUCACCCUUUGGACUACCUACAUCUGAAUCGGGUUGAUGUCGGGUUGACCCGCCUUUACUUUCUUCUUCACUAAUUUUGUUCACCAGUUGCAGCUUCCUCACUACAUUUUCCUGAGCUUUUGGCUGGGGCUGUACAUUACGCCUUUGAUUAUCAUCAUCCAUCUUCCAUCGUUCUUUCCCUUUAUUCAGCUUUAGUUUUUCUGCAUUUGUAAGUGCUUUCAACCGUGGUCCAUAUGCCAUCUCAUCUCUAGUUUGACCUUUAUACUGGUUACACUCUCUAAAUUGAUGCCCAACACAGCCACAAACAAAGCAAAAAUCCGGCAGUUUUUCGUAUAGGACCGGCAUAAAGAUUUCUUUCUUUUUUUCAUCCCCUUUUUUGGCCUCACAACUUUCUUUUUCCAUGUCUCCAAUCUCGACUACUUUUUCAUCCUCCUCUGGUUCCAAGCUUAAAAUCUUUACUAGGGGUUUUGUUACAUCAACCGAGACUCUUAGCCUUGCAUACUUGCGUAUGCACUCUCCUUCGGCAUUGGUACCCACUUCCUCCACCUUUCCAAUUUCUUUCCCAAAUUCUCUUAUUGUUUCCUCAUUCAUACACAUAAUGGGAAUAUUAUGUAUUUGAACCCAAAAAGAUGCAUGAGAAAAGGACUGCUUUGUUACCUCUCCCAGGCUAGUUGGUUCAAUCAAAACCAUUAUAACUCUAUCGAAGUGCCAUGGACCCCUUGUUAAGAUUCUUUUCUUGUCCGCUUCCGUUGCAAACUUGAACAUGAAAAUGUUAUCUCCCAGCUCCUCGAUCCUUACUUCUCUCACUGUUCUCCACACCUGAGACAUGGCUGACCUUAACCCUUCUAAGUUUACUUCUCUAUUCUAUAGCACCUUCCCCAUUAAGCAUCCAGCAACAAUCUUUUCUCCUUUCAGCUUCAUAUGUCCUCUGAAGGUCACUUUUUCCCUUGUUUCUCCAUUCAAGGAGAUUCCUUUACAUCUUCGGAUCAACUCUUCUGUAUCCAUCUUUUGGCUUCAGCAGCUAGGAGAAGAAAAGGCCUCUCACCCAGGCUAAAGAAAACUCCUAUGUCGUGGCUGACUGAAAACUUUGCUAUUUUCAUAGACUUUUGGAGAAAAACCAAAAAGCAGAAAAAACAGUUCCCCGAGAUUGACUUGGGAAAAAGACAGCAAAAGUACAGAUAAAGAUAAUAAAACAAGAAAUUUGAAGAUAAGAACCCAACUUCAUGCGGGUAACAACAAGAGCCACGAGGGCUCACGUUUUAACUCCCAUUCUGUUCUUCAGAGAAGAAAGAGGGAGAGGGAUAUGGAUCUUGUUUGUGGGGAUUCUAUGAUAUGCAUUUCAUAGGUGAAUCAAUCUCUAUUAUUCACAAAGUCACCUCACAAAAACAAGCUCAAUAAUAUUUUUUAGCUGAACAAAAAUCAGACGGAAACACUAUAUUAUAGGUUUGAGUAACUUUUAGAUAUCUCAAAUUUCAUCCUAAAUGAUAUGGCAUCUAGUAUGUGAUGUGUUAUUAUUAUUUUUUUUUUUUGUUAACAUUUUUGAAGCAAGAACAAUAUUAUUAAUCAUAUUUAAAGGAGUUUAUAACUUAGGGGGUAUAAAGAAUCUAACCAAAACGAUAAAAAAAAAAAAAAAGUAGAAAAAACAAACAGAACAAAAGAUCAAUGCGCAGCAACAACAAAUGCAAAAUCUGACAAAAACGUCGCUUAAUAAAACCAGUAGGAUUGAAGGCCAUGAGCAUCUCUAUAAAGAAAAGAUAAAAUCUCAACAGGAGCAGCAUCCCUCGAGAUAAAAUCAUCCACUUUAGAACCCACGCUAACCAUCAUUUUUGCAGCACCAUUACUUUCUCGAAACAUGUGAUAUAUCAUUUAUUGAAUAAUCAAUAAUUUUAUAUAAAAUCUAAGUAAAUUAAUUUUAUUAUUAUCUUAUUUAAUAAAUGAAUGUCAUAUUAUUUUACAUACAUUUAAAAUGUGUAGCAUUAUUUAAUAGAUUUUGUGUUAUAGAUUGAAAAGAUUUAUGUUUCAUAUUGCAAAAAUCUCAUCUCACCUGUGCGCGGCGCGUGCGGGCAUGUGCAUGUGAGUUGUGGGACAUCAAAGUUAAAAGGCAAAAGAUUGAAAGAAACAGUAUCACUUAUCAGGCCAAAAACGAGCGUGAAGAGCCGUUGGGUGUUUGCCAAUUCAAUGUCCCACACAGCACGGCAAAUCAAUGAGUAUUACUCACACUCUCCUUUUCUUGAACAAGCCACGCACAGCUACGGCCAGAAAGUUGCAUUAUUCUAGCAUUUCUUUCUGACUAAAUAUAUUCCUACCACACAUAUACCAACCAUGUGUCUAAAUUAACCCCACAUCAUAAUAUAUAUUCCUACCACACAUAUACUAUACAGGCAUUUGUAUGGUACAGCCCAAAAAUCCAUUUCCACUAAUAUGUUCGGAGAAAUCUAUCCUCAUUCAAAGGAAUUAAAUCUUAUGAAACUUGAAUUCAUGCGCUCAACCUAUGUUAGGGCGUAAGUACCAUUGGGCUAUAAGCCUAAGUAGCAAUUUUAUUCUUAUUGAUUCAUCAUGGUUCAACGGUCCAAUUGAUACAAUAAUAUAGAUGGAUAAAGGGAACAUAAUCAAUCACUAUAAUUUUGGUCAUGAUACUUGUCAUAUUUAAGCAUAAUAAAUUCAUAAUGGCAAAUUCUUAUCAAAAUACAAGAUAUAAUCGUCUUGAAUUUGGCUCGUAAUGGUCGAUUUGGUGAAAAGAAAAAAAGGGUAAUAAUGUGAUGCUAAAAUCUUCACCUCAAUCUGGGAAAAAUAGUAUUUCAAAUCUAUUACUACUGUGGAAGCGAAGAUAUUAAAAAAAAAAAGCAUAAUGAGAAAGUUAAAAUUUCACUUUUAUCUAUUUAUUACGCAACAAAAAUAUAAUUUAAAUCAGAAUAUGAAUAAAAAAAAAAUGAACAUAGCCAAUCACCAUAAUUUGAGAAUUUCUUACAUAUAUUUAUCUACUAUAAUGGACAUGUCAUAAUGAAAAUGAUUCUUGUCAUAUAUAUACAUAUUAUAAUGGUCUUUGUUUUGUCUAUAUCUAUACAUCUUGAUUGAUAAAACGAUUAUAAUGUGUGAUCAUUAUUAUAAGGAAAGUUUUAUAUGGUUAGCUACUAAAAAGGUAGUUCAUGAGUUGAGAGUUAUCAUAAUUAACUAUAUAGUUAAUCCAAAAAUUAUUUUCGGUAAAUAUAAUUAUUUUCUUAACAUCAUGUGCAAAUUAGUUUUUUUGUUUGAUCUUGUCAAGCGAGAAGAUUAUAUGGACAUCAUGCAUGCUUCAAUAUCAUAUAGAAACCUAUCUAAUUCAUCCUCAAAAGUGAACUAGUAAGUUUAUGGUUAAAGUUAAAGCUCCUCUUAAGUGCAGAUGCUACACUUUAUAAAUUAUAGUCAUUUAUCGAGUUAUAAAGGAGUUGUAUAGAAGUGUGUAAGUUUUUUACAACAAUGUAAAGGAUUAAGUCCGACCUUAAGAAUGAUUAUCUAAGAUUAUGUACUUUGUCCAAGAAUUAUUCUCUAUGAUAUUAUGUCAAAGAAAAUCAUUUAAAGAGGCAAGUACAUUAAUCACAUAUGAAAUGAAAAUGAAAAUCAUUUAAAGUACUUUUAUGGUAUCAAUCAAAUAUCAAAACAUAGAAGACAAGGACAUUAAUUACCCAUCCAAAAGCACUUUGAACUCCAAUAUACAGUCUAAACAAAUGAGACCGAUGUGAUUUGCAGUACACAAAUAUGCUUUAAUCAAUGGACACCCCUAAUUCCCAUGCCGCUGAUUGAUUUAACGCAAGUUAUUACCAAAUUCUGCAAAAACAUAAACACUUUUAACUGAACAAACAUUACCAUUUUCUUUAUCGCUUAUUUCAAGUGAAUAUUUCUCCAUCAAACAGUCUUAAUAAAACAAUACAGAAAUAUAGGACACCUGUUUUUCAAUAAUACAAUAAAUGUAAACCCAGAGAAAAUAACAUGGCCACAACAAAUGAAUUAAAGUAGAAAUUUUUUGAGAUAAAGUAGCUCCAUUUGCACGCUACAACAACUGUUCAAUCCCAGUGGAAAAUGACUGCAUUGAUUCCACCAUCAACAUCAUUUAAACGCGUGAAGAAUUAUUUGCUUGAAAAUUCAAAUUGAGAAAUUUACACUUUGUCCUUAAGAUGAUUAUUCUCUAUUCUGUCUGAAUAGAUCAAGAGAAUCGCGGCAAAGCUAAGUUUUGAAUGUUUGCUUUCGCUGACUGUUCCCCAGAUAGUGACUUGAUUUAUAAUAUCAAAAUGGCGACAAUUAAUGUAGUUACUACUAUUCUUUUUUUUUUUUAACAAAACAAUUAAUGUAGUUUGGACAAUAGAGUUCAAGAAGUUUUGUGCGACAGCAUAUGUCUGAUCAAAACUCUCAUGCUUACCCCAUGAUCAUGAAUUUAGAUUCACAGCUAAAUUUUGUAUUACUAAUCUUUUUCACGCAUGCAUUUAUAAUCCGUGUAUGAUUAAGAACAAAUGCGCAUUAUUUAUGAACAAGUAGCUACCAAUCACAAUAAAUUAAAAAAUUCAUUUCAAUAUUAAAUUCAAAUCGUCUGAUCACAUCUUUUAUGAAACUGAUUUUUUCAUUUUAAUAUUUAAUGAAAUAGCUUAUGGCUCCAUUUGGAUUGGAGUUUUUUUUUUUUGAAGUCUGUUAUACAGAGAUAUUACUGACAUUAUAUCAGACAUUACAAUUAAUAUUUACAAUCAUACUAUAUAACUGGGACCACCAUCAUACAUUGACACACUGAAGUAUAUGCCCAGAUAUUUUAAACCCUCUCUAAUAUUCGAGGGGUGCCUGCUCCACUCAUAUUUCGUAAGGGAGAGACUGUCUCCACUCAAUUAAUUGAUAAUUGAGGAAGAACUGAAACUAACCUCCAUAAUGCUCUUAUGGAGGUUCGAACCCUUUCACUCAACAUUGUAAGUGUAAAGCUUCUCCCAUUGGACCAAAGGCCAUUUGGAUUGGAGUUGAAAUGUCAUAAUAACUUAUUUCAUAAUUUUUAACAAAAAUUAUAUUUGGUAAUUUUUAAAAAAAUUACUUAUUUAAAAAUUCUUCAUUUUGAAAGUGGCUUUUAAAAAUAGACAGGAAGUUUGAUAUAGAACAUUAUUUUAGGAUUUUAGAAUUUUUUAUUUUUUAUUUUUUAUUUUAAAUAGUGUCAAUUAUGAUAUGUGUUUGACUCUUUUAUUUUUAUUGUAAUUAUGAUUUAGUUUCCCUUUUUAAGUUAAGUUACAGAAGUAUAUUUCCUCUAUUACUAGUCCUUUUGGGAUUAUCUAUCAAAAUCUCAUUGAGUCGUUUGAGUUAGAAUAAGAUCUAAUUACGCUUCUAUUAAAAUAUAAGCUAAUUAAGUUGGGCCACUUGGGCUUGUAGCCCAGUGGUGGACCAUUGCCUUCAAAGUUAAGCAUGACUAUGAGGGCAAUAGUUCGAGUCCCCACGGACUCAACCUCUUCCAAUUAAACAUAAUUGUGUGGAGAUUUCUAUAAACGUCUUUCUCCCUUGCGAAAUGUUAGUGGAGUAGAGACAUCCCUCCUCCGUGAGGGGUAUUUGGGAUGGACAUGUACUUCAUAGAAUAAAAAAUGUAAUAAUAUAAGUCUUAUGUAUAUAUAUCUGAUUGUAAAUAUCAGUGUAAUAACCUGCUGUCAUAGUAGUUGUAUAUAUAUAUCUGUGUAAUGCAAUAACCUGAUGCUUAAUCAGUUUCAAAAAAAAAAAAAAAAGAGCUAAUUAAGUUGGCUUAGUUGAGUAGUAAAAUGAUAUCUAAUUUUAUUUACCCUAUCAUUCAUGUUUCCACUAACCUCCUCCGUCAGUUGAUGUCAGAGAGAUAUGUGCAAUUUGCACAACUUCCCUAGCGACCAUAUCCAUCUAUCGAAAUCCAUCAACCCAAAGCUUCAUCACUGUUUACCCAAAAAAGUAAAAAAUAAAAAACUCAAGAAUCCCCAAAUUUUGAAACCCUUGCCGCCACACCCAACUGUCACUCCUCUACAAUCUAGCAAUCGACGACACCUGCUGCUGCAACUAGCUGAAUCACCUUCUUCUAGCAUCCAAAUCCCAACAAUCAAACAGGAUUCCCACCACCAGAACCACCACACGAAAGCACCUAAACCUGUGGCUCCACCACUAAAUCCACAGCCGUUAGCCAACACCACCACCAAAUUCGCCAACCUCCAUUGUUCAAAACUCGACCAGCUCCGCAUGAACUAACUGUGCAGCUGCCGUGAAUCACCCAAAACCCGCCAGCUCUCCAGCCACUUGCAGACGAAACCAUUGCCCUUUACCAUCGGCCCCCACACAUCCAAAACCAAUCACCAAUCGUCACCAAAUGCCGGCCAUAAACUACCAUAAACCACUAUAAGCCGCCACUAUUUCAAGUCAGUUUUUCAACCAAAUUACCUCGAAUCCAGCCAAUACUCAGCCACCAUUGUGCUCCUCACCACUAUAUCUUCUAGAUCCGACCAUCACCACACCAAUUCAUGGCCACCAACUGCCAGCCACACCAAACCCGAAAGUUCAUCCUUAUUUACAGUUUUGCCAUCAACGUUUUAUUCAUAAUUGAAAUAUUCAAAGGGCAUCAUGAUUUAGAAGCUUGAUGGAAAUUACAGUCCUGAAAAUUUUCUUUCAUGAUUGGAUAAGGUUGAUUACAAAUAUAUCAUUAGAUUGCCCAUGUAUGAUCAAGUAUAAUUUAUAGUCGAUUUUAUAUUAAUAGGGAGUGCUUUAGAAUGAUGAAAUAGUAGUGCAAAGGCGUAGAUUAUUAUUUUCAAAAUUACUCCAUGGACUCGUAUGAAGCAAAUCUUGAGAUCGAGAUUUAUUCCUCUUGGAUAUUGUUUGGUAUAAUAAGGUACAAGAUCAGUUUCAUAUUCUGUUUCUAAGUUUGAGCAAUUUUAUGGAUGCAAUUACGAGAUUUUUUUAGGAGGCUUAAUUUACAAAUUCAACAAAAGAUGCCUACAUACACUAUCUACAAUUUACAACAUGCAUUUCAUUUAGCCAUGCAAUUCGAGUUGCAAAGUCAAAGAAGCUUAGUCAAGAAGCUUAGACGAUGCGAUUAAAAGAAUCGAUAAAGCUUUAAUCGAGCAAUUGCUCAACUCUAUGAAAGUGCCUAAAAAUGUACAAAUGAGCUCACCUAUUGUCAAGGAAGAAGACUCACUUGAGAUGCCUAGUUCACCUAUUAUUGUGGAAGAAGACUUAUUUGAGAUGCAAUUUAUUAUUGAUUUAAAGCUUCAGUUUGACAAUUUUUGUGAGAAUGUGCAUGAUUUUACCUUAGAGGACAAGACAAGUGUUGAGGAUGAUGAGGUUUUUGAUCUAUUUGAGUUUUCUAAAGAAGACGAACAACCUCCUCUUGAUUUGAGCAUUGAGCCUAAUAAUACAAUCUAUUGUGCAGUAAUAUCAAGUUGAAGAAGAUGAAAUAAUUGAAAUGAUUCUACCUAUUCACAUUAAAGACAAGAAGAUUGUGCUUAAAGAAGAUUUAAUUGAGAAGGUGAAAUUCAUUAGAGAGCGUAUAGAGCGACAAUCAGGGAAGGGCAAGAGUUAUUUGAUCGUUGUUCAUUCUUAAAAGUAUUCAUCACCUCAAAGAAUGUAUAAGCAAAGGAAAUUGAUGAAGUAUAGAUUCUUCAAAGUUUUGAGAAAGAUUGAUGAGAAAUACCAUAAGUUGGAAUUACAAGAUGAUUUGGUCUUACACUACAAGUUUCAUCCUCCAAACUGUAUACAAACUCGAGGACAAGUUUCUUUUGAGAUGGGGAGAAUGAUCUACUACAUUAUUUUAGGAUUCUAGAAUUUUUAUUAUUUUAGGAUUUUCUAUUUUAAUCAGAGUCAAUUAUAGUCGGUGUUUUACUCUUUUAUUUCUAUUAUAUUUAUAAUCUAGUUCCUUUUUAAGUUAAUUUAAGGAAGUAUGUUUCCUCUAUUAUAAAUAAAGAUGUCUUGUUAUUGUUUUCAUAACUUCAGCUUCAAUAAUUCAAUAAAAUCCCCCUUUUAUAAUUCCUUCUAGUAUUAUUUAUCAAAAUCUCUCUUGUAGAGUUCUUUGAAUUAGAGUAUUAUUUAAUCCCGCUUUAAGCAUUAUUAAAAAUUCUCUGAGCCUCUCAUUUUAUAUCCUUAUCUUUUCUCUUUCCUAUUNNNNNNNNNNNNNNNNNNNNNNNNNNNNNNNNNNNNNNNNNNNNNNNNNNNNNNNNNNNNNNNNNNNNNNNNNNNNNNNNNNNNNNNNNNNNNNNNNNNNNNNNNNNNNNNNNNNNNNNNNNNNNNNNNNNNNNNNNNNNNNNNNNNNNNNNNNNNNNNNNNNNNNNNNNNNNNNNNNNNNNNNNNNNNNNNNNNNNNNNNNNNNNNNNNNNNNNNNNNNNNNNNNNNNNNNNNNNNNNNNNNNNNNNNNNNNNNNNNNNNNNNNNNNNNNNNNNNNNNNNNNNNNNNNNNNNNNNNNNNNNNNNNNNNNNNNNNNNNNNNNNNNNNNNNNNNNNNNNNNNNNNNNNNNNNNNNNNNNNNNNNNNNNNNNNNNNNNNNNNNNNNNNNNNNNNNNNNNNNNNNNNNNNNNNNNNNNNNNNNNNNNNNNNNNNNNNNNNNNNNNNNNNNNNNNNNNNNNNNNNNNNNNNNNNNNNNNNNNNNNNNNNNNNNNNNNNNNNNNNNNNNNNNNNNNNNNNNNNNNNNNNNNNNNNNNNNNNNNNNNNNNNNNNNNNNNNNNNNNNNNNNNNNNNNNNNNNNNNNNNNNNNNNNNNNNNNNNNNNNNNNNNNNNNNNNNNNNNNNNNNNNNNNNNNNNNNNNNNNNNNNNNNNNNNNNNNNNNNNNNNNNNNNNNNNNNNNNNNNNNNNNNNNNNNNNNNNNNNNNNNNNNNNNNNNNNNNNNNNNNNNNNNNNNNNNAGCAUUAUUAAAAUCUCAUUGAGUCAUUUAGGUUAGAACAAGAUCUAAUCACAUUUCGAUUAGAGUUUAAGUUAAUUGCGUUGGCUUGGUCCGAUAUUAGAAUGAUAUUAUCUAUCCUACCAAUUUCAUUUUCGCUAAUCAAGCGGGGUAGAUAAAAUUAGAUAUCAUUCUAAUAUUGGAUCAAGCCAACUCGGUUAGCUUACGCUCUAAUCGAAGCGUGAUUAGAUCUCGUUCUAACCCAAACGAUCAUUGAGAUUUUUUAUAGCGCUUAAAGUGAGAAAAAAUGACACUCUAACCCAAACAACUUUACAAGAGAGAUUUUGAUAGAUAAUCCAAGAAAGAAUUAUUAAAGGGGAUUUUAUUGAAUUAUUGAAGCUGAAGUUAUAAAAACAAUAACAAGACCUUUUGAUUUAUAUUAGAGGAAACCUACUUUCCUAAGUUAACUUAAAAAGGAAAACUAAAUCAUAAUUAUAAUAGAAAUAAAGAUUAAGACACGUACCAUAAUUGACUCUAAUUAAAAUAAAAAACUCUAAAUAAAAAAAAUUCUAGAAUUGUAAAAUAAUGUCCUACAUCAAAGUUGCUUUUUUAACAAAAGAAUAAUCAGAUUUUACUUUUCCAUAGAUCUUGAUAUAUAAAUAAAAGAUAAAUUUAAAAUUAUCUCUAUUUGGUUAUUUUAUAAUGAGACAGUAUAAUCGUGAUAAAAUUUACUAAAUGUAUGUAUUUUAUUAUUUAGAUCCAUUACAACCUUAAUUACACAAUUUACUAAAUAUUGAACUGUUAUUUUAAUUAGUAAUUUAUUUUAUCUGCACAAUAAAAACAACUUAUUUUUUCAACCACCGAAAUCCAAAAUCGAGCCCUAAGUAAAUAGAAUAAAAAUUCUUAUGCAAUAUUAGCUAGUGAAAGCAAAAGUCUUUCCACAACGACAGAAUCUAGAGGGGUUUAAAUGACGAAUUUUGACUGAAGUUAAUGUCACGUGGGUCACAGAAAUGAAUUAUACAUGUUAGUCAUUUUCAUUGAAAUUAAAAAUUUUCCACAAAAUUUUAAAUAUGAACGUUGAAAGGGGGAGGGGGAAGAGAAAAAAAAAAUGUAUGUAUGUAUGUAUGCAUAGAUGUAUAUAUUAAAAUAUAUAUGUAUGUAUGCGUAUACACACACACACACAAAAUUUCUUAAGUGCGGAUGAUAAAAUGCGGAUUUCGUGCGAAGGCAGCUAAAAGAUAAAAAAAAAUGGUCUCCCCAAGAAGGUCUCGUCCAGCCCCCUAUCUUUCUAUAUACACACACAUAUAUAUAAUAAUUUUUCAAUAAGAGAUUUCUUCUGGUGUAUUUGGCGGUCCGCGCAACAUAGUAUUAUAUUACUAAUUUUUAUUAGUUUAUUACUGACUCAUGUCUGGCAGUUAUGAAAGUUGCAUUAUGGUCCAUUACAACACAUCAUAAUAUAGAUUUUGGCACGUUAAACAAACCUAAGGUCUCUUCUCUAUAUAUAUUUGCUAUAUUUAUAACAAAAGCUAUUGAUAAUUAAUACAAAAACGCAUUUAUAAAAUAUUCUACAUCUAAUUUUUAACUUUUUAUAUUAUAAUAUAUAACAAUAAAUUUAUAUUAUAUUUUUUUUAAUUUUUAAAAUUUUAUUAUAAUAUUAUAUUAUUUAAUAAGACUAUAUUAAAAUAUUUAACAUAAUAUAAUAUAUAUUAUAAUAUUACAAAGAACCAAAGCUCCAUUUCCGACGAAACAUAUACAAUUGCAUCCUCCACCAAUGAGGAUUUCAAUAAUACCAAAAAUAACACAGAACAUAAACAUAAUAUGGUUGGUGGUGGUCAGUGAUUUAUUUUAUUUUUAUUUGUAAAUUUAAUCAGUAAAUGUAAUAUAAUAACAAUAUUAAAUAUUAAUAAAUAUACAUAAUAUCAUUUUUCAUAUAUAAUACAAUAUGGUGUAACACUAAAUAUUAUAUAUUAUUAAUUGUUGAGAAUCAAAUAAAACGGCAUUGAAUGAAGCUUUCAAAGACAGAAUAUGCACUUGUCAAAGGGGUAAUCUGCACUUGUCAAAGACAAGAUCCGCGCCAAACGGAUUGACACAUUUCCUUCCGUAUUCACAUAUGUAAUCUUUGAGAAAAUGUAGCCUCUGCAUCUAUAAAUAACUCUAAAUGUAUAAUGUUUUAUUUAAGAAAUCAAAACACGUUUCUUCAUGGUAUCAGAGCCAUGAAUACGCUCAAGUUUCUUCAAGUUCCGCUGCUCUAUUUGUAACAAAAACAGAGGAAACCAAAUUCCUCCCACAACCAUUUUUCCCACCAUUUUCUUUCUUAAACCCAUUCCUACCAUUACAGAUAUCCAUGCCGAUCAAGAAACAAGCCACCCAUACGUAAAAAACUUGAGUUUACAAAUUUAUCAACAAUCCCAUCAAUUUUCCGAGAGUGUGUUCCUCAAAAACCAAGAACACCAUAAAAUUUCUCAGUUUUCAGUGAGGAAACUGUAAAAAUUUCGCAUUUAAACACAUUCCCACGCGCCACCCGAAGCCACGGCCAGUCAACCACGCGCCUCUAUCAUCAUUCACGCGCUCUCACGCGCUCCAGAGGUUGAAGAAGACUUCAGCCGACAUGUCGUUUUUAUCUCAGAAGUGCAGCAGUCAAAAAACGACGUGUCGUUUUUGUUCUAUUAAAACCGACAUGUCGUUUUUAAAUCAGAGAUAAAACGACGUGACGCUUAGUAUCUAGAAGUGUAGCAGGAUUAAAACGACAUGUCGUUUAUAUUCCACCAUAACCGACAUGUCGGUUUGUCAAGCAGUGGCCAAAUGACCUGUCGUUUUGUUACCUAAAAAGGUUAUUUUUUUUUUCUUCUUUCAAUCUAGACGGAAAAAAAAAACAAAAAAAAAAAGAAAACAAACAAAAAAACAAAAAAAAGAAAAAAAUGAGAAAAAAACAAAAAAAAAGAAAAAAAUGAGAAAACUCCAACUGAAUCUAGUCAUGUUGUCAUUCAAUCUGUUCAAUCUGAUGGAGUAUUUAAUGCUGGAAUUAUCCUCAUUGAGACAAACUACGAUGUUUGGUCUCAAAUAAUGGAGAUGCAUCUUGCAGAAAGAGAAAAACUCUCAUAUAUUCGUAGCAGCACAAAGCCAUUUGAGGAAUCUUCAAAGGAAUAUGAGAAAUGGUAUAGUGAGAACCAAAAAGUAAAAAGAUGGUUACUCAUAUCCAUGUCUCCGGAGAUCAUGAAGCGAUAUUUACGAAUUCCUACAGCUUACGAAAUCUGGGAUGCAUUAUCAAAAGCCUUCUAUGAUGGAAGAGAUGAAUUACAAGUUUUCACUCUAAACCAGAAGGCAUUCUCUACCAAGCAAAAUGGACAACCACUCUCUAAAUUCUAUGGAGAAUUGGUUGAAAUAUUUCGAGAACUUGAUCACCGAGAUAAAGUGGUCAUGAAGGAUCCAGAAGAUGUUGUAAUAUACAGAAGGUCUGUUGAAAGAUUGAGAGUGCACAUUUUUCUUGCUGGGUUAGAUGAAGAAUUUGACCAAGUUCGUGGAGAAAUUCUACGAAAAGACAUUAUCCCAGACUUAGAAGAAUGUUAUUCUCUGAUCCGAAGAGAAGAUAUACGGCAAAGCAAACUAAACAAGAAGGUCGACUCAGAAACAUCUGCUAUGAUAGCACGACAGCAGCCUCAAAGGAAGUUUGUUGACAAGUCAUCACUCCAUUGCACUCAUUGUAGAAAGAAGGGUCAUACGAAAGAACAAUGUUUUGAAAUCAUUGGAUAUCCUGACUGGUGGGAUACUCGAAAGAAGAACACCAAGCAUGGAUCAAAAACUGCAGUAGCUGAAUCCACAUCCACUACAAAUCUUAGAAAAGAAUCUUCAGUGCAAAUCGCAACCUCUGUCAGUCCAGGUAAGGCCCUUAAAACUCUUACACCUGUUAUUAAUAGUACAUGGAUAAUUGAUUCUGGGGCAACUGAUCAUAUGACUUUUGAUUCUCGACAAGUUUCUCAAUUGAAACCAUCUUCACAAAAACAUAUUUCCACUGCAAAUGGAACCACAACUUCAGUUAUUGGGGAAGGAUCUUUACGACUCACAAAUGAAUUAAAUUUAGACACUGUGUUAAUUGUUCCAUCUUUAGAUUAUAAUCUUUUAUCUGUGUCUCAAUUAACCACUUACUUAUCAUGUGUUGUAAUUUUUUGGCCUGAUCAUUGUGUGUUUAAGGAUAUCCAAACGAAGCAAACGAUUGGUUAUGGUAUUAGACGAGGCAACUUGUACUACUUGGAGAUGUCAUCAACAAACACUAGAAAGCUAAGCCCCGCACUAGUCGCAGAUAGUUCCAUAAAAAAAGGGAAAUUAGAAAUUUGGUUAUGGCAUAGACGUUUAGGGCAUGUGUCAUUUGAUUACUUAAAAAAAUUAUUUCCUAGUUUGUUUCUGAAAUUUGAUGUUUGUAACUUUAAAUGUGAUGUUUGUGAACUUUCAAAAAGCCAUCGAACUACUUUUCCAUUGUCCUUAAAUAAAAAUCCAGUUCCUUUUAUGGUAGUACAUUCUGAUGUAUGGGGGCCAUCUAAAGUUUCUACAAUUGGAGGUGCUCGUUGGUUUGUUACAUUUAUUGAUGAUUGUAGCAGAAUGACAUGGAUUUUUCUAAUGAAAUCGAAAGACGAAGUAAACUCUUUAUUUCAAAGAUUUCAUAAGAUGGUGACAACUCAAUUUCAGACACAAAUUCAAGUUCUACAUACUGAUAAUGGAGGCGAGUAUAUGAGCACAGCAAUUCAAUAGUUUCUGAAAUCACAAGGAUCUGUCCAUCAAACCACUUGUGUGGGGACACCCCAACAAAAUGGCGUUGCUGAACGAAAAAACAGACAUUUACUAGAAGUUGUUCGAGCAUCACUAAUCCAAGCCCACAUGCCAUUAUCUUAUUGGGGAGAAGCACUAGCAUCCGCAGCAUACUUGAUCAAUCGAACACCAUCAAGCUCCCUUGGAUUCCAGACUCCUUUCCAAGUUCUGAAUGAUGCAAUUAUGUCACCAAAUGUGCCGAAUCUACCCCCACAUGUGUUUGGCUGUGUUGCCUUCGUUCAUUUGCUGCAACAAGACAAAUUAUCUCCUCGAGCACUACGUUGUGUGUUUGUAGGGUAUGCCUUACAUCAAAAGGGAUACCGAUGCUAUCAUCCACCAUCAAGAAAAAUAUACAUCACUAUGGAUGUUUUUUUUUCAUGAAGAUAUCAUGUACUACUUGUCAGAGUCUGAAUUUCAGGGGGAGUAUAAUGAAGAGGAAAUUCAUACUCUUACAUAUCUUCCAUUGAGAUAGUAAACUUUCAAGAUACUGGAAAAGCAAAUGGUGAUGAUUCGCAGGCUGAGAUAUGUGAAGACACAUUUGGGGAGCACAAUAACUCAGACACAACUGCAAUCGAGAAUGAGUCCCAUGAAGAAAUACUUAACCAAUCGUCUGCAGAGGAUGUUCCUACCACAAGUCCAAUCAGAAGAAUUCUUCCCCAGCGUCAAAAUAGAGGUAUCCCUAAACCCACAUAUGAGCCUGACUUCUCUAGUAGAGUCAAAUACCCUAUGAGUCAUUUUGUGUCUAACCAUCGCUUGUCAAAAUCAAAUCAAUCAUUUUUGAAUCAAUUAUCUGCUGUAUCUAUUCCUAACAGUGUGCAGGAAGCUUUAAAAGAUCCAAAGUGGAAAGCGGCUAUGAAUGAUGAAAUGAGAUCUCGUCAGAAAAAUCAAACAUGGGAACUAGUUGAUCUUCCAUCAGGAAAGAAACCAGUGGGUUGUCGAUGGAUCUACACUAUAAAAUAUAAAGCAGAUGGCUCUAUUGAACGAUACAAAGUAAGACUCGUAGCUAAGGGUUACACCCAAACCUACGGGAUUGAUUAUACUGAUACAUUUGCACCGGUAGCAAAAAUUAAUACUAUUCGUAUCUUAUUAUCAUUAGCAGUCAACUUGGAUUGGCCAGUGCAACAGUUCGAUGUAAAGAAUGCUUUCCUCUAUGGAGACCUGUCUGAAGAAAUUUAUAUGGAUCUGCCACCAGGAUGCAGUGGACCAGAACGACUCAAUCAGAAAGUAUGCAAAUUGAAGAAAUCAUUGUAUGGGUUGAAGCAAUCCCCAAGUGCAUGGUUCGGGAAAUUCACAAAGGCUAUGGUUCGUUUUGGGUAUAACCAAAGCAAUUCAGAUCAUACCUUAUUCAUUAAAAAACGACAAGGUAAAAUCACUGCCCUUAUUGUCUAUGUGGAUGAUAUGGUAGUUACAGGCAACGACGAGGAAGAAACAGAGGCUCUUCAGAAGUACUUGUCAAUAGAGUUUGAGAUGAAGGAUUUAGGUGCCUUAAAAUACUUUCUUGGAAUUGAGGUUUCUCGAUCUAAGGGAGGAAUCUUUCUGUCUCAAAGGAAAUAUGCCUUAGAUCUAUUACACGAAACGGGAAUGACAGCUUGUCAGCCUAUUGACACCCCAAUAGAAGAAGGACUGAAGUUUUGUAUUACUUCAGACCAAGUUCCAGUAGACAAAGGAAGAUAUCAAAGGCUGAUUGGAAGAUUGAUGUACUUGUCCCACACAAGGCCAGAUCUUGCUUAUGCAUUGAGUGUUGUAAGCCAGUUUAUGCAUAAUCCUGGAGAACAACACAUGAAAGCAGUAAUACGGAUCCUGAGGUACCUGAAGACAAAUCCAGGAAAAGGAAUCUUAUUUUCCAAAAAUGAAGAUUACAGCAACAUAGAAGUUUAUACUGAUGCAGAUUGGGCCGGGUCAGUUAGUGAUAGACGCUCUACUUCAGGAUACUUUACCUUUGUGGGAGGAAACCUUGUCACAUGGAGAAGCAAGAAACAACAUGUCGUUGCCCGUUCGAGCGCUGAAGCAGAAUAUCAAGGCAUAGCCCUUGGGAUAUGUGAAGGGUUAUGGAUAAGUUUUAUCUUAAACGAUUUGGGCUAUUCAUCAUAACAACCAAUACAACUAUACUGUGACAACAAAGCUGCACGAGAUAUUGCUCAUAACCCAGUUCAACACGAUCGAACAAAACAUGUGGAGGUAGAUAGAUUUUUCAUCAAGGAGAAAUUAGAUGAAAAAAUCUUAAAACUGCCGAAAAUUCGAUCAGAAGAUCAACUUGCAGAUAUUUUAACGAAGGCCAUUUCAAGCAAGGCAUUUACAAAAUUCCUAGACAAGUUGGGUAUGCAAGACAUCUAUGCACCAGCUUGAGGGGGAGUGUUGAGAAUCAAAUAAAACGGCAUUGAAUGAAGCUUUCAAAGACAGAAUCUGCACUUGUCAAAGGGGUAAUCUGCACUUGUUAAAGACAAGAUCCGCGCCGAACGGAUUGACACAUUUCCUUCCGUAUUCACAUAUGUAAUCUUUGAAAAAAUGUAGCAUCUGCAUCUAUAAAUAACUCUAAAUGUAUAAUGCUUUAUUUAAGAAAUCAAAACACGUUUCUUCAUUAAUAUAAUACAAUGUUGAUACAAUACAACUUUAUAUAAUAUACUCUUAUUAAAUAAUGUAAUACACAUAAUAUAAUAUAUUAUAUUAAACACGUCUUUAAAUUAUUAAAAUAAGAGAUAAAUCAAAAGAUUAAAAAAAAUACAAACUCUAAUUUAUUAUAAGACAAAGAAUACUUCAUUCAAAUUUAUAUUUUACUUCUCUUUUAAUUUAUCCAUUACUUUAAUAAGUCAAUAAAUUUCUUUUUGUAUAAUGACUUUAUAUAAGUAUACAUAUUUAUGUGGAGGCAUUGCUGCAUGCGAAUUAAGGAUUAGCCGCUCCUAUUUAUAAUUUUUUUUUUUUAAAAAAAAAAAAGACAGAGAAAGAGGGAGAGAGGUCGUGUGUCUUUUUGGUUUUUCCCAAAGUGAUCAUUUUGUGUGAUAUAUCGUACUAAUCUUCUUGGAUCACGAGCCUCUCUGCUGCAACUGCAAAUGCAUGGUGAUGGUGCGAGCAAGGCGAAGAAAUUAAAGGACAGUUCAUCAGCUUUUACAGCUUUACUCUCAUUACACAACUUGCUUUUGCUUUGACACUUGAGAGUUACAUUUCAUCUGUUUUUGUUUAGACUAGAGGAAAAGGGGCAAAAGCUAAAAGUUAAUUUUCAUAACUUUUUUUUAUUGAAAUAUUAAGUUUUGAUAAAUAGCUUUCUUAUACGUGUGAGAUGUCCUCUAUUAAUUGCGGUGCAGAAUCUGAAUCAUAUAAUUCACAUCCUCCGAGAGAAAAUAUUAUACACAUUAUCAAUUAAAUCAUCUUGUUUUAUGAGUUUGCUGAAAUUAUUAAAAAUCUUGUUUCAUGUCUUAUAUAGUAUUAGUAUAUGAAUAAUUUUUUUUUGGGUAAAAGCUUGUUUAGUCCCUAUAUUAUGAAGUUAGUGUCCAUUUAGUCCCUGUAUUUUUUAAAACACCUCAAAACGUCCCUGCUACUAAAUAUUGACACUUAUGCCAUUAUUUUUUUUAUUUUAACUUGCUUUUACAAUAUUACAUUUUUACAAUAAUGUUUCUUUUGUGGAUAUUAAUAAAAAAUCAAAUUAUCAAAUUAAACUCAAAAAUAAAAUAAAAACAAAAAAUGUAUAUAUUAAUUUUUGUGAAAGGUCACGUGUCUAAAAAAUUAAUAUCGUAAAAAAUUAAAUUAUCAAUUUUUUUAGAAAAAUUAAUAUUUUAACUCAAGAGUGUGUUCCACAAAAAUUAAUAUAUUUUAUUUUAUUUUAUUUUAUUUUUUGGUGUUAAACUGGUAAUUUAUUUUUUUCUUUUUAAUAAUGUCUAAAAAAAUUAUUAUAAUAGGGUUAUUUUNNNNNNNNNNNNNNNNNNNNNNNNNNNNNNNNNNNNNNNNNNNNNNNNNNNNNNNNNNNNNNNNNNNNNNNNNNNNNNNNNNNNNNNNNNNNNNNNNNNNCAAAAGGUAAUGGCAAAAGUGUCAAUAAUUUAAUGGUAGGGAUGGUUUGAGGUAUUUUUUAAAAAUAUAGGGACUAAACGGGCACUAACUUUAAAAUAUAGGGACUAAACGAGCUUUUACCCUUUUUUUUUUUAUCGACUCUUUAUCAACACGUGAAUUUCUGUUUAAAAAAGUUUAAAUUAUGAGAGAAUUUGAAUUUACAUUACAUAAUAUAUAAUUUUUAAGAUAAAUUAAAUUUAUGAAUUUUUAUUUAUUAUUAAAAUCAAACGUGUGCACAAAUAGAUCAUAUGACCUUUUCUAUGACAUGAAUUAAGAAAAGUCAAUAUGCACAACAAGAAGUGUUAGGCUGAUAAUUUCACAUGGCUUUAAAAAUCUUAUAGGGCACUUAUUAAUUCACCAAUGAAUUUGUGGUUCACCAACCAUUUCUUGCACCAUCUUGAAGGCUCAAAAAGAUAAAGAGCAGAUUAUAUAUGCAGCUUAAAUUUUCAACAUCUAGAAAUAUUUUUAAAAAAAGAAUACACUAGUACAGUGGCAAUCUCAUCUCCUUUCUUAAAUUUUAGUUGAUACCAUGAUGACAUAUUCUGCUUCCACGUUCAAGUAAUUAAUAGUUGGCCCUGGUAUGUUUUACAACUCUCAAAGUUAGUUGUAAAUUGAAUGAAAGCCACCGUAGUUCUGACUCCUUUUAAUACUACUUCACAUAUUUAUUUAUAUGCAUUGACUGAGAUGUCAUUGCAAAGUUCGUGAUUUUAAGGAAAUAAAUAAAAUUCAGUCUUAUUAAUUUGUUGUGGCCCAUAAGCCAAUUUAUAAAAAAAAGCCAAAAUUUAAUAGAAGUAAAUAAUCAAUAAAAUAUUUUGUGAUUCAUUUCUAUAUAUAUUUACACAUAACAGUUAUGAUUCUUAUCAUAAGUGAAUGGCAUAAUGUUCAAAGGCAACCUUCUUGUCAAUUUGUAUGUGACAAUAGUCAUUUAUGUAUUACAUAACACUCUAUUCUUCCGUAUGUAUAUGUCAUCUUAAUAGUUUUAAUCCUUACAAUGUGCAUUUGAUAAUGAUUUUGAUCAUUAUAUAUAUGUGUAGGAUCCCCCUAAGUUACAUGCAUGUAACUUAGCAUUAGCCAUAUGUGUAUCACAUAACGAUUUGAUCUGUUUCAUAAAUGCAUAUCAUAAUAGGCUUAAUUCAUAAGGGUUUUUUUUUUUUUUAAAUUCCUAUCAUUCCCUCAAGUUGGAGUGCGAAAACUUGGUUCUUCUUGCACUUUUGUUUUAAGAACAAAUUAUGUCUAUCUCUAACACACCAUCAUGCUAUGUAGCUUCUCAUCAACAUGGUGGCUCUAUAUCUAACAUAUGAUCUGAGAACUAGGGUUAAGGUGAUCUUUUCAUCUCUCAACUCAAAAUUGAUGAAGAUAUAUCAUAAUAGGAUUAUAAUUAUCUGUCCCUAUAAGAUAAAGAAGACUUAUCAUAAUAAGGUUAGAAUUAUCUACCCAUACAAGAUAAAGAAGAUAAUCGAAUUAAUUUUUAGUUAUUACCACCAGAAAAGAAAGUCCACAAAUAAAAGUGAGGAAAAGCAAAUUUAGAUAGAAAUCGACUCUAAUUAAGGAGUCCCUGUCUAAUGCACGAAGUCGCACACAUCAUCGAAAUCACUAAGUACGUACUUCAGAGCUCGAAAUCUUGAAUCCUUUGCAGUCCCUUCUCAUUAUUUCUUUAAAUUCUCUUCUUGUUUGCAAAAGCAAAAAUAAUUUUUGACUUAAACAUUGGAGUUUCACCCGAUAACGAUUAUCACGCCCUUCACUGUUUUUGUCUCAUCACCCGCCAACACCAACUUUUACACUUCGUAAAUUGUGUCCAUCACUAGACUCUAUCAAUCUGAAUCAUGGCUACGUGACCAACAAAGAUGGGAAAUCUGAACGGUAGCCAAGAUAAUUCUGAGUGGGACAUGACUCACAUGCCGAUGGGCCCAGAUCUCGUAAUGUCAUGAGCCCACUUAAUCAACUCCCACGUGGAAACACCUGUCACAUAUCCUUUAAUCGGCAGAUCGCCUUUCUCGAUCACUAUUAUUUACAGUUUAUUUUCGUACAGCGUACGAGAUCAUUGCCUCUUGUUAUCAUUAUUAACGUAAACUUCAAUUACCUAAAAUCAUAAUCUUCAAUUUAUUCUAAAAAUAUGAAUACUUUAAAUUUUUAUUCAAAUAAUGCAACCAAUUUUCAUGUAAACUGACAUUAAUCAAGAGGGUAAGGAUUUUGCACAGUUUUUAUUCAUUAUUUUUCCCUAAAAAAGAAGACCAUUUGUUGCAGUAAAUGGCACAAAAAAAAAUUAAAUUAGUUUUUAAACUAACAAAUAAAUCAAACCAAAUAGUCAAAACUCAAAAGACCAACGUUAAAGACAAAUCAUGAAGUUGAAAGUUCAGAAUAUCCUAAAAGCUCAUGCAAUAGAAAAUCUGCAUUUAUUUUCAAAUUUUUAUACUAAUAUAUUCUUAAUAUAUGUCUCUAACGUGAUCCUAAUACGGUGCCACUGCCCCCAAAAAAAGAUCCUAAUAUAUAAUACAAUUUAUACAUUGAAAAAAAAUUAAAAAAAGAAACAAAAAUGAUGGGCAGACAAUAAAUGAAAGAGACUAGACAUAAAACUGUUAUCUCUUUGUCAUUAAUUAUUGCAAAUACUAAAAUUAUGUCUGCCUCAAAUUUCGGGCAAAAGAAAGUCCCAGAGUAUACCCGAAAUAUGGUUUUCCUCAUUUACAUUUAUAACUUAGAAGCAACAGAAGUAAAGCAAAAAUAUAGCAGUGGUCUCAUAUAAUUGACUUUGCAUGUCACUUAUUUUUUAUUAUUUUAUUGGUUGUCAGUAAUAUAACGUAGAGGUUAUCUCAAAAUAUUUAUUUGUUUCUUUAUAUAAUAAUUAGGUGUACCUUUUACUCAAUUAUGUAAUAAUAAAAAUACAAACAAUGAAUAAUCAACUAACAUGAAAGUAUACACCGAAAGCAUGGAAGACUUUUUAUUUGAGCUAUGAUGUAAUUAGUAAUAUUAAUUAUUAAUAUAUCCCAUAAUUUACAGGGUAGACUCACAUGACUGGCACCUAUUAAAUUACCUGCAAUAUCAUUAAUGCAGUUGAACUAUUAAAUCCAAUUCUAAGGUGAGGCUUUUACAUUAUGAUGAUUAUAUUCUUUAAGUACGAAAUUAUACUCCAACCACCUUAAAAAUGUCAAAAGUGUAAGUAAUUACCGUGAGUUUUUAAUAAUAUUUUAAAUCCACUUUAAGUUUUAAUUUUCUAUCAACCAGUCACUUUUUUUUUAACUUUAUUAGUUACUGUUAAAGAAUUUAAGUUAAAAGAAUUUUUUCCCUUAAAUUCAUUGAAAAGGGUAAAACAACAUUUUGGAAGGCUCCAAAGACAAGAUAGCCUUUUAUAUUAAAUUAUUUAAUGGCUAAUAGAGUUAACAAAAAAAUAAUUAGUUGAUGUAAAACUAAAACUUAAGGUGGUUAUAAGAUACUGUCAGAAACUUGUGGUAUCCACUUGCACUUUCAAUAAUUUUUUUAGAUGUUUGGGAAUAAUAUCUCUUUUGAAAUUGAUUCUUUCCAUUUAUGACUAUAAUUUGAUCUUCAAUUCAUUCUAUUUCUCCAAUAUAUUCAUUUAAAAAAAAUGAAACUAUUUGAAUAUACAUUUAUUACUUUAAGUGACCGUUGGUGCAAAACACCAUGCACAAUAAAUCCUCUCUCUAGUCAUAAUAUUGGUACCAACUAUUUUUAUUAUUAUGUGGAGAUUAUAACUUAAUAGCUGUGUAGUUACAAAAAUUAUUGGUUUCACCUGGCUAUCUUUUUUUUCNNNNNNNNNNNNNNNNNNNNNNNNNNNNNNNNNNNNNNNNNNNNNNNNNNNNNNNNNNNNNNNNNNNNNNNNNNNNNNNNNNNNNNNNNNNNNNNNNNNNNNNNNNNNNNNNNNNNNNNNNNNNNNNNNNNNNNNNNNNNNNNNNNNNNNNNNNNNNNNNNNNNNNNNNNNNNNNNNNNNNNNNNNNNNNNNNNNNNNNNNNNNNNNNNNNNNNNNNNNNNNNNNNNNNNNNNNNNNNNNNNNNNNNNNNNNNNNNNNNNNNNNNNNNNNNNNNNNNNNNNNNNNNNNNNNNNNNNNNNNNNNNNNNNNNNNNNNNNNNNNNNNNNNNNNNNNNNNNNNNNNNNNNNNNNNNNNNNNNNNNNNNNNNNNNNNNNNNNNNNNNNNNNNNNNNNNNNNNNNNNNNNNNNNNNNNNNNNNNNNNNNNNNNNNNNNNNNNNNNNNNNNNNNNNNNNNNNNNNNNNNNNNNNNNNNNNNNNNNNNNNNNNNNNNNNNNNNNNNNNNNNNNNNNNNNNNNNNNNNNNNNNNNNNNNNNNNNNNNNNNNNNNNNNNNNNNNNNNNNNNNNNNNNNNNNNNNNNNNNNNNNNNNNNNNNNNNNNNNNNNNNNNNNNNNNNNNNNNNNNNNNNNNNNNNNNNNNNNNNNNNNNNNNNNNNNNNNNNNNNNNNNNNNNNNNNNNNNNNNNNNNNNNNNNNNNNNNNNNNNNNNNNNNNNNNNNNNNNNNNNNNNNNNNNNNNNNNNNNNNNNNNNNNNNNNNNNNNNNNNNNNNNNNNNNNNNNNNNNNNNNNNNNNNNNNNNNNNNNNNNNNNNNNNNNNNNNNNNNNNNNNNNNNNNNNNNNNNNNNNNNNNNNNNNNNNNNNNNNNNNNNNNNNNNNNNNNNNNNNNNNNNNNNNNNNNNNNNNNNNNNNNNNNNNNNNNNNNNNNNNNNNNNNNNNNNNNNNNNNNNNNNNNNNNNNNNNNNNNNNNNNNNNNNNNNNNNNNNNNNNNNNNNNNNNNNNNNNNNNNNNNNNNNNNNNNNNNNNNNNNNNNNNNNNNNNNNNNNNNNNNNNNNNNNNNNNNNNNNNNNNNNNNNNNNNNNNNNNNNNNNNNNNNNNNNNNNNNNNNNNNNNNNNNNNNNNNNNNNNNNNNNNNNNNNNNNNNNNNNNNNNNNNNNNNNNNNNNNNNNNNNNNNNNNNNNNNNNNNNNNNNNNNNNNNNNNNNNNNNNNNNNNNNNNNNNNNNNNNNNNNNNNNNNNNNNNNNNNNNNNNNNNNNNNNNNNNNNNNNNNNNNNNNNNNNNNNNNNNNNNNNNNNNNNNNNNNNNNNNNNNNNNNNNNNNNNNNNNNNNNNNNNNNNNNNNNNNNNNNNNNNNNNNNNNNNNNNNNNNNNNNNNNNNNNNNNNNNNNNNNNNNNNNNNNNNNNNNNNNNNNNNNNNNNNNNNNNNNNNNNNNNNNNNNNNNNNNNNNNNNNNNNNNNNNNNNNNNNNNNNNNNNNNNNNNNNNNNNNNNNNNNNNNNNNNNNNNNNNNNNNNNNNNNNNNNNNNNNNNNNNNNNNNNNNNNNNNNNNNNNNNNNNNNNNNNNNNNNNNNNNNNNNNNNNNNNNNNNNNNNNNNNNNNNNNNNNNNNNNNNNNNNNNNNNNNNNNNNNNNNNNNNNNNNNNNNNNNNNNNNNNNNNNNNNNNNNNNNNNNNNNNNNNNNNNNNNNNNNNNNNNNNNNNNNNNNNNNNNNNNNNNNNNNNNNNNNNNNNNNNNNNNNNNNNNNNNNNNNNNNNNNNNNNNNNNNNNNNNNNNNNNNNNNNNNNNNNNNNNNNNNNNNNNNNNNNNNNNNNNNNNNNNNNNNNNNNNNNNNNNNNNNNNNNNNNNNNNNNNNNNNNNNNNNNNNNNNNNNNNNNNNNNNNNNNNNNNNNNNNNNNNNNNNNNNNNNNNNNNNNNNNNNNNNNNNNNNNNNNNNNNNNNNNNNNNNNNNNNNNNNNNNNNNNNNNNNNNNNNNNNNNNNNNNNNNNNNNNNNNNNNNNNNNNNNNNNNNNNNNNNNNNNNNNNNNNNNNNNNNNNNNNNNNNNNNNNNNNNNNNNNNNNNNNNNNNNNNNNNNNNNNNNNNNNNNNNNNNNNNNNNNNNNNNNNNNNNNNNNNNNNNNNNNNNNNNNNNNNNNNNNNNNNNNNNNNNNNNNNNNNNNNNNNNNNNNNNNNNNNNNNNNNNNNNNNNNNNNNNNNNNNNNNNNNNNNNNNNNNNNNNNNNNNNNNNNNNNNNNNNNNNNNNNNNNNNNNNNNNNNNNNNNNNNNNNNNNNNNNNNNNNNNNNNNNNNNNNNNNNNNNNNNNNNNNNNNNNNNNNNNNNNNNNNNNNNNNNNNNNNNNNNNNNNNNNNNNNNNNNNNNNNNNNNNNNNNNNNNNNNNNNNNNNNNNNNNNNNNNNNNNNNNNNNNNNNNNNNNNNNNNNNNNNNNNNNNNNNNNNNNNNNNNNNNNNNNNNNNNNNNNNNNNNNNNNNNNNNNNNNNNNNNNNNNNNNNNNNNNNNNNNNNNNNNNNNNNNNNNNNNNNNNNNNNNNNNNNNNNNNNNNNNNNNNNNNNNNNNNNNNNNNNNNNNNNNNNNNNNNNNNNNNNNNNNNNNNNNNNNNNNNNNNNNNNNNNNNNNNNNNNNNNNNNNNNNNNNNNNNNNNNNNNNNNNNNNNNNNNNNNNNNNNNNNNNNNNNNNNNNNNNNNNNNNNNNNNNNNNNNNNNNNNNNNNNNNNNNNNNNNNNNNNNNNNNNNNNNNNNNNNNNNNNNNNNNNNNNNNNNNNNNNNNNNNNNNNNNNNNNNNNNNNNNNNNNNNNNNNNNNNNNNNNNNNNNNNNNNNNNNNUAUUAAACAUUUGCAUUCUCUUCAUUGUUUUUCUCUCAAUGUAAUUUAUAUAAAUAUUAUACAAUGAUUUAGCAACAAUUCAAAAGAAUAAAUUAGUAUCCUAAGCAACUUUAAAAAAUAUUUUAUUCUAUCUUAAACUUUUAAUUUAGCAUUGCAUAUAUUUUUUGCAAUAUACAAAUAAUAUUAUUAUGUGGAAGUAUAUUUCUUAAGAUGAGAUCUAGAAAAAAUAAUAAUCUAUUACAAUGUAAGUUUAUUAUUUAUAAUUUUUCCAAAUAAGAUCAAUAUUUUUUAUGACUAUAUAGAGGUUAUUUUUAUAUACAGUUGUUAGUGAAUAAAAUUAGGGUCAUGCAAUUAGAGUAAGACAUGUGUGCAAUAGCCCACAUGUCUAGUUUGCCCUCGCAAAAUGCAAAACGAAAAUUGAAAGGGCAAAGGUAAAAUUGGAAAAUUUUAAGAAGAGAGCACGAGCCGCCCUAAUAACAUGAAAAGUGAAAAAAAUGUUGCUCAAAAUACCUUAAAGUUGCCAUAUGUCAAUAGAAGACAACUGUAAUAGUGAAAGCCCCUUGAUAAAAUCGUUACACAUUAGUAUAAUAUGGGUUCCACUGGGACCAACCCAAAAUAUAUCUCCAAUAGUUACAUGCAUCAAGAAUAAAAGAGAGAACUAGCUUAAUUGUUAUUCGAACCAUCAUCAGUGAAAUUAGCAACUCCCAUAGCUCAAUUGACUCAUUUGAAAAUAAGUCAAUCAGAAGUUGAGACGUGCUGUCAAAAGAGACAGUCUCAUAAGUGACAGGUGUCUAAUUCUAAAGAACUCAAAGAGCUCAAGUUAAAUAGUUAAAUUGCUCCAUAGACCCUACCUAAGGAGCGGAACAACUUAUGACGGCUCCAUAUGUGUCUAAAAAGACACAAAAAUGCCCUCAGAGGCACUCUAUUUAUAAGGUUAGCUCAAUCCCUCAAGGAAAGACUUAUCGCUCCCACAACACUUAAAUUUUUUCAUAUUUAAGGGUUUCUCUAAACCCAUCAACUUCUCCGUCUUCACCUAACUUGACCGUUAGAGUGCCAUCAUUGAUCACCAUACGCGUCACCUCUAAUAGCUCUUUUUCUUUGUUUUCAAGAUCGUCCCAUUAUGACAGCCCUUGGAAAACUACCCCAAAGCAACAAAUCCUCUAUCAUUCGCCAAACCACCUCUCAAAGUGAAGUUCUCAUAAUGUUUUUAGCCUAAAACAAAAUCAGACAAAAACAAUAGUAUCUCUAUAAACAGGCUUUAUUGUACAACCAAGUGACUAACUAAGCCAUGCCUCAAGGUAGAUUUUAUGCCCGAGUUAAGAAAUGAAUUAUAUUAAAAUUAACUCAAUCCAUUAAUGUGGUACGUUGAUUAUGUUUCAAAAUUCAUUUUCUUUAUUCUUUCUUACAAUUUAAAUUAAAAUAUACAAACCUGUAUUGCUCAUCCACCAAAGGAGUUAAUAAAUAAAUACGACUCCUAAAUUUGCAAAUAAACUUAAAUGGUUGAUUUUUGUUUUUUUAAAACGAUGCUCUAUACGUCUCUUGACUUAUGCACAUUUAGCAGUGGGUCGUGUUUAAACAGUUUAAUGUCAUAUUUUUAUAGUGUAUGAUAUAGUAUACUUACUUAAAUCCACCCCUAACUUAAUAGGUCAAAAAUAAAAAUUUAAGCCAAUUCGUUGUCAUUAUUAUUCUACCCAAAUUGACUAAUUUCAACCGCUCUUUUUGGCAAUUUAAAUUAACUACUUAAAAUGAUUGUCAUAGAUUUUUACUUUAAAACACAAACAAUAAUUACAACACAGAGUUCUUUAAAAAUGUAAUACCAAACAAAAAAAAUAGUAAUAAUAUUUAUGUUUAACAUCAUCAAGUGAUGUAGUCCAUAGAAUUUAUAUAAUAUCACAAUUGAAGAGAAAAAAAAAAGUUAUAGAACCUGAGUCGUGUGAACUUUUGCCAGACUUUGUAUCAAGUAAGAAAUCUAUCAUAAUUAAUUAGUAGAAGUUUUGGAUUUUCUAAAAAGUAAUUGAAAACAAUAACUUAAAAUUCUGUUUUACAAUUCUUUUAUUAAGAGUCCCAAUAAAUUUUCCCUUAUAAAAAAAUCCCUUAGAUUAUAUGAGAAGACAACUCACCUUUGUCCAGUAAUUAUCAGUCUUUUUGUGUUUGUUGAUGUAUAUUCAAUCACCAUCAUUAAUAUUGUAAGGAACUAUUUUACUUGUAAAAUUAAUUGAAACAUAUAUUAUAAAUAAAUUUUGUAUGCUGUUAUUAUUAUUUUCUAAUUAAAAGACAAUGAAAAGUACCAAAGAUUUAGAUAUGUUCUCCCGGCUAUUUGGACAAUUAAGUCAAUCACAUGUUUCAUCCCAGCACUUAACCAUCAAGUGCAAUAAUGGAUUUAAAAGAUUUGUCAAAAUGUGGCAUCGUUUAAUAAUUAUUUCAGAAAAUUUUCUGCAUUCUUAUUUUGAGAAUCUUAAAGAAGAUGAAAAACGUUUCUUUAAAAUAUAUUUUUAGUCAAAGUACAUACAAAUUUUGCUACGACCAGAGUAAUAAGAGUCAUCUGACACAGAAAUUUUAAAAAGGAAAACUGAACAAACAAACGGCCGUAAAACAUUUUGUACAAAAUUAUUUAUAUAUGUACCACUUGACAUGUAAUGGGAACAUCCUUUAUUAUUUUUUAAUUUGUAUUUCUAAUCUCCAGCUUAGCAUAAUCGGAUGAAGAGAAACAAGAAGCAAAAAUGGCAAGAAAUUGUAUGAAAAGGAUAUUGACAUUAACAUCACAGCAUGACAUAAUACGGUUGUACAUGCCAUGAAAAUGAAAUAAACAUUAAUCAUAAAUAUUAUUAAAAUUAAAUGUCUUUAGAGGAUUGGCCCAUAGGUUUGCAAACGGCUUUAUUUAAUUAAUUACUGAAGUUCGAAUCUUAAAGAGUAGGGUUCAAAAAAUUAAGUAGAAAGAGAACUUAAAUAACCAACUAAAAAAAUUAUUUAAAAACUACUCAGCAGUCUCAUGGAACAUCUUUAAAAAAAACAAUUCUUUAUAUCAGUUUUAUUUUUUCCCCCUUUUCCUUCUCAUUUGGCGAGUAAUAAUGGUGCGUAUUCAAUGAUUAAUAACAACCAAAAACAUGACAUAAUUGUUUACUUUCAUUUGAUAAAUCUAAUUAAAAUACCAAACCAACUUGUGAAUUAUAAAUUAACUAUCAUGACAUCUUUACUUUAUUCAAAAUAAUUUUUCGACUCCAAUCAUUGCCGAAAUUUACACAUUUUUUAAUCCUCAUAAUAGGUGUCGUAAUCUAUUAUUCUAUUAUAGUUUAUAAGUCUCUAGUCAGCUUUAUUAACUUUUCUUUGGUCUGCUUCUGGUGAUUUGCAAAUAGGAUUUUUGAAAUUUUGUUUAAUCUUGAUCGAUGUAACAAAACAAUUUAAAUAAAUUAUGUAAAUUUAGUGUCAUUGUUGCCCAUUUUUAAUGGCAUCAUCAUGUUUGUUACAUGCCAAAAAAAUAAGGGUUUUAUUUUUGCAUAAUGAUGCAAAACUUAUCUUUUUCGGGAAACCACUAAAUGAUCAAGUGACCUCUUCGGUGAAGUGUUCUACUUCUUUUGUUAAUUAUGGAAGUUGUUUUUUUUUUUUCACAUAUUUGGGAGUAGAUAUUCUUCUGAGCAUUUAUUUGAAUUAAAAUGUCGCCGUAAAUUAAGUUUCCAUUAUCAAUUAUUUUGAUUGUGUUUGAAUUUUAACUUUAACACUAGAAACUUAUUACAGAUGUCUUAAUAAAAUUCAAUAUAUUUAUUCUUUACUUAUCACUUAAUUGUGUUUAAUAUUUAUUUCCAUGACAAACCCCAACAUCUUACUGUAAUAAAACCUUGUUCAUUACUAGUAUUUUUUAGAUUCGUCACUUAGAUUUAAAAAUAAAAAUAAAAUAAACAUAUUAUUUAGAUUUUAUACAUUCAUAUUAUUCAAUUUUAAUCAAUUUCAAAUCUAUUUAGAUUUUAGGCAAUUUAAAAUCCACUCAGAUUUCAUAUGAAAAAAUAAACACUACUAUGUGGGAUCGCAAUCAAAGCAUAAAAAUAUAUUAUGCGGAAAAGUUUUUAAUCACACAAUCAAGUUUGAAUAAUUUAAAAUUUGACUUAGCUAAAGAUGAGAUACCAAAUAAUGAAAUUUCACCACUAAUCCAUUAGCUUGAUUAUGUCGUUUAUAACAUAGCUUAAAAUAUUCUCCAAUGGAGAAAUCUAUUCCUAAAUUAUGAAAAAAUUUAUUCAAAUAGUCACAUAGGGAGACUUGAACUUUUAAAUUCAAGAAUGAGAUAAAGCAGUGUCAAUUAGUAGAUGAAUGAACUAAUUUAUCAAUUAAUAGAUGAAUGAACUAAUUUUUCACAUUAUUAUUAUCGUUAUUAUUAUGGGAUAAUAUACAAUACCUUCCAAAAGAUUUCUGACAUAUUAUUCUACCACCAAAAUUUUUUGACAAUUAUAUUUUUCCGUUUAAUGUUUUAUUUUUUUAUUAUUUUACCAGGAAAUCAUUAAAAGCAACAUAAUAUUUAAUAUAAGUAUUGUUAAAAGAGGAUUUUAACCGUUAAACUAUUUAAUUGUGUAGAAAAUUGAUUUUGUCCACUAAAAUAGAAAAAUUUUCCCUUUUAUAAUUUUAUCAAUUUUGUUGAAUACAUAUCAAUAAAAAUAAUAAAUUUAAUAAAAAUAAAUAGUUAUUUUAAGAAAAUUAUUUUAUCUUAGUUGCUUGUUCUUUUAACAUUUGUAUUUAGCUAUUAAAUCAACUUAAUAAGUAUAUAUAAAUUAUAAUAUUUAAUUUAAUGAUCCUAAAUAAUUGUAUUAUUUUAUUAAAAGUUAUCAAUUUACAAGUUGACUUAUUGGAAAAAUUUUAAAUUACUAUAUACCUUUUUUCCUUUUGUGUCAAAUCACCAUUACUAUCUAAAUUUAUCAAAUUGAAAUACCUUAAAAUACUCCUACGACAUCUUCUUUUAAAGAGAGUUAAAUAUUUAGUGGUAAAAUAAUAACAAUUAAAAAUUUAAGUGGUAAAAUAUAAUUAUCAAAAAAUCGUAUUGAUGAAAUAAUAUAUCAAAAAUAUUAAAGGGGUAUUUGAUAAUAUCCCUAUUAUCAGUAUUAUUAUAAAAUUGUGAGUUUAACCCCUUUUUGCGCACCUGUAAACCAGCCUACAAAACCUACAAACGAGAUAUUAGUAUUUAUUAUAAGGGUCCGCCUAAGAUACAGCUAACAGACCUUACAGCUUCUAUGUAAAUUUGCUUUGAGCCCCUUAUACGCUAUAUUAUGUACACUUUAUUCAUAAGUAUAAUAAACUUUUUAAAUUGUACAAUUUUGUUGAGCCCCUUAUACUCUGUUUUAUUUCAUUGAAACCCUUAGAGUACUAAUUCACCCCCUACAAUUUUUAAAUUUCCAAAAUAUCCUCCAUUUAAUUAAAAAUAUAAUAAUUAUUAAAUGGAUUAUAAUUAUAAUUAUAAUAAUAAUAAUUAUUUUGUUAUAAUUACAAAUGUAAUUAUAAUUUUUAAAUAAAAUAUUAUUAUUAUUAACAAGAAUAAAAGUAUUAUAAUUAAUUAAUCUAAUAAUAAUAAUAAUUAAUAAUAAGUUUUAGUUAAAUAAUUAAUAAUAAUAAUUAUUAUUAAUUCAUUUUUUAAAAAUAAUAAUCACAAUAAUUAAAAAUUUUAUUGUUAGAAAUUCAUAACAAAAUGAUAUAUUCAAAUAAAAGAGUUUUUUUUUAAUUUUCUUUUUUGGACAAAAUAUUAUAUGUAUGAUCUGUUCAUUUAUGUCAAAGAAUUAGGCAUGAAGGACCACUCUACGCAUGACCAAAAACUUGGAAAAAAAAAUUCCUUUUCCUUUGACCCAAAAAGAAUGGAAGCUUUGAACAGCAUCUAUGUUAUUGUAAUUAAUAAAAGUUAAUUAAUAAUAAUUAUUGUUAAUAGAUUAAUUAAUUAUAAUAAUUUUUAUUCUUGUUAAUAAUAAUAAUAAUAAUCCAUUUAAAAUUAUAAUCAUAUUUAUAAUUACAACAAAAUAAUUAUAAAAUGGAGGGUAUUUUGAAAAUUUAAAAAUUAUAGGAGGAGAAUUGGUACUCUGAGGGUUCCAAUGAAAUAAAACAGAUACAAGGGGUUCAACGAAAUUUUACAUAGGAGCCGUAAGAUGCGUUAGCUGUAUCUUAGGCGGACCCUUGUUAUAAAAUUGUGAGUUUAACCCUUUUUGCACACCUGGAAACAAGCCUACAAAAUCUACAAACGAGAUAUGUGUAAUAGCAUAUUUGGCCUCCCAAAUGCAAGACACAAAUGCGAUUGUGUGACCCUUUAGAAAAACAAUUCCAAGAAGCAAUCUUGAAGUAAUAAAUAAAUAUUAUUUUCUUAGAAAAAGUAUAAUAAUUAAAAUUUAAAAUUAUUUAGUUGAUUCACUAGUCACUAGUGAAAUCUUGUCAAGUUAGCAAGAAACAAAAAGCAAAAAGUCGAGCAGACUUGUUUCUAUCAUCAUUAAGUCGUUUUCUUUGUCUUUCCAAAUGGCCGAAACAUAUUUUUUUCUAAUAAAUAAAACAAUCCUCAUUUUAUUUGAAAAUAAAAUAUUGUUGUCACCCACCAAGGACUGUGAUUACAUACCCACCAAUCAAAUUAUUGCUUCAAUUAUGAAAAUUAAUGACACCUGGCAAGUUUCAUUACAUUGCAAAAACAAAAGCAACUCUCAUCAUCGCAAAUAAAUAAUAGGGGGUUUUUUGCCAACCAAUAUAGAAAAUCAUGAAAAUUGGAAUCAAUUAUUUUUUUUAUGGACCAAGCAUAUUAAUGUAUUGAUUGAUAUCUCUUAAAUGAUUCGUUUUAUUUUGUUUUUAAUCUUUUUGCUUUGUCCCUUCCACAAAGAUUUGAUUCGGGAUAAACAAAUAAUUAAAUUUGGUAAUCCCUUUUUUUUUUAAGAAUGUAUAGGAAGAGCAACUAUAUUAUUCAAAAAUUUAUAAUAGAAAAGCUUAAUAUAAAAGAACCAAAUAACUAAAUUAUAAUAGAACCUCAAUAAAUUAAUAUUCAAUAAAGUAAUAAUUUCGAUUAAAUAAUAGCUUUUACUGGUUCUGGUUUGCAAUUAACAUAGUAAAUUAAUAAUUUGAUAAAUUUGUAAGAUAUUUUUUUUAAAAAAAAAGACUACUACCAAAGACAGCUAAUUAUUCAAAUUAAACAUAAUAAAUACUAAAUCAAGGUAAAUACAUGCUAUAAACGUGAUCAUAUUUUUCAAAAGGAUAAAUACUUAUUUAGCCCUUUUUAUUUUAAUUUAAUAUUUAUUUAGUCUACAUAUUUUGAAAUAUACCUCAAAAUACCUUACUAUUAAAUAUAUUAUAUUGUUAUCCCUACUUUUUCUUUACUUUUACAAUAAUUCCGUUGCAGCAAUAAUUUUGACAUUAAUCUUUUAAUCUAUAAAAAAAUUAAUUAGCAAAUUAACGAAUAAUUACUUAUUCACAAAUUAAAAAAUAAAGAUCACUAUGAAACAGGUAGUAUUUUUCAUACCCUUGCAAUAAUGUUGCUAAUUAUUAUUUAUAAAUAAAUUAAUACUAGUCAAUUGAAAGUAAUGUUUAAUACCCUUGCAACAAUUUGUAAAAAAAUUUUGUAAGAAUUAAUUUACUAAAUUAAUCCAAAAAGUUCAAUAAUAGCAACUAUUUUUUAUUUUACUUUCAUUAAUAUCUCCAAGAAUAUUGUUGCAGGGGCAUUAUUGUGAAAAAGCAAAGAAAAUUUGAGAGUGUGAUUUUAAUAUAAUUAUUAGAAGGGCAUCUUGAAAUAUUUUUUAAAAUAUCGGGACUAAACAAUACUUAACUCAAAAUAUAAGUACUAAACAAGCAUUUGUCUUUUUAAAAAAUAAGGAACUUAUUCAUUAAUUAAUAAUUUAUUAAUUUAUUGAUAUAUUAAUAUUUGUUAAAUUAAUAGAUUUUCAUGGUCCCAAUACUGUUAAUUUAUCAAGAUUUUACUGUUGUUAUUGCAAACUUGACAACACCUAACAUAUAGGUAAAAUAAAUUCUUCAGAUACAAAUCAUAAAUUUUAUAAUUUCUCAUCAAGAAAACACAAUACACGAGACUUGAAAUCAACAAUUUUAUUAUAAUAAUAGAAGGUUGAUACGAUUGUUCCAAUUAUUCAUCUGAUUGAGUCAUUGAUGAAUGUAUGAUUUUGUAACGCAUUAGAGCAUCCCAUCAAUAAGUGGACCUAAGUCCGAUUUCUCCAAUUCUCAUCUUAUUGACCAAUUUGUGCAUAUAUGCAGAAAUCUCAUUAUUACAGUGGAUUUUGAAUAUAAAAAAAUUGUAUCAAGUAAAAUAUGUAUUUUAGCUUUCUUGUGUUAAAAAUUUGGUUGGUAAACAUAUACAAUUUUGACAAAAGAACUUGCACAUUAAUUAUUAAAGGAAAUUGAUAUUGGAGACAAUGUCAACAAAGGGCAAGAGAAAGAUCACUCUUGCUGCCAUUUUUGUCACCCAUAUUUUGUAUAAAAUAAAAAACAAGAAGUGAUAAUAAAAAUGACAAUAGGAGGUGUCAUUCUAAUAUCACUCAUUUUUUAGUUCUCAUUAGUUUUUGGAAAUGGGUUUUGCUUUUUCAAAAUGAUUUUUUCUUUUCAUUUUCUGAAUUAGUAAAUGAAGAACUUUUUUUUUAAUAGUCAACAAAAAAAUUAAUCCUGAACUUCUCAUCGUGGAAAGUAACAAGACUACGAGAGAGAGCAUCAAAACCUUUUCUUAUUCUUGACUUAAUGGUAUACAGUAAAUAAAAAGCUAUGUACUACCAAAAAUGAUAUUUCAUACCAAAAGUGAUAACGUCACGAUAAGAUUGACAAGAAUGUGCCCACGUAAAUCAAACUGCGGGAGUUUUAGAGAAUUAUCAUAUACCUCCCUCAAAAUUUGCUAAAAUUUCUCUUAAAAAAUAAGAUUAAAUAAAUAAGCUGAUCAUGUCAGUACUAAUGCAUUGAAUUUUAAUAAAAUUCUAUAAUUAAGUGUGUUUAAUUAAGUAAGAGCAUCAUUAAGAUGGUAACCUAUUGGGACUCAACAUGCAUGCUAUAUCAUAUCCCUCUUUUAUUCUAGUGUUAACUCACGGUUUGUAUUGUUUGAUAGAAUCAAAAGCAUUUUGAUGACUUAGAAUGAAAAUAAUUUAAAAAAUAAAAAUUUUCAUAUUAAGAAAUGUGUAAAUAUUAAGUUAAACUACCCUUUCAUUUUUUUUAAUAAAUUAAUCACAUUCUCAAUAAGAAUUGAAUGUUUGAAUAAGAGUGAUUUAUUUUUUAUUUUUUAUGAAGUAUUCCCUCUAAGUACAAGUAGUAAUAUUAGUAUCCUCAAUACUUCCAUAACUCACGCAUUAAGGUAAAAAGGUAUGAUAAAAACAUAUAAUAUGACAUUUUACAUAAAUUCAAACUUGUUAGCAUGUCAUAUUGGCUUUAAUUUAUCAUCACAUGUGCUUAAAUUGAAAAUAAUUGAAGUUAUUAAUUAUAUGAUUGUGCUUAGAUGUUAUGAAGUAUGUUUGCUUGUUUCUUUUUUACCAUUGCUCAUUGAAAAAAAAAAAAAAAGAGUCCAUUUUGUGGUUCUGUUUGGCCCCAUUAUUUCAUGAUCUUAAAUUGUUUGUUCAUAUGACAAUUUUUUUUUUCAAAAGGGCAGUGGUGAGAUAUCAAAUUGAUUUUUCAAUCCUUACUUCUCUCAAGUGGGUGCCGACUAAGUAAAUUUACUUUAAAAUCACUUAAUCAAGCUCCUACGAGCCUCUUUUGUCUAAUAAAAAACUUGACUCUUUGAUCAUAAACGAAGGUGAAAUGUGCAAGUGUAUACUUGGGUAAUGAUCCAAAUAAUGAAGUAAACUUUGCUUACAUAUGGUUAGGACUUUUUAAAGGAAGUGUUUUAGUCUUUGUCAUAUUCUUUGCUAGUUCAUCAAAUUCUAUCAAACGCAACAAAAUGUUAAUUAAAACUAGGGGAUGCCUCGACCUUUUCAUAAAAUUUUGCUCUUUAGCUAAAGUUUUGAUAAAAUGGGGGAGGUGUGUCAUAAUUCACCAGAGUUUUGAGGCAUGUUGAACAGCAUAAUUUGAAUCUGUUAAAAAAAAUUAUAUGUAUAGGGGUGCACAAGUAUUUUUAAAAUUGUUGAUUAUUCUCAUUUAUGAUUUUGUCCUUGAUGAUUUUAUUACAUACCGAAAACCCCAUCUAGAUUGUAAUGUUCCAAAGAGCAAAAAAUCAGAAAGUGGAAAAAAGAGAGGUCUAGUAGAUGCCAUGUUCAGUAAUCCAACAAACAAGAAAAAGGUGAGUUGGAAGAAGGAAAUUGAGGGAAAGAAGAUGUUUAUUUUAAGUGAAGCAAUAAAAAAAAAGGCACAGAGAGAGAGAGAGAGAGAGAGAGAGAGAGAAAAACUAGGAACGCAAAAUAAAAUUAAAAAAAAGAAAAAAAUGAGAAAAAAGCUGCAAAUGGGGUCAUUGUCAAAAGGUGUGAUGGUGGCAUAUAAAGGAUCUAUCUCUAUCUAUCUAUCAAAAGCAUCUAGUGACUAUUUCUUCAACUGUGUAACCGAGGGGUUCUUCCAACAUUUUUAAGUCCUAACUAGUAGUAAAAUUCUAAAGACACCAAAAUUACAUUAACAAUAAUGACAAAUAUAUAAGGCAAGAAAUGUUCCGUCGCUAAUUAAUUUUUAAUCUUUUUAUUUGACUAGUAAUUUGAUUUUUGGAGGAAAAUGAAAACAUCAAAAAUUAUAUUUAAACUCUGUCUACUUUAUUAAUAUUUUAAAAUAAAUAAUUUAAUAAGUGACAUUAUUUAUAUUAUAAUAUAUAUUAUAUUAAGAACACGUGUUCAUUUUUAGACGGGAAAUGAUUUUCAUCUAAUAAAGAUGACAUAUAUAAAUAAAUAAAUUUAUCAUUAUACGCAAAUUGCAAUAAGACCCUUACCAUCACGUCAUUUUAAGUGUAUCUAAUAAUUGAGUAUAGAGAGCCUUGUUGCAAUUUUAAAUUAAUGAAAUUAACAUAUAAUCAAUGAAAAUAAAAGGGUAGAUAAUUGGGUUGGGUUGAAAUUUUUAUUCCUUUUGUAUUUUUUUUUAAUUAAUAUUGUAAGGGGGUGAGUAGUACAAGAAUAGCAGAAGAGGCAGUGAUGAGAUCACAGGUACUUUAAUCUCUUUUCUGACCAAACACUGCAACACUUAAAACAGUUGCAUCAUCAAGGCCUCUUAUAGGCUAAAGAAAGAAUUCCUCUUCCCUAUAGACCUUCACAUCUUUACAUUUACUGUUACACCACCACCUCUCUAACUAGACUUUUGUGAUUGUGUCUCUUUCAUUUUGUUUUCUCUUAUCCAUCUAUAAAGAAAGAAAGGGGAAAAAAAUGAGAAUUAUUCAGAAAAUUUCCCGAGAAGACUCUUCUUGAAAUUGGUUGUUUUCUUUUCUAGUUGUUCUUUGUUCAUCUUUGGUCAAGUUGGUAUUUAGAAUUUACUGUCAGCACAAUAUCACUAUUUUGGUCACUGUACAGUACAUAAAGAGGCUCAAUUACCAAAACCUGAGUGUAGAGACUCAGUGAGAAGGGAAAGAGAUGGGUUAGGCUAAAAAUUGAGCUUGUUUCAGCUAGCCUUCUUGGGUUUCUGUCAUGGUUUUCAGUUUUUUAGGGGAGGUCUUUUUUGUUUUUUGUUUUUUGUUUUUGUUUUUGUGUUUUUUUUGAUUUUUUCCCCUUUUCACGGUGUUGUUGUUGGGGUGAUGGAAGUGGAAAUAUUGAAUGGCAGGGCCUUUUGGGAGAAGCAGCAUCAUCAGAAGAAACAGAAACAGAAGCAGAAGAAGCAGUUUUCAGUGUGGUGGCAGCUGCACAAGCAACAAGAGGAGAUUAGUAGUAAAGAACUAUCAAGAACAACAACUACCCACCAUUAAGCAGCAGCAAAAGUGCUUUUCAUUAAAAGCUGGAACAGAAAAAUCACUACAGCCUGACUCUGGAUCCUCAAAGGAAUCAUCAGCAUCAUCAUCAUCAUCACCACCAUCAAGAAGAAGAACAUCAUCAGUAUCGAAGACAUGUAGAAGAAGAAGAAGCAGAAGAAAAUUACAAUAAUCUUCCACGAGACCAACAUUUCAUCAAUUCAAGAUUAGGCUUAGAAUCACAACUUCUUCAUCAACAACAACCACACAAGAAACGCUCUUAUUUUCCUUCUUCAACUUCAUCAUCUUGUUCUUCAAUCCAAUAUGCAAGAAAAAUGGGGGAAUCUCACAAUCACGCAAUAACAUCGUCAAGACUGGGGAUAAGAAACACUGGAGGGGAGAUCGUUGAGGUCCAAGGAGGUCACAUUGUUCGUUCAACUGGGAGAAAAGAUCGCCACAGCAAAGUUUGCACUGCAAAAGGCCCAAGAGACCGCCGUGUUCGCCUCUCAGCUCACACAGCCAUUCAGUUCUAUGAUGUUCAAGACCGCCUUGGCUACGACCGCCCCAGUAAAGCAGUAGAUUGGCUCAUCAAGAAAGCCAAAGCUGCCAUUGAUGAGCUCGCCGAGUUGCCUCCUUGGAACCCGGGAACUGUUACCAAUACUAGAGCUUCUACAGCAAAAUCAAGGAAUGCUCAUCAUCAGCAGAGUGAAGCAAAUGAAGAGAGAAACUUUCAGUAUCCUGGUAGUUCAAAUGAUGUUCAGAAUCUUCCGAUGGUUGAAACCCCGAAUCAAAAUCAAAGCUCAAGCUUUCUUCCGCCAGCUUUAGACUCUGAUUCUAUUGCUGAUACAAUCAAGUCAUUCUUUCCAAUGGGUGCUUCAACUGAUACAACAGCCUCAUCAAUUCAGUUUCAAAACUACUCACCGGAUUUGCUUUCAAGAACUACUACAAGUCACAGCCAAGAUCUGAGGCUUUCUCUCCAGUCCUUUCAGGAGCCAAAUAGCAUUCUUUUACAGCACCGCCAACAACCUCACCCACAUCAUCAUGCUCAUUCUCAUUCUCAUCAGCAUCAGCAGCAGAAUGAGCAAGUUCAAGUCUUGUUCUCUGGAACCACACCACUUGGUGGCUAUGAUACAGCUUCUGCUGCUGCUUCAGCUUGGUCUGAGUCAGCAGAAAUGUCAAGAUUCCAGAGAAUGGUGGCUUGGAAUAGCGGUGGUGGUGCUGCAGAUGAUUCAGCUGGUAAUGCAAGUGGUGGUGGAUUUGUGUUUAAUUCGCAGCAGCCGCCGCCAGUGCAGCCGUUGUUCGGCCAAAACCAGUUGUUUCAUUCACAGAGGGGACCCCUUCAGUCCAGUAACACGCCUUCGGUUCGUGCUUGGAUAGACCAACCAAUUGGUCUUACCAAUGACCAUCGACAACAGCAUCAUCAUCACCUUCACCAUCAUCAAAUUCUACAACAGCCAGCAGUCCAUCAAUCUGUGAUAUCCGGCAUUGGAUUCGCCUCUCCUGUUGGUGAAUUCUCUGGAUUUCGCAUUCCAGCACGAAUCCAAGGCGAAGAUGAGGAACAUGACCAUGGCAUUCACAAUAGGCCAUCCUCUGCUUCCUCUGAUUCUCGCCAUUGAAAUCAGAUCGUUUUCCUCUCUAACAGGUCCUACUUUCAAUGCCAACUUGUUAAAUUUGUUCACUUUUUCUGUUCGUGCAUUAAUUUUAAUCAUCUUUCAGGACUUGUUGAUUGUUUUGUGUCACAUGGGAGCUGAUUUGAUGGAACUCAAUCAAGAGCAAGUGAAGAGAGGAGAUUUGGAGCAUUUUAAAUUCAAUGGCCUAAAACCGUGGGAAGAAGAAAAAUUCUGGAUGGAUUUCAAGUUUUUCAAUCCUUGGUUUGUUUUAACUUCUAUCAAGUUUAUGUUUGCAUCAUGAUUUGAAGUGAGCUCUUGAAGCUCAACUUUGUUUAUUUUCUGUUGGUUUUGUUAUGUGUUCAAGUUAACAGACUUUUGAAUAUCAUUGAUGUUUGUCUUUGUAAUUUUAUAUUCUUCUGCUAUUGCUAUUUUACAAUUAAGAAGCAAACUCUGGUUUGUUUUAGGGUUGAUUUGAUAGUUGAUAUUUUGCCCAAUCAGAGCAAACCCAAUCCGAGGAGUAUGGCACCGUUGCAAAAUUCUCAUGAAUAUAGUUGCUACUAAUCAACUAAUAUAGAAAAUUUCACGGUAUUCUCACUUGACUCAAAUCUUAUGUUAUUUAUUUUCUACGGUAACGGUUACAAAUUGAUAGAAGCAGAUUAGGUUCCUUUUCUUUGUUUAGAAAUGGUCCAUUUCUUACUGGGUGAAAGAGAGAGUUUUUGUUUGUGAUUGUUUUUGUUGCUUUACUGCUUUCUAAUUGAACACUCUCAUGCCCCAACAGCUUCUUUAAACCUGCAAAAAGAAUUGAAAGAAUAGUGGUCUUUAACAUCUCCAUCAUGCCUCUGGUUUUGGGAGCAUUAACCGAGAAGUCAUUUUCUAUGAACAGUAGAGGUUAGAGUUGAAGGAGUGGAUUAGGCUUUACAUGUCAUGUGAUUGCUUGUAUCAUAUGCCUAUUUAUUGCUUGCUGCAAUUUUAGCAUCUACCUUAUUUGUCCAAGUUGAAUGUUGGGUAUGCUUUCAAUCAAAAUUUCAAGCGGUUAAUUUCAGUAACAUAAUAUCAAUCUCGGUAGAAGCCCAGCUACCAAAUUUUGUAGAAUCCGAAUUGUUUUAUAGGGCCUAAUAGUAGAAGUUUAGUCCUAUUUCAAGUACAAGGCUUUUAGAAUUGUGAUGCAAAGACAACACAUUAUAUACUUCAUUUGCAUGUCCUAUAAUUUAGUUUAGUAUAUCAGGUUGCUGAGGAAUCUUAGGUCAUGGUCUCGUAAUCAAUGAGCAAGUUAGAUAAAUUUAGAAGGUAAUGCCAAGUGGGGCUGCCUAGAGUACAUCCGCUGAAGGAACCAUGAAAGAGGAAUGGGAUGAGCACAACAAGUUCAAUAAUAGAAAGAAUACACAGAUGGAUACCACCAAAAUUUGAUACUUUAGCCAUCUGUAAAAUGGUCCCCCUACCCUGUAAAUCUCAGUGCAUAAUAAAAAUCUAUCAAUGUCUAGCUGGAAACUUUUAUUUUUGUAGGAGAAAAAAAAAAAAGAAAAAGGAUAUAGAGAGAAAAAAAAAAUCAUAGCUUAAACACUGCAGAUAGUGACGUUUGCUUUAUGGUUGUUGAUACUUCUUAAUGGUUGGUUGAUGGGUGUUACUCCAAUGGCCUUGCUGAUUACAUAAACUAUGCAGGAGAUUUCUCUCUUUUUUUUUUAAUAAAUGAAUGCUCAUUAACUGAGGAAAUUGAGCAAUAACCAGUACUUUUUGGCAACAACAGGGCCCAUGUUAGUUGCUCACCAUAUUUAUUGCAUCUUCAGCGAGAGCAAAGCAUAAAAUAUUGACCUUUGGCUAUGAUAAUAUGCUCUUUUCUGCAUAAAGUAAAAAAAGGAAAAAUAUUGCAGAGACCAUGAAGAAUUAUAUAUGAUAACCUUGUUGAAUGUUGUUCAAUCAAGUGUAGACACAGAAUAAGUUUUUCUAUAUAUAAAAUUUCAAUUGCUUUAUAGCUCCGAUAGACCUAGAGUCACCCAUUGUAUAUGUAUUCCCAUUUUAUUAUUUGGAUUCUCCUUGUUGAAAGUACAGCCAACUUUGUCCUGAUUAAAAAAUCAAAAUCAUUGAGAUUCAGCAUUUUCCCUCAUCGGCUUCACGACAUGCACAACAAUCCAUAAAUGACAACCUUGUUUUCAAAGGCAAUAAAAAAUUACACAUCCAUUCUCAUACAUACAUACAUAUGUGUGUGUUUUCUCUUAUUUUACACACUUCAUAUCAUGUUCACACCAACUCAACAGACCAAAAUCACAACAACAAGUACAGAAUGUAGCCUAUAAAAAAUUCAUGUCACUCAACUGCCAAGUUGAUGCUAUGUGGGGGUGAUUUUUUCGCUUUUGUAGUUUUAUUACCAUUUGGUGUAGCUGAAACUGAGACUUUUAACUCAAGCUGGUUUGCAAAUUUAUCAGCAUUGCUCACUUGCUUGCCUUUAAUUUUCUUGGUUGGCUUCGCAUUAACUCUAACCUCCCAAGGCCGAGCAGCAAUCCAUCGUUCCAUCCAGCUCCAGCCCCAGUUGUCCUUGCAAAUACUGUAAUAAGCCUGUCCUAGAUACUGGCUCGAGUUUGCCCUCCACUGCAAACAUUUUUACAGAUGCAUAAAUCUUAACACAAACACAAGUAUUAGAUCUAGAUUUUGAUAUUAAGAUGGUAAUGAUAUUAAUAGCAGGUAAACCUGGUGAGAGAAUGCAUAUGCCAUGGCUCGUUCACGCUUAAUUGCUGCUUCUUCUCUCUGCUGUAUUCUCGAAAGAAUUUCCUCCAUAGUUUCGGAACCAUUGUGCCAUUCAACCUAUUGGGAAAAGUUAAUACAGCCAAGGGCAUUAGAUUCUUCUAGUGUAACUAACUCAUUUGAUCGAUAGAUGAGUAAUUGAUGAAACUAUGAAUGGGGUUGGUUUACAAGUUUUAACAGGCAUUAGUAUUUAGUUAGUACCUCCAAAUCAUGAAGCUUGGCCUCUAGUUUCAACUGAUUUUCCAGUUUCUUGUGCUUAAUCCGACCUUCAGUGACCAUGCAAAGUCUGCGGUUUCUAAUUUGUGUCUGGAUAUUGCACCAUGAAUGUAUAUUGUUAAUUGCACUUGAUGUUUGCUUCUGAACAGAGUGGUCUUGAAUCAAGAUGUUAAAUCUCCCCGUCCCCCUAAGACGCCGGAUUGAUUUUCUUGCCUGCAAAAAUCAGAAACAAAAGACGGUAACAUAAUCUAUAACCCAAAAGAUCAAAAGACUACUUUUGGUGUCUUCACAUUGUUACUAAUUAUUAAGAAGAUAGAGUGCCGAAUAUUUUCUGGAAUGCUGCCCCGUAAAUGCCAAAAUUUGACAGAACGUACUCUGUAAGCCCGGAAAGCUUUCUGAAUCCGAGUGGCGGCUCUUUCUUCGACUGAAAUUCUGAGAAAACCAGGGUUAAUAUGUGGAUCUGAACCACCAUUGGUAUUGGCAUUGGCAUUCCCACUUGAUUCGCUGGGAGACUCAUUGGAGUCAUUUGAUUUUUCAGUAGCUGACUGCACCUGUUUCAGUUUCCAUCCAGAUCAAAUGAUAAUUGAACUCCCAGCUGUGCAGAAUUAAUAAAAACAUACAGAAGAUCUACCUUUCCUUGUUUGGAUCUGUCUUGUUUCCCCUUUUUUAGGCAAAUUAUUGAUCUAAACCAGUGCCCUGAACCCAUUUAUACUGAGUUGCUGAAGAGACUAGAACAAACCUGAUACAUUAUUUAGAUUGCGUUUUAGAUGUAAGCUAAGAAUUAAGAAAAAAGGUGGCAUCAACAAAAGGCAAAAACAAGAACUAAAUGCAAAGGCGUCUCGAAUCAGUUGCACCAUGCAUCAAUUGUUGAAUAGAAACUAGCAAUGUUGCUAAAGAAAAUGCACAUUACCAUAUACCAAUUCAACAAAUCAUUCAUACAAGAUAAGCACUAUACUUUGAAUAUUUGAUCUGAUGACAAGUAAAAAAUUGAAAGAAAUGAACAUACAAGAAAAGAAGAUGCACAUGUUCUCGGCAGUGGCAAGUGUUUGGGGAAAAAUGAUUGUAGAUUGCAUGAAUGAUGGGCAAGUGUUUGUGGUAGUAAUAAGAAAUUGUCGUAGAUUGCAAGAAAAGUCACAGAGUGAGUGUGUGAUAUGCUUGUAAUGGGGUAAUUAUGGCUUCAUUUCACCAUAUGCAAGAUCAAACUGACUUUUCAACUAAACUGAAGCUGUUGUUUAAUCUUUUGGACGAUCAACUGUCAUCAUCACUAGAAAAUGAAUAAAAAUAAUUAAAGUAUGUGAUAGUUUUAAACAAAUUAAUGGGUGUCGUUUCCAUCAGAAUAUGCAAAACAGCGUAUACCUUCAAUGUAAACAUGGUCCUGGUCCCGGCGGGGUUCGAACCCGCGACCUUCGGCUCAUAAGACCAACGCUCUAACCAACUGAGCUACGGGACCGUGCACGAAGGAUUGUUUCUUGUUUGUACCACAGAUAUUGAUAACUAUAAUAUCUUCGAAUCUAUGUUGGACCCUUCGAAGGAUUAAUCAUCUAUACCGCUCGGAGGGGAGAGAGAUAUCAAAAUAUUCGUAAAAGUGAGAAGAAAAUGCAGAAGAAUUUUUAAUGAUGUCAUAAUUCUAUAUUCACCGGAAUUGUGUGUAUAUAUAUAUAUACACACACGAUACAUAUUUCAUGUUAAACAAUAUUACCAUAAAGGAUUUUAGGACAAAUAGGUAAGUGAACUGCUGCUCUCACAUCUAUUGAAAUAUGAGAACUCAAUUUCUCCCUCAAUUAAAGAAUGAUUGAGUGGAGAAAAUUUGCAGUCUUUCUCCUUUACGAAAUGUGAGUGCAGUAGGCAUUCUUUAAAUAUUAGUAAGGAUAGAAAAUCUAAGUAGUGCUCUUUAAGAUUUAAUGUAAACUAAUAGAAGACUGUAGUUGUUUGAUUGUAAAUAUCAAUAGUUAUCUAAUGUAAUAUCAAUUGUAAAUAUCUGAUAUAAUAUCAAUUGUAUUAUAGUAUUAAAAAAAAAAAGAGACACACAGGGAAGAAUAAAUUACGAAGGUUACACUUAAAAAAAAUGAUAAAUAUCUUCAAACACCUCGCUAAUUAAUUCGGUAAAACAGAGUCUCUUUAGACCCAAAAUAGGAGAUAUGGGGUGAUAGAAUAUUGAAAGAGUGAGGGUUGUCAUUCUAGAUAGAGUUUUGUGCAUUUUAUAAAUUAGAAAAACUCUAUUUGAAAUGGAAAUACCAAGCAAAAUCUUAACACAAACCAUAAGUAUGCAACAAGACCAUGCUCAAAUCAGAAUGACAAAAAUAGUUGCUUCAACUUAAAUGAAAACAACUCUAAUCCAUAUAUAAAAGCCUAAAGAAAGAACUCUAGUUGACCAAGCCCUUCAUCUAGUUGAUUAUAAUUGACCAAAAUCACAAUUUUUAGUACACUUUAGUUUGGUAUAUACCUAUAUCAUAUUUUUGGUAAUCUACAAUGGUCAUAUCCUUCCUUACUAGUAAAUACCUCCUUAUAUUAAGCUUAAACAUAUCCCUUGGCCUUGAGUUUGAGAAAACUCUACUUUCAUUUCUCUCAUUCUCCCUAAAACUCGAUAGUUUCUUUGUUAUUGUUAUUAUUAAGUUUUGAGCUAAUUUCUUGUAUCAAAAUAACCAUUGGUGUUCAAGCAGGAUACUUAAGGUGUGGACAUAGGCAGGAUUGGUGAACUAUUAAAUAUGGCUCAUAUUCCUACUCUCCUUCUUCCUUCUCUCUUUUCAAUUUAUAUAGAAGUUCAUAAUUCUAACUUACACUAAAAGUCAGCUCAUGAGUUGAGGAUUGUCUCAUGCUUAUAUUGUUAGUCUAGUAAAUAUUCUUAGCUGAUGUGGGAUAGACUAGUCGUUUUGACUUGGUCGUUGUCACGUGGAAAGAUAGUGCGAGCCUACUCAUACACGAGUCUAACUUUGAUAUAUGAUAGAUGUUAAGAACUAAUAAAGUUCACUCAUAUUAAUUCUUGAUGGCUCAAAGGCCUUUUUAUAUAAGAAUUUCAAAAACAUAAAAGGAAAAUAAUUAGAUAUUCUAAACGAGGGAUUCAUCUUCGAAAUCAUGCAUAAUCAUCUUGAUGCUUUCUAUUUGUGUAUGAUAUAACAGCCUUGAUUAUUGUCAUAAGUGUACGUCAUAAAGGUCUUGAUCCUUGUCAUAUGCACCGCAUCACAUUAUGGUUUUGAUUCUUAUUAUGUAUGCACUAACACGAUGUGAUUCUUAUCACUAUACAUGUUCUUCAAUCUUUAUUUUCCUGCCCUUUAUUUUUAAGUUGUUUUCUAUUACUUUUUGACAUUGUUUAUAUAUUCUUGAAAUUCGUUUGGUAAAAUAUGCCUAAUUAUCUAAUAAUUAAAAGGGCAUUUGGGUAGUUUUAGUUGUAUGUAGAGAAAAUUUGAUGUUGAAGAGGAACAAAAAUUAAGGAUUUUUUUAAGGGUGGGCUUUUAUUUUUUGCCCAAUUGAUAUUGUAUACAAACUUGCUAGGAAUUUAAAUAAAGUGUUGUAUAUAUAUAUAUAUUGAGUGCUGGAGAAUGUAUAUUUAUAAAAGGUAAAAUUGUCUGCUUACACUCCAAGUCUCAUUAACAUUGCUACUUUUAUGUAUUUAAAUCCUUUAAACUCUGAUUGUGUGUGUUUUGUUAUAAUUUGAGUAUUUUGUGUAUUUUAUAGUUGUUGAUAAAUUUUAUAAUCAAUUGCUACUAAUGCCAAUGUGCAAGUAUACACAACAAGUAAUAAAGUGAUGAAUAUUCAAGAUCGUCUCCACAUGGAUUGAUGUUACUCGAAAUGCUAUAGCAAUCACAAUAGUGCAGACCAACUUAAGUCCGAAGUUAACAAACAUAAAAUGAGUUAUAUUGUAAUUGAUGAUUGUGAGAGAAUAAAGUAAAACAAUACCGUAAUGAAAUAAACUAAAUUAAAUGUGUCUAAGAUCCAAUUAAGAUUAUGGUAGUUGAAUGAUCAAACUCUCCUUAUGCGCUGACUGUUUUUCAUCAAGUUAACUCCGGUUGUUACGGCAAGUGCUGCAGCACUGGGCAGAAUUAAUCUGCAUCCUCAACUAUCCCAUAUUGGAACUCUCAUACCCUUAAAUACACUAGCAAUGACCAGUUGCUAAUCUACUCAUGAUAUGACUUUAUGACCCUUUUAGUCUCUUCACCCUACAAGGUGAUCACCUAUGUCUAGUGUGUCACAAAUCUUAACUUCAAGUAUUGCCCUUAUGGGAUUCAAGAUAACUUAAUCCAGGAAACUUAACUUAAGAUCAAGUAAUACUCUAAUAAUAUCUACUAAGACAUGUCAUUUUGCUGCUCUAUCUUAACUGGAACUAUUAAAUGAGUGGUCAACCGAAAUAACAGUUAUAUUAAUAAUAACUACUAGAGUAAAGUGCUACAACAAUGACAUAACAAUACAUAAGAACAGUCAAGAACCCAUUGGAUUGUUUGUCACUCAACUACAAGCAAAUCUAGUUCAUAUUCUGAAUGAGAAAAAUAAACAUAAAUUUAUUGUUCACGGGAUACAUCCGAACAAUCAAAGAAAGAAGAAAAGUAAAAGUUAAGAACAGUAAAAAGCAAAUCCAAAUAACUCUGCUGGAAGUCUCAAUUUUGCUAAAGCCGUCUCCUUUUGUUUCGAUCUUCUUCUCCUCUUUUCUCUAAUGUAUUAAUGAUAAUCCCUUUGCCGCCUUUCUAUGUGGUGCGCGCCCCCCUUUUAUACUACAAAGUAGGGUAAACAAAAGUCCGUGAGCGUGCAUGAGUUAAAUUAGGAAACAUGCAGAUCGCGAUUCUGCAGUUGGUCCGCGCCUAAGUUUUCUCCCUCAUUGCUCCCAGAUUGCUACAGCACUGGUUGCUCUAACAACAGCUACAACAUUGCACUGUUCCCGAUUGUGCUUUACUUCUUUUGUAGCCAUCUUCUUUCCUCCUCUUGCUAAUCUAAUGUCUCAGCAUCCCUUCCUGAAUUAAGACUUUUUGAAAACCUGCAAUUAUGCACCUGUUUUGAGCACAAAUUACUUUGAUUCAAGCAAAACUUAUUAAAACUCAACUAAAAUGAAUGUUUUUGCAAAAUAUAACCAAAAUGUAAUAAAAACACCUUAUUUGUUCUCUAAGUAUCUUGAUUUAAGUCUAGAAUUGAUGUAAUAACUUUCAUUUCAUAGAGUUAUCACACCCCCAAACUUAAACCAUUACUUGUCCUAAAGUAAUGACAACAUACUAACACUUUACGCAAACAAUCAUGCAACACAACUUUAGCUCUUUUAUUAAAUUUGCAAGGAUUCUUCCACCUUCAGAUCACAAUCCCAAUCAUGCAAAGUGACCAUAGUAAAUCAGUUCUAGACUUAAGCUUCUUUCUGUCCAUAGUGUGUGUGUGCUACUUUGAUUGAAUUCCAGAGAUGCUAUAACAUUACCAAGAGAUUGCAUGUAAGUCAGCAGUAACAAAAUUUCAUUCAUAUAUGGGGUAGCAUAAUUUUCACAUACUCAAACUGUGAUGAUUUUAAGAUUGAAAAUUGGAGAGUAUUCAACCUCCUCACUGCAACAUUUAUUUUUCAUGUGAAUGUUAAUCAAUUGUAAUGAUGACACCUAAUUACUCAAACCAUGCCCAGGUCAGGGUUGUUGUACCAAUAUUUGCAAUAUAAUCUUACCUAGAGAUAUCUUUUACUCAAGGCUGAACAUGAGGCUCAUGAACAGACCUGGCUACUCAAUGCCUUAGACAUAAGACUUCUUCUUUUUUUUUUUUAAAUGCUACAGCAGUGCUCAUAACUCUUGCUACAUUUGAACACAAUUCUGCAUAUGGGGUACAUACUCAGAUAUGGUUACUCAGCAACUUGAGCCAUUAGAACAGAGUUUAUUUCAUAGAUAUCACAGUCGAUCAAACUUGCUUUCCCCCCCAAACUUAAGAUAUUUUCUAUUCUUUUGGCUCUGCUCUAGCAGUCUCAUACAAUUCAACCAAAGUCUAAGUGUCGGGACAAAAUUUCAACCUCCAUCUAUAACUAUCUCUACUUGGCAUUCUUAUAAAUACUGAAUAACACUUAAUUUAUCUUCAUUAGGUUUUCAAAUCCAUAUACAAAUAUUAGAUAACAGAGCUUCAUACAACACACAAACAUAAACCCAUGCACUCAGAAACACAACACCCCCAAACUUGAGAAUUGCUGUGUCCUCACAAGUAUACAUAACAAAGUCACACAAGUUGACAAGGACAUAGAAUACCUUAGAAAAUACCACACAAAUGGAAAAACAGAAUGAAAGAAAAGUUUUUUUUAUUUAACAUGAAAUAAAUUGACUAGCAAGGAGGGAAUACUUCCCUGUGGCUGGUAUUGCUGCAAUAUGACGAGCGGACAUCAGCACUUCUUGGAUGCACUGCGCAGCUUAUCCUUUGGUGAAACUUGUGGGGAAGUAGCUGACAACGUCUUUGUCUUUUUCUUCAUGGGGCUGGUGAGAGGAGUUGUGGCUGGGGUAGCUUGCGUGAUUGCCAUUGAUAUGGUCUGUUUUGUUUAUGUCGAGGCUGCUGCAGCAAUGCCUCUAGACGUACUGCCCUUUCUUUUGCUGGAUUAUCGCGGAUUGGUACGAAAAGAUUGGCUAGGAGUUUGCUGUGGAGGAGUUAGAGUGGAUGCAUUAGCUGCCUGGCCCUCAGCUGUGAUGGCGGCAAUGAUAUCAAGUAGUUGCUUGGCUUCUGCAGUUGUAGGCGUAACUCUGGUUGCUGCAGCAGCCAACUCUGUGUCGACUUGCUCCAUUUUAUCUUCAAAGGCUGGAGGUGUUGCUAUUUUUACCUUGCCCUUGCCUUGCUUGCAAGGACUGGAAUAGCGGUUUCUUCUUCAGGGUCCUCUUCUUCCUCUUCUUGAAUAAUGUGCCUUUUCCUGAUUUUGGAAUGGGUCUGGAUGGAGGGUUCCUCACGUUCUUUUUCAAAGUCGUCAUCUGCCUCUGUGGGUGAGCUGUCAGUCGCAGACUUGUCACCUUCUUCCUCAGAUUGAUCAGAUAGGUCAGCAUCUUCUGAUUUUACCUAUACUUGUGGUUCGGUUGCAGCUUCUGCUUCUGGUUCAUCUGUGGUAGUGGCUUCUUCAUUGGCUUCUGCUGGAGCACCUGUGGUAUUGGUGUUAAAAUUGUACUGCUGGAGUAAUGAAUCAGGGAAGUUCCGGUGAGUGCUUUUCAUGUAAAGAGCAAAUUGGUGUAGUUAGUUGUUCAGGUGUUGUAGAUAGCUCCAAAAUUGAUCGUUUUCCCUCUACUGAGCCUCAGCACAUUGAGUUAUAUUGGUGCUUAGCCCCUGGAUUGUUUGUUCUAAACCAAUAGCUCGUCUUGCUCCUGUUACAGCAGCUGGUUCAGUUGUUGUUCUAACACUCUCACCAGUAACUCUUCAAUGGUACGUGCUGUAAAGGCACCAUCAUUCUUGACAUGUUCAUCUUUUGCGUCAAGACGAACACCGGAUACGACACAAAUACUGGUGAUGAGUGAAAGAAAUAGCAAGGCAGCAGUUUUGUGGGUCUUUACUGCACAAUCUCUGAUUUUUUUUUCGAUUAUGCUACCCACAUCUAUGGGAAGCCCUCAAACAAUGACAUAUAACAAAACCAACCUUUCUUGUGAAACCGUAGUAGUGUGAGUGGUUGGCAUAAGCCUAGAUUUCAGAAAUUUCACCCACACCUUAGCAAUACGUUUCAAAUCUAUCCUAUUAACUACACGCCCUUCCUCAUUAGCCCAUGAUGCUCCUUCUAUUGUAAGAGUUGUGAAGAUGGUGUUCCAUUUUUUCUGGGUCAAUUUAUCAAGCAACUUGGCAUACUCACAAUUAAUUUCCGCAGGUAAAUCAUAAAAAGCAUUUAUAACGCGGGAGUCUAAUGGAACAAGUGUGUUUCUUACCAAAAUGUGUGCUGAUCAAGGCUUACCAAAUUGGCAUAAAAUUCCUUGACUACUGGUAGCACAGGAUCUCGAGGGUGGUUGCAAAACUCUAACCAUCCAUGCUUUUCUGCAGCAUUGUGUAUUGUUUGCACAAUUCCGGUGAGUUGUUCUGGAAAUUGAAACCCUUUUUCUUCCAAAAUCGUUCGCGGCUCAAUGAAUUCUUCAUAUUUUUCUUCGGCGUGGUAAAUUUGGAAGCGUGAAGGAUCUUUGAGUCGGCUGGCUGUUUUCUUAUACCUUGGCAUGGCUAUAGCAGUAACAAAGUGAGGAUAAUGUCCCUGAGAGUAAAAAGAGAAGAUGAAGGUAAGAAUUAUUAGAGUUGUGCUUGCGAAAGAGAGGGGGAAUAGUGCCGUAGGUCACUACACACAGUGAUUCCCUUUUAUAGUUGAAUUUAAAUGAAGAUAAAUCCGGUAAAUAAAGAUAAAUUAGGAAGAGAAUAUUUUGAAUAUAAUGAGUAUAUCCCAAAAACAUAGGCCAUCGAAAUUAAUGCAUUAAUUUUGGAGAUUUUUUCUCAAUUGCUAUCCAAAUCCAUGCAGCCAUCUGUCAUGAUUUAUCUCCAACGGUAAGUGAGAGGCUCCAAUUUUAAUUUACUGUAACGGUAAUAUUGGUUGCUGUAGCACCCAUUUGCUUGCUCUAGCAACGGUCAUAUACUCCACUCCAAUACCCUCUGACACGUGGCUUGCCUCUGCACUCUGUCACCAUACAACCCCACUUGUCAAAAUGGAAAUCAAAUGCCACUCAUACUUAUCACAAAAACUAAAACCAAUUCUAAAAAUAAUUAAAAAUAAAGAGAUCAAAUGAUAGCAAAAGUAAAGAAUGCAAUAAUGUGAAAAGAUAAAACUAAAUAACUUGAAUUGAAGAACAAAAUUAAAUAAAAUGGAAGAGAGGGAGAGCCGUCAACAAAACCAAAGAGGAUCAAACUUAGUUUGAGGUGGCUCUCUCUACAAUGGGCUGCCUCCCAUUGAGCGCUUGAUUUAAGGUCCUUCAGCCUGACCUUCUUUCACUGCUCAAUAGCUGGGUUCUUUAAGGAGUAAAACCUCAUUUGAACAAUCUACCGCUGGGUGUAUGUAAUGCUUAACCCUGUGUCCAUUAACUUUAAAUUCGUGACCUGUUUGUUCAUCUAGAAGAUCAAUAGCUCCAUGAGGAUAAAAUUUUAACAGCCUAAAAGGUCCAGACCAUCGUGAUUUUAGCUUUUUUAGAAAUAAUCUUAGUCUUGUAUUGUGGAGCAGCACUAGUUGACCAGGGCUGAAUUGCCUAUUUUGAAUAUGCUUGUCAUGCCAGUGUUUUGUCCUCUCUUUAUAGAUUCUCGCAUUUUCAUAUGAAAAUAGCCUUAAUUCGUCAAGCUCACAAAGUUGAAGCUUUCUUUGCUCUGGUGCAGCAUGAAUAUCCCAAUUUAAUUUCUUCAGUGCCCAGUGUGCUUUAUGCUCUAGCUCUAGUGGCAAGUGACAAGCCUUUCCAUAAACAAUUCGGUAAGGAGACAUGCCUAGUGGAGUUUUGUAUGCUGUUCUGUAUGCCCAUAGGGAGUCAUGUAAUUGCGACGACCAAUCCUUCCUUGUUGGGUUUACCACUUUUUCUAAGAUCUUUUUAAUUUCUCUAUUGGACACUUCGGCCUGACCAUUGGAUUGAAGGUGAUAUGCUAUUGCUACCUUGUGUCUGACUCCAUAUUUUACCAUAACUGCAGCAAAGACUUUGUUGCAAAAAUGAGUACCCUCAUCACUAAUAAUUGCUCUAGGAGUGCCAAACCUGGAGAAAAUGUUUUUUUGAAGAAAAGCCACCACUGUUUUAGCAUCAUUGGUAGGAAAUGCUGCAGUUUCUACCCACUUGGAGACAUAAUCCACAACAACAAUGAUAUAUAAGUUCCCAAAGAAUGGUGGGAAAGGUCCCAUGAAAUCUAUUCCCUAGACAUAAAAAACUUCCACUUCCAGAAUGUUAGUCAAUGGCAUUUUAUGUUUUUUAGUUAUGUUCCCUGUCCUUUGACACAUGUCAUAACAUUUAACAAAUUUAUAAGCAUCUUUAAAAAUAGUAGGCUAGUAAUAACCUGAUUGUAAAACUUUAGCAGCUGUUCUGUGACCACCAAAAUGUCCUCCAUAUGCUGCAGCAUGGCAUGACUCCAGUAUGUGGGGGAUUUCUCCUUCUGAAGCACAUCUUCGUAUUACUUGAUCUGAGCAUAACUUAUAUAAAUGUGGAUCAUCCUACUGAUAAUUUCUGACAUCAUGAAGAAAAUUUUUUUUUCUCCUGAAACUUCAUCUCAUGUGGUAGCAUCCCACUUACUAAAUAGUUAGCAAAAUCUGCAUACCAUGGAGAUCCUGACUGCUGUAACAUCUGUGCUUGCUGUACUACCAACAGUUGUUCAUCAAGAAAAGUUUCAGUGAUGUCCUUCCUUGUCAAUGUACUAGUGUCUGCUUCCAGCCGUGACAGGUGGUCUGCUACUUGAUUCUUAGUCCAUUUUCUAUCUUUAAUUUCCAGAUCAAAUUCUUGAAGCAAUAAGAUCUAUCUGAUUAAUCUUGGUUUGGCAUCCUUAUUUGAAAUUAAGUAUUUGAUGGCUGCAUGGUCUGUGUAUACAGUCACUUUAGUACCCACCAAGUAAGCUCUGAAUUUGUCAAAAGUAAAUACUACUGCUAACAACUCUUUCUCUGUAGUGAUGUAAUUGAUCUGAGUUUGAGUAAGAGUUUUGCUUGCAUAGUAUAUGGAGUGAAAAACCUUAUCCUUUCUUUGCCCUAAUACUGCUCCCACAGAAUGAUCACUAGCAUCACACAUCAGUUCAAAUGGUAGAGUCCAGUCUGGAGAUAUAACUACUGGUGCAGUGAUCAGAGCUUUCUUUAAUUCUCUAAAUGCUUGAAGACAAUCUUUGUCAAAGUGAAAGGGCUUGUCAUGUUCCAGCAAUGAGCAUAAUGGUUUAGCUACCUUGGAAAAAUCCUUAAUGAAUCUUCUGUAAAAUCCAGCAUGACUCAAAAAACUCCUAAUACCCUUUAUUGAAGUGGGGGGGGGGGUGGCAGUUUAUCUAUUACCUCUAUCUUGACUUUAUCUACCUCAACGCCUUUCUUAGACACCUUAUGACCCAACACUAUUCAUUCUUGCACCAUAAAAUGACACUUUCCCCAAUUGAGUACUAAGUUAGUCAUCUCACAUCUUUUAAGAACUUCUUCUAAGUUGUGUAAACAAUCAUUGUAUGUCUCUCCAAAAAUUGAGAAAUCAUCCAUGAAAACUUCUAAAGUCUGUUCUACCAUAUCCAAAAAAAUAGACAUCAUGCAUCUCUGAAAAGUUGCUGGAGCAUUGCACAACCCAAAUGGCAUUCUUCUGAAGGCAAAUGUUCCAUAAGGACAGGUAAAUAUGGUCUUCUCCUGGUCCUCUGGAGCUAUAGCAAUCUGGUUGUAGCCUGAAUACCCAUUUAGGUAGCAAUAAUAUUAUUUUCCAACAAGUCUGUCUAACAUAUGAUCUAUGAAUGAGAAUGGGAAGUGAUCUUUCCUUGUGGCUUUGUUAAGCUUUCUGUUAUCCAUACAUACUCUCCAUCCAGUCACUGUCCUUGUAGGAAUAAGUUCGUCCCUCUCAUUAGGAAUAAGUUCGUCCCUCUCAUUAGCUAUCACUGUUAUCCCUCCCUUCUUUGGAACACAUUGAACAUGGCUCACCCACGAACUGUCUGAUAUUAGAUAUAUGAUUCCAGCAUCCAACCAUUUGAUGAUUUCCUUUUUCACCACUUUUUUCAUAAUAAGGUUUAACCUUCUCUGAUGCUCCACCGAAUUGUUGUGGCAAUCUUCUAACCGGAUUUUAUGCAUGCAUAUUCAUGGGCUUAUCCCCUUGAUGUCUGCUAUGGUCCAUCCAAUUACUCUUCUGUAUCUUCCAAGCAAAUCUACUGGAUUCUGUUCUUGACCUGCAUUUAAGGUAGAGGAAAUGAUUACAGGGAGUGUGUUGUUUUGACCAAGAUAAACAUAUUUCAAAUGUGAAGGUAACAAUUUUAAUUUAAGACUAUGAGGUGAUUCAAUAAAUGGUAAAGUUGUUUUUACUUCCUUGUCUGAAAGAUUUAGAUGCUUAGUAAACCUAUUGUGCCUAUCAGAUUGCUUUUCUUCAUUCCAAUCUAUCUGGUUUGUUGCAACAUCUUCCUCUUCUAAAUCUUCAAAAGUGGUGAUUUUGUUGAUCUCAUUACUGCAGCAUCUGUCAAUUCUGUCUGCUACAACAAAAUCCACGACACUUAGGAAAUUGUAAUUUUCUACUUUAUUAGGGUUAUUCAUAGCCUCUAGUACAAUGAAGUCUACUGGGAAGAUGAAUUUGUCAACCUUCACCAGUACAUCCUCAAUUUUCCUUCAGGGUAUGCAUGAGAUAUGUCAACCAAUUGGAGAGUGACUAUUGUUGGUCUACAUUCCCCCACUUCCAGCUACUUAAAUACAAAGAAUGGCAUCAGAUUAAUACUGGCUCCCAAGUCACAAAGUGCUCUGCAAGUGUACCUAGUUCUUAUAGAGUAUGGUAUUGUAAAACUUCCUGGAUCCUUCACUUUUGUAGGAAUCUUACUUUGGAGCAUAUGACUGCUUUCCUGUGUUAAAUCAACAGUUUCAAAUUCUCCCAGCCUUCUAUUUUGUGCCAAAAUAUCUUUUAGAAAUUUCACAUAAUUUGGCAUUUGCUCCAAAGCUUCCACAAAAGUUAUGUUGAUGUGUAACUGCUUCCGCACUUCCAGAAAUUUGUUGAACUGCUUGUCUUGUUUUUGCUUUUGGAAUCUCUGUGUGAAAGGUGGUGGAUGUCUAAACUACUAGGUAGUUCAGGAGGUACCAAACUCUGCUUGUUUGGUUUGGUGUAGGUCAUGGCUACUGGUGUUGAAACUUCUUUUUCAGCAUGUUCUGGUUGAGUUCCCUCUGAAGUUGCUGUAGCUUGGCCCAUGUAACCAGUGUCUUGAUGGUUGGGUUGUUGUAACAUGCUUCCAUUUUGAGGUGGUUUUUGUGAUUAAUUGAAUUCCAUCCCAUUUUUAUUCACAUCAACUGGGAUAUUAACAUUCUUUUCAGAUCUCAAAUUAAUUACUUUGUAGUGUUCUUUGCCCUCUCUCCUAGGGUCUUCUGUGUUGCUAGGUAAGCUUCCUUGAGUUCUGCUACUUAUUGCUGUGGCAAGUUGUCCUAUUUGGUUUUCCAGGUUUCUCAAGGAUACAACUUGACUCUGCACAAUUGCUUCAUUCUUUGUAAUGUAUUCCUUAAUCAGUGCUUCCAGUGUAGUGAUUGGAUCCUGACUAAUAUUUUUUUGCCCCUGACUCUGUUGAUGGAAACCAGGUGGUUGAGUGUUCCUAUUUUGUCCAUUUAAUGUUGGAGCAUUUCGAUUCUAACCGUUUCAAGAAAAAUUUGGGCGUUGUUUCCAGUCAGGGUUGUAAGUAUUUGAAUAUGGGUUGUUCUGAGGCUGUCGAUUGAAAUUACCCACAUAGUUUACUGAAGCUGGAUUUCCAGGAUAAUUAUUAAAGUUAUGUUCUUCACCAUAGUAUACACAAGAAAGUUCAGCAACUUGCUUUACUACUGUUGGAGCAGAUGUCAUGGCCUUUAACAUGUUAGUCAAUGAGGUUACUUGUGCUGAUAAGGCUGUAAUUGCAUCUAUGUUAUGUACCCAUGCUGUUCCUCUUACUACUGGUUGCCUAGUUGAUGGCCACUGAUAAUUAUUAUUGGCAAUUCUCUCCAGAAUCUCAUAAGCUUCAGUGUAAGAUUUGGAUAACAGGGCUCCAUUUACUGAUGCAUCCACCAUUAAUCUAGUACUAGGAUUCAACCCAUUGUAGAAAGUUUCCAAUUGAAUGCAACAAGGAAUGCCAUGAUGAGGACACCUUCUGAACAGUUCUUUGAAUCUUUGCCAAGCCUCAUACAAACUUUCAUCUUCAAGUUGAUGGAAAUAAGUAAUCUCAUUUCGUAAUUUUGCAUUUUUUGUCGGUGGGAAAUAUUUCAUUAGGAAUUUAUUAGCCAACUUAUUCCAUGUAGUGAUGGAAUCAGAUGGUAAUCAAUUUAACCGUGCUCGUGCUCGAUCUGUUAAGGAAUAAGGAAAAAGCCUUAGUCUUAAGGCAUCUUGUGUUGCUCCAGCAAUCUUGAAAGCAUCACUCACUUCCAAGAACAACUUAAGAUGGAGAUGAGGAUCUUCAUUUGGCAAUCCAUUGAAUUGACCAACUGUCUGCAACAUUUGAAACAUCACUUGCUUCAAUUUAAAGUUUGCGGCUUCUACUUCAGAUCUGAUUAUCCCAGGGUGUACAACUUGAGGAGUUAACACGGCAUAAUCUCUAAUAGCUUUGUCUCUGUCAGAAGCCAUGUAAAUAAUAUUAUUAUUGCCUGGCUGCCUCUCAUUACCAUGUUCAUUCUGUUCUUCUUAAAUGUUGACUGGUUGUAAGGGCUCGUGAGGGUCCAAAUUUCCCACAUCCUGCAAAUUAUUCAUGUCUGAAAUAAUUUUUGAAUUCAUUUGUUCUCUUCGCAGUCUCCAAACAGUCAUUUCAAUCUUAGGAUCGAAUUGGAAUACCACAGAUCUAUCUUUGCACAUGCACAUACUGAUUUGCCAAUAAAUAGAAUGAAUAAAAUCAAAUUGGAGCUAUCAAGAUUUACUUCACACUUCAAAAAUAAACAAUCAAUCCCCGGCAACGGCGCCAAAAACUUGUUGAUAAAUUUUAUAAUCAAUUGCUACUAAUGCCAAUGUGCAAGUAUACACAACAAGUAAUAAAGUGAUAAAUAUUCAAGAUCGUUAUACAUAACAAGUAAUAAAGUGAUGAAUAUUCAAGAUCAUCUCCACAUGGAUUGAUGUUACUCGAAAUGCUAUAACAAUCACAAUAGUGCAAACCAACUUAAGUCCGAAGUUAACAAACGUAAAAUGAGUUCUAUUGUAAUUGAUGAUUGUGAGUGAAUAAAGUAAAACAAUACCGUAAUGAAAUAAACUAAAUUAAAUAUGUCUAAGAUUCAAUUGACAUUAUGGUAGUUGAAUGAUCAAACUCUCCUUAUGGGCUGACUGUUUUUCAUCAAGUUAACUCCGGUUGUUACGGCAAGUGCUACAGCACUGGGCAUAAUUAAUCUGCAUCCUCAACUGUCGCAUAUUGGAACUCUCAUACCCUUAAAUACACUAGCAAUGGCCAGUUGCUAAUCUACUCAUGAUAUGGCUUUAUGACCCUUUUAGUCUCUCCACCCUACAAGGUGAUCACCUAUGUCUAGUGUGUCACAAAUCUUAACUUCAAGUAUUGCCCUUAUGAGAUUCAAGAUAACUUAAUCUAGGAAAUUUAACUUAAGAUCAAGUAAUACUCUAAUAAUAUCCGCUAAAACAUGCCAUUUUGCUGCUCUAUUUUAACUAGAACUAUUAAAUGGGUGGUCAACUGAAAUAACAGUUAUAUUAAUAAUAACUACUAGAGUAAAGUGCUACAGCAAUGACAUAACAAUACAUAAGAACAAUCAAGAACCCAUUGAAUUAUUUGUCACUUAACUACAAGCAAAUCUAGUUCAUAUUUUGAAUGAGAAAAAGAAACAUAAAUAUAUUGUUCACGGGAGACAUCAGAACAAUCAAAGAAAGAAGAAGAGUAAAAGUUGAGAACAACAAAAAGCAAAUCCAAAUAACUCUGCUGGAAUUCUCAAUUCUGCUGAAGCCGUCUCCUUUUGUUCCGAUCUUCUUCUCCUCGUUUCUCUAAUGUAUUAAUGAUAAUGCCCUUGCCGCCUUUCUAUGUGGUGCACGCCCCCCUUUUAUACUGCAAAGUAGGGUAAACAAAAGUCCGUGAGCGUGCAUGAGUUAAAUUAGGAAGCAUGCAGAUCGCGAUUCUGCAGCUGGUCCGCACCUAAGUUUUCUCUUUCAUUGCUCCCAGAUUGCUAUAGCACUUGUUGCUCUAACAACAGCUACAACACUGAACUAUUCUCGAUUGUGCUUUACUUAUUUUAUUACCAUCUUAUUUCCUCCUCUUGCUAAUCUAAUGUCUCAGCAUCCCUUCCUGAAUUAAGACUUUCUGAAAACCUACAAUUAUGCACCUGUUUUGAGCACAAAUUACUUUGAUUCAAGCAAAACUUAUUAAGACUCAACUAAAAUGAAUGUUUAUGCAAAAUAUAACCAAAAUGUAAUAAAAACACCUUAUUUGUUCUCUAAGUGAUCUUGAUUUAAGUCUAGAAUUGAUGUAAUAACUCUCAUUUCAUAGAGUUAUCAAUAGGUAUUUAGGUCAUUUUACAAUUAAUGAAAAAUCAAAUAACAAAACAGAUAGUAGCAUUUUUGAGCUCAGAAUAGCUAAAAACCUUAGGACAUGCAUAAAGAGCAAAAUCAUAAUUGGCAUUAACCAAUGACAUGGUAGCAUUUUAUUGCAUUGAUUGAUGAUGUGGCAGCAUUCUAUUGGACCAAAGAAAAAACUUACAAUGCAUGCAAUGUAAUGAAUCAAUGCUAGUUGACUUUUGUAUUGACUGAUGGACCAAAAAUACAUGUAUGUUACAUGUAGUUCACCUAAUCACAACCUUGGUGACUUGUUCCAUCCAAUUAGAGCUUGCCACAUGGCGCAAUCUAAAGUGUUAGAGUUGUUUUCAUCUAAUGGUCAUGAUUUACCUGUUGUAUCUAUAAAUAGAGGACUCCCCUCUCUAAUUCAAUAGCUUUAAAUCCAAAUUUGAGCUUCGUUUUUUGUAAUUCUCUUUCCAUCAUGUAUUUUCUGCAUUUUUAGUAUAAAAUUACUAUUUUACCCCUAGUUCAAUAUGAGUGGCUAAUUUAGCUUCAACUUCAAGUUAAAUGUGAAGCUGCAACAUAGUCCAUGGGUAUGUGAUAAGUUUAUUAACUCUUUCUCUAAUUUAUAUGGAUUUUUUUUAUUCAUCGUUGAUAGAUAGAGAUGGCCAAUGGGCCCAUGCGUGUUCGUGCCCGUGCCGUGCCGUGCCGUGCCCACUAUGUGUUUCUUACUGUGCCUAAAUGUUUUCUUAGGUUUGGCCCAGCACACGUGUUGUGCCCAUUUGUGCCGUGCCAACACGUGUCGUGUAGUGCCUAAGAAAAAAAACCCAAUAAGCUUUUUUCUUUUUUUUAAGAAUUUUUUAAGGGCACAUACUAACCUAGUGGCAUAUUUUUUUCAAGUCUAUGUUCAUUUCUUUGGUCUAUGCUUUUAUUCAAAUUUAAUAUAAUCGAAAAUUCAAAAUUGAAGUCCAUAUUUAAUAAUAAUAAACUAAUAAUAGUAAGAAAAUAUAAUAUUAAUUACUAAGUUUGACCUUAUAGUAUUAGAAUUUUUUUAAUACUUAACAACAACAAUAAUAAUAAAUUUUCUUACAGGUUAAGUUAAUUGUUAACUUGGACUUACAUGGAGUCAUAAAUCAUAAUUCACAAUAAUAGUAAUGCAUAUUUAUAAAAUCAUGAUAUUUAUAAUUUUAUUAAUUAAAAUCAUGAUAUCAAUUAUUUAUCUAAUAAAUUAUAAAUGUAAAUCAGUUAUAGAUUUUUUAAAACUAAUAAUUAAAUGAAUUUAAAAAAUUCAAUUUCAAGUUAUUUGUAAAAUCAUAAAAUUUUAAGUUUACUUUUAUUAAACAAUAAAAUGUGCUUAUUGCGUACUUUUUUAUCGUGCCGAGCUUAGCCCAUCUCUAAUCGUGUCGUGCUUUUAAGGCCCAGGUGCCUAAAAUUCUAAGCUGAGCACGAGCCACGUGUGUACAGUGCUGUGACACAUGCCCUACCGAAACGUGCUCGUGUCGUACUGUGCUGUACAGACACGUGUCGUGCCCGUGCCGUGCCACGUGCUGGUCGGCCCAUUGGCCAUCUCUAUGAAAUAUAAGUGUGCAACACAAGAGGGGGGUGAAUUAGUAUUUUAAAAAUUAUCCUAGCAAAUCCACACAACAAACAAUCUAACUUCUUAAUAAAAUUGAAAGCAAUAAGUUCAAUAAAAGCACAAUAACAAAUGAGUAAGGGAGAAGAAAAACAAACACACGAAUUUUUACGCGGUUCGGCAAUCCCCACCUACGUCCACGCCUCCAAGCGAUCGAAGCUUGAGGAUUUCACUAUCCGAGCCUUUCCAAGGUUUCAACUGUUUACAAUUGACUUCAAGGUGUCAAUGAACCUUUACAACAAAGAGAUUAUCUCCCAAUCUCUUAACUCAAGUGUCUCACACACUCAAACACUUACAAUUAAGAUGAAGAAAUGAAAGUUACAACAAAACUCACUCAAAGAGUAGAUAUUCAAAAAUGAAGAACAAGAGAUGAUUCAAUGUGUUUUGUGAUUUGCAAAUUGAAAGCUUAAGAUAUCUCGUGUGCUUUUUGUUUAUGCUUGCUGGAGGACAUGAAAAUGAAUUGGAUUUGAGUUUAUAUAGUUUGAGCUAAAAAACUAGCCGUUAUGCACAUUUUGGUCAUAACCGGCUUACCGUUUACGGAAUCCGGUUAGCCACUUUUAUGUUACCGUUAAGGCAAAAAUUUGAAUUUCAGAAUAUCCAGUAUGUCGCUUGUCAAAUCCAGUUAGCCGCUUUUGAAAUCCGGAUUGCCGCUUGUAAAAUUCGGAUAGCCGUUUUUGCUCCAGAAGCUUACUGCCCAGAAUCCGGAUUGCCGUUUACCAUAUCCGGUUAGCCGCUUGCUACAGUAACUGCUACAGCGAAAUAUUUUUUAAAUUUAUAGUUUAACCCCAAACUUUAUAAAACUGUAUUAUGACCCAAAACGUUAUGAAAGCUUUCAAAUGGGUCCAAUUUCAGAAUUUCUAAAUAAUGCUUUGUCAAUCCUAAAACUUUAUGAAAUUAUGAUUUUACCCAAACUAUGUGAAAUUAUAGAAUGACCCAAAAUAUUUAAUUAUUUUCAAAUAGGUCCAAAUCUGAAGUUUUAAAACAAUAUCAAAGGUUUUAAAAUACUUUCAUUUUAGUCCAAAAUAUUUUAAUUCCAUAACAUCAUUUUCUUGUUAUAAAAGCACAAUUCAUAAAUCUUUGUUUAAUCAACACAUGUGGUUUAUUAUCAUCAAAAUCAAUAUCUAUAGCCAUAUAGGCUAACACUCUAUUGAUAGACAAUAAUAAUCUUGUUUAGAAUUUACACAGAUACUGAAUCCCUAAUGUAAUAUCAUUACUGUUUGGCACGAUGAGUACUUUACACUAUAUUUAUUGCCGAGAAAUUCUCCUUUAGUAUUAAUGGUUCAUUUUAACUUAAUAUUGAUAGAGAAUGCAUCUAAGUUGUUUAGUGGACGGUCUCACUACAUUGUUGACAAUAGUAUUAUUAUCAUUUCGCACAACGUGUACUUUAUACCCCUUUUAACAGAGGUUUUUUCCCCCCCCCCCCCCCCCGGCAUAAUGAGUGUUUAAUAACUAUUUACCAGAAUGAGGACUGUGAGGAGUAAAAGUGUUGAAUAUAAAUCUAAAGACUCAAGUAUUUCAUUUAAAUUGUUUCAUCUUUGAUUUAUUCCUGUGUUAGAGUGUAAUUUAUGCACUAGUUUUGCAUGAUUUACUUCCCUUAAUAUCAAUGUUUUGCACUUAAUAAUAGUGAUUUACUUGUGUUUUACUUUUGUAGGUGCAAUUUUAUUGAUUGAUGAUAAAAUUGAGCUAUAAGAUGAUGUUUAAGGAUAAUUGUUCUCUUGGAGAAAUUAUGAGCGUCAGAAGAACUUUGUUGAUAAGGCGUGGGCGCGUGCUGUCAACUGCAGACCUGCAGUUUUUAGUUUAACGUGUUUUGUAUUUUUGGUUACUUUUGUAAUUACGAAUUUAAUAUUUCAGAUAUUAGGAUUUUAUUUUAAAUAGAAUUCUAAAAGAGAAGAGAGAGAGAGUAUUUAAGGGAGGAAUCUAUUGUGAAAAAAAGGGAUUUGGAUUGGAGAAAAAGAAAGAAACCCUAGAUCUAAUUUUUCUCUUCUCUCUAUGAAGAACUAAACUUAUUUUUCUGGUUGAAGGAUAAUGAAGCUUUGAUUCAUCACUACUGUGAGAUCUUUCUUAUGCUUUAAUUGUUUUAUUACUUUUUGGGUAUUUGUUUAUUCUCUGAAUUAGUUUCAUGAUUAUGUUUGUUAAUUAGAUAAUUGGCCACUAUUUAAUUAUCAACUUAAUCUAUUGUCAAUUAAAGGAUUCAUCGUAUGAAGAUUUUAAUGUUUGUGACAAAUAACAUAGCAGUGAGUUGUGUUAUGAGAAUAAACAAUCUAAUUUAAAUGAAUCAUCAUAUGUGUUGAUUAGGAUUUUGGUCUCUCUGGUUUUUCAGGCUGUCAAUUGAUUAAAUCCUAUGAUCGUAUCUAGGGUUGUCUAUUGAUUAGGGAAAUAUCCAACGGUCGUACCUUGGUUAUCGACUAAUUAAGGAGAGAUUGGCUAUUAGAGGGUCUCAAUAGCUAUAACCGGUUUAUUCAUAAGUAAUAAUAAUCUAUAUUUGAAUCAAUGAUCAGUAGUCGAAUCAAGCUGAGUUAAUUCCUUCAACCAUAGCUUUCUCCAAUUUGAAUUACAACUUUAAUUUGCAUUCUUGUUAUUUUUAAUUUGAUUUUUAUUAUUGUCAACAAUUCCCCCAUUUUAUGUUUUACGUUUCAAAAGGAUUUAAAUAAUUACCGAUCUCUGUGGACACGACCCUGCUCAAUCACUAUACACAAUUUAUUUAGAGUAGGAAUUUAUUUUUGUUGGCUUCGACACCCAUCAUCCUGCCAUCUUUUUAAUUUAAAUCGCAGUAUUGCUUAGAAUUAGAUCUUUGUAUAUAAACUUGGAAAAUUAAUCUUACACGUAAUUAAAUCUUCUUUCUCGUGGGAUUGACACUCAUCACCAUUAAUUUAUAUUACAAUGGAUUCAUGCGCUUACAAGUAUAAUAAAAUUUGUAGAAGUUUUUGGUAGCGUUGCUAGGGAGGUAAGUCAUUUUAAUUUAUAGAGUUAAUUUUCUUUGUAAAUAUUCUGUAAAUAACUUUGUGUGCAGGUUUUGAAUGUGUUUCCAUAGUAAGUGUGUAAUAGUGUGGUAAGGUCGAUAUCAUAACUUCGCCUCUCUCUUUAUUUUCAUUAGUUUUGUUUUUAAUUUUUACUUGUUUUUUGCAUGCAUGAUUGAAGGUUAUAAUCACAUGAUCUAAAGCCUAUAGACCUCGAACUGGAAAACACACUUCGAAUACUAAGGUACAUUGCAUCACAUGGAAAAAUUCUAGAUAAAAUUAAGAUGGAAUUAGAACAAUAUCAAUCACAAGCACCAGAAGAGAUGCGAUUUAAAGAUUUAUGAAUAAGAUACCCAAAUGUAGUUGCAAGGAGUUUUAAGUUAAAACCUAAUGUGCUAAAUUGUGUCCCAUCAUUCUACAGCUUAGAAAUAAAAACCCACACAAUCAUUCAAAUGAGUUUCAUGCUAUUUGUCAAACUUUAAAAUAUGAAAAAUAUUCAGACGAAAAUGUUAAGCUUAGGCUAUUUCCAUUUUCUCUAAAGGAUAGAGCUCAUUUAUAAUUCAAUACAUUGCAUGUUAAUAGUAUCACCUCAUGGGAAAAAUGGUAACUAAGUUUUUAAAUAAAUACUUCUCAGUGCAAAAAACCAACGCUUUUUAUAGGGAAAUCUUAAAGUUUACUUAGAGAGAAGACAAGAAAUUGUUAGAAGCAUGGGAGCAAUAGUUUAUUCAGAGAGAAGACGAACAAAUUUUCAAUGCAUAUGAGUGAUUCAAUGUUCUACUAUUAAAGUAUCUGCAUCAUGGGUACUAGAAAUGACACCAAUGUUAAUACUUCUUCCAGGGACUAUUGCCACAUGUGCAAAAAUAGCUCAUGGCGAUAAGUAGAGGUGAGCUAAUGUCUAAAAGUGUAUCAGAAAUUUGAGAUUUUCUCAAGUGACAAGCGGAUAAUUCCUAGUGACAAAGUCAAUCAUUUAGAAAUAUGAGAAAAAUCAAGGGAGUAAAUGAAGUCCACGUUGGCGAAUCAGGAUCAGCUUUCUCUCUAAAUAACAUCAUUAACAACUACUAGAUCAACAGAGGCACAUGCCUUUAAUCAAUUUGACUAUGAUUCAUACCCAGAUCAAGCCAAUGCCAUUGAUGUGAUGAGAAAGUAGUAGAACUAUAACCCUUACUUCAAUACUUACAAUGCUAGAUGGAGAGACCAUCCCAACUUUUCAUGGUCUCACGGAUUCCAACAGAACAAGACAACAACUCCAACUCUACCAGCAUUGAUACAACUAGUUGAUCAAACUUCUCAAAUUUCUUAGCCACCAUUUAGACAAUACACUCAGAAUAAGAGCUACUCGUAAACCAAACCAUGGGAAAAACGACUCUAAAAUUUUAAAAAUUUGACUCACUUUACACUAGAACAACAAAAUCACACCAUUAACAAGCUAAGGAAUGAGAUUAGAGCUGCCAUAAAUUCACAAGCCCAAUCAGUUUCGAACCUCAAAAAGAUGGUGGAUUAACUUGUUUUUUCAGUUCAGACCUUGGCAAUGACCAUUGAGAAAGUCAAAUUCCAAAGCCAACUGGUGCCUAAUCUUGAGUGAGUACGUGAAGUUAGUAUCAGUUCACCCCAUUAGCAUAAAGAGGUUAAAGUCAUCAUAACCUUCCAAAAAGGCAAAGAAAUUGAAAAUAAAGUGAAAAUGCUGGUGAAAAAAACAACUAAAGUUAAACCUUUAGACUCUGAGGACUCAUCACCAAAGGAGAAAAAAGACAACAGCCCACAAAAAUAUAUCUAUUAAAGUCCUAUUCCCUCAGAGGUUAGCUAAAAUAACGGAGGAAAAUUCCACAGGUGAGAUUAUGGAGAUCUUUGCACUAAAAAAAUAAGUAUUCAUAUUUAAAAGAAUGACUUUUUAACAGAGAACAUUAGUUCUAUACUCCAACAAAAAAUUUCUCAAAAAUAAAAAAGUCCAGACUCCCCUUUUAUCUCAUAUAAUGUAGGGAACCAUAUAAUUGAGAAUACUUUGGUGGAUUUAGGAGCUAGUGUUCAUCUUUUGCCUACUCAGUAUUUAAAACUUAGACAGGGAGAAUUACACCCAACUCCUAUUGUGUUGCAGCUCCCAUAUUGAUCCAUGAAAAUAUUUCUCAGUAUUAUAGAGGAUGUGCUUAUUUAGAUAGACAAGUUUUAUUUUCCUAUUAGUUUUAUUGUGAUUGACAAUAAACCGGAGCAAGAUUCAAAUAAGCACAUCCCUAUUAUUCUAGGCCUAUCUUUUUUUGCUAUUGCCAAUGCCCACAUUUAAUGCAGGAUUGAAAAUAUUCAGUUGUCCUUUGAAAAUAUGACUAUGAAGUUAAAUAUUUUUAACAUUGCCAAACAACCUCAAAAUAAAGACGAUAAAAUUGUUGAGUUGAUUUAAUUGAAAAAUUAGUUGAUUAUACUUUUUCUUCUAAUCUUAGUGAUGAUUCUUUACAAACAUGUUUAGCUCAUUCUAGUUUGAAUUUUGAUAUUGACAGAUUAAUUGAUGAGGUUAAUUCCUAACUCGACACAUCACUAUCUAUGGAUACCAAUAAACAGAAGUCAAUAAUUGAGCAACUUCCACUAACAUGGAAGUAACUUAAUCCAUCAUCAGAAUCACCUCUAAAGUUCAAGCUUAAACCAUUACUCAACACUUUAGAAUAUGCAUUCUUAGGAGACAAAAACGCUUUACCAAUAAUAAUUUCAUCCUCUCUUGAUGACAAACAAAACAAUAAGUUGCUCGAUGUUUCAAAAGAGCACAAAAAGGAAUUACGAUUGACUAUAGGCAACAUAAAAUGUAUAAACCUAGUAGAUUGCAUGCAUUAUAUUCUUCUUGAUGAAAAUGCCAAACUUAUUAGGGAAAUGCAACAUCGGUUAAAUCCUACUAUGAAAGAAAUUAUUAGAGCUAACGUUCUUAAACUAUUGGAUGCAGAUAUCAUUUACCCUAUCUCUAAUAGUUCUUAGAUCACUCAUGUGCAAGUUGUCCCUAAAAAGUCAGGAUUUACAAUAGUUAGCAACUCCGACGUUGAACUAAUAUCUACUAGAGUAACUACGGGAUGAUGCGCAUGUAUUAAUUAUAGGAAGUUGAAUUCUAUCACAUGAAAAUACAAAUUUUCUUUUACCAUUUACCCAUCAAAUACUUGAUAAAUUAGCAAGUCAUGAAUUUUAUUGCUUUCUAGAUGGUUACUCAAAAUAUAACCAAAUUCCUAUAUCACCAAAAGACCAAGAGAAAACCACUUUCACUUGCUCUUUUGAUACUUUUGCAUUUGGGAGAAUGCCAUUUGGAUUAUGCAAUGCAUUUGCCACAUUUCAACGAUGCAUGCUUAGCCUUUUUUCUGAUAUGGUUGAAUGUUUCUUUGAAAUUUUUAUAAAUGACUUUUCUAUUUUUGGUGAUUCAUUUGAUCAAUGUUUGUAUUAUCUAACACUAGUUUUACAAAAAAUGUAUGGAAAAGAAUUUAGUCUUGAAUUAAGAAAAAUACCAUUUUAUGGUAAAAUAAGGUAUUGUUCUUGAUCACAUCAUUUUGAAUAAAGGUAUUAAGGUUGACAAACCCAAGGUAGAUCUCAUUUUCAAUCUUCCUCCACCCAAAAUGGUUAGAGAAGUAAGAUUUUUCCUUGGGCAUGCUGGCUUUUAUGGACAUUUCGUUAAAGACUUUAGCAAAAACCCUAGACCCUUAUGCAAUUUACCUGCUAAAGAUGUAUCUUUUUUCUUUGAUGAUUUGUAUCUUGAAUCAUUUGAAAAAUUAAAGCAAUUAUUGCCUCAUCAUCCAUCAUUUAGUCCCUAUACUGGAACUUACCUUUUGAGCUUGUGCAUGAUGCACCUGAUUAUGCAAUGGGAGCAGUAUUACGACAAAGGAUUGAUUGUAUACCUUAUGUCAUUUACUGCGCUAGUAUGAUAUUGAAUGAUGCACAAUCAAAUUACUCAACCAUUGAAAAAGAAAUGCUAGCAGUAAUGUUUGCAUUAUUUUCUUACAAAGAAAUAUGUAAAAGUCUAGAUUAAUUCACUAGGUGUUACUUUUGCAGGAAUUCGACAUUGAGUUUAAAAAUAAGAAAGCCACAAAAAAUGUGGUGGCAUAUCAUCUCUCUCAUCUUAAUUUUGACACAAUUUCAAAACUAUUACCAUUGAAUGAAUCAUUUCCAAAUGAACAACUAAUGAGUGUGGAAGUACUGCCAUGGUUUGCUAAUAUAGUUAAAUAUCCUAUUACAUGUCAAAUUCUAGAGCAUUAGACUAAGUCGGACAAAGCCAAAUUUUCUAUCGAAAUAAAGAUUUUUUUUAGGAUGAUCUUUAUUUAUUCAAGUAUCGCAUGGAUAAAAUUGUUAGGCGAUAUGCCCAAGAGAGCGAAUUUUAAAAAAUCCCUUCAUACUACCAUGAACAAGUUGUGGAGAUCAUUUUAGUGCUAAGAAAAUGACCUCUAAAAUCUUACAAUGUGGUUUAUAUUGGCCAACUUUAUUUCAAGACGCAUACAUUUUUUGUUCUUCAUGUGAUAGGUGCCAGCGCAUGGGAAGCACUAUUCGAAGAAACAUGAUGCCACUAAACCUUAUUUUGGUAGUCCAUAUUUUGAUGUGUGGAGCAUCAAUUUCAUGGGACCCCUUUUUUUUUUUUGCCAUCAAUACAUAUCGAUUGCUAUCGAUUAUGUAUCAAAGUGGGUAGAAGCAACUCCAUGCAGAACUAAUAAUCACAAAGUAGUGAUGAGAUUUUUGAAAAGAUACAUUGUUUCGUGCUUUGGAUUCCCUCGGGCGAUAUUCAGUGAUGGCGGUACCUACUUUUGCAAAAAAAUCAUUCAAAAUUCUUUUAGCAAAAUACUCCAUCACACAUAAAAUGGCAACCCUAAGCAUCCAUAAACUAUUGGCCAAGUCUAGAUUUCCAAUCGACAAAUAAAGAAUAUAUUAGAAAAGGUGGUAAAGUCAGAAAGAAAAGACUGGUCAUUGAGACUAGAUGAUAUACUAUGGGUGUAUCAAACAGCUUUCAAGACACUUAUUGGCACGUGUCUCUAUAGGCUAGUGUAUGGAAAAACUUAUUACUUACUGAAUGAAUUCGAGCAUUGUGUAUACUAAGCCAUCAAGAAAUUUAACUUUGACAAGCAAUGGGCUGGUUUGGAAAGAUGAUUAUAGCUGGCAGAACUUGAGGAAAUUCAUAAUGAUAUGAAUGAAAUUGCUAAGAAUUAAAAGCGAUAGAUGAAAGUCUUUCAAGACAAGCAUAUCAUAAUAAAAUCUAUAUACUAGGUCAAAAAGUACUAUUAUUGGAUUCUCGCUUGUAUCUAUUUCCAAGUAAAUUAUGCUCUCAAUUAUUUGUUUUAUUUAUUAUUCACACUAUUUUUCUACAUAGGCCAAUUGAAAUUAGGGAUUCAAAAUGGUGUUAUUUUUAAAGUUAAUAGUCAAAUAUUAAUGUCAUAUUUAAGGCACCAACCAUAUGAGAAAACUAAAAUAAAUUUGAGUGAUCCACCAUACCUUAACUGAGUCUUUUCUUUGGGUGAUCUAAGUUUUUGUCAUUUUGUUUUGCUAAUUAAAAUUAUUUGAUUGUUUCUCACUUAAAGUGUGUUUAUCUAACACUUGUAUUUUUUUUAAUCACUUGUAUUAUAUGUCAUGAGUACCUCAAUGAGACAUAACCUCUUCAACCACCUUAAUGAACUUUUACCUGUAAAGCGUCACCUAAGCAGCAUGCUCCAAAUUUGUAAAGCACAUCGUGUUUGGGAUCUAUAACCACCAUUGUUUGUAUCCCAUUUUGAAGAGUUGGAAAGACAAUUAAGGGAAAUAAAGGGUGGAAUUUAUGAUAUUCAAUUAGAAUUUAAGGUAAACUCAAUAAAAGGACGAGGGUGAGUUAACAUCCCACUUUUUACAUUGUGCAAUUUUAUUUUGUUGUUUGUUUUCACAUGUGUCUUGUUUGAUUUUUUUUAUUUGGUGUGUUGUCAUUUGUUACGUUGAUUAAGUGGCAGAUAAUGUUACUCUGUGACUGUUAAAGUCGGUUUCAUCAAUUUCCCAUAAUAACUGACAUUUUCCAACCAAAGUAUAGAUACGAACACAAUUCUUGCAAAGUUUCACAAGAGAUUCUCCCCCCCCCACCUCUCUCUCUCUCAGAAUGCACUCCUUGUAAUCUAGAAAGCUCGAUCUAAAAGCUUGCAACUGCUUAUUGAUAACUCUAUGAAAUGAGACUUAUCAUGACACUUUUAGACUUAAAUAAAUAAUAAUUAGGGAGUAAAUGAUUUUUUUUAUUGCAUUUUAGUUAUAUUUUGCAUGAACAUUCAUUUUAGUUUACUUUUAAUAAAUUUUAUUUGAUUUAAAAUAAUUUGUGUGCUUAGAUCAUGUGCAUAAUUGUAGGUGACUGGAAGCUUAAAUUUUAAGGAAGGAAUGCUGCUGCAAUAGGCUUGCAAAGAUAAGGAAAGAACUUGGUUAUAGAAGAAUUGAAACAAGUUUGGAACAAUGCCGUUACUGUAGCACCAUUGUUGUAGCAUCGUUGAUGUAGCAAUCCUGGAGCAUUAACAGAGAAGAUUUCGCGUGAGAUACUCAAAAGAUUGUGAUCUAAAGUUUCUAAAUCUAGAAGACACGUACCCUAAACUUCCGGUUGCCCUAAUUCUAAGUUAUAAAAGGAGUAACACGCAAAGGAAAAGGGAGAUCCGUCACCCAAAGAACAAACCGGAGAGAGAAAAAACAAGAAACAGAAAUCAAGAGAGAGAUUGAAGGCUGUCCUAGAGGAUAAAUUGCAGAGAUCAAUAGGAAAUCAGUGCUUCUUAUUCUUUUCUUAUUUUUGAUUUCAUUAUGGGGAUGUAUUAGAUGGCUGAAACUUUUAUUUAUUUUUCUAUCACAAAACAUGAACUUAAUUUGAUUGUAGUUGAGUGAUAAAUUAUCUUAAUAAAUGUUUGACUGAUACACACGCGUUGUUCUGUGUUUGUUAUAGCAUUUUGUCAUAAUUGAUUUAUUUUUAUUCUCUAUUUUGGCUAACCACCCAUUUAGGGAUAUUAACUAAGAAAAUGCCUUAAAAAGGUCUAACUUAGUGGAUCUUAUUAAGACAAUACUUAGUUUUAGAUUAUGUUUCUCAAGUUGAGUUAACCGUCAUUUGAAUAGGGCCAUCCUUGAUAUAAAAUUAGUGAUAAACUAGACAUAGGGAUUCAGCUUGUAGGGUUAAUGGAACCUAAAUCGAUUAAUGUUAUAUUUAAUAUUGGCGUAAUAAUUGGUCACUGUUAGAUUGCAUUAGAUAUAAGAUAUGCAACAGGCAACAACUGAUGAUGCAUGAGGGAUUCUACCCAGUGCUCUAGUAGAUGUUGUAGAAAUGAUACUGUAAUUGAAAAAUAGUUAAUGCCAUUAAAUGAGUUUAUUUACUCAAUUACUCUAUUCCUAUUGGUUUUAUCCUUGUGUUUGACGUGAGAAUUUUCUUUAUUGCAUUUUUACUUUAAUUCAUUUAUUAGUUUCAUUAGUUGUUUUAUUUUUAUUUAAAACAAAACUGCACUGUUAAGGUUGUUGUAGCGAAUCUGAUAACAUCAAUCCCUCUGGAGACGAUUUGAAUACUCAUCAGUAUAUUACUUGUUGUGUAUGCUUGCACAUCGACAUCCAUGGCAUUAGAGAUUGCACACACCACUUAUGCAUAAUAACAUCCCUAUUGACAUUCGUUGGUUAAGGAAAACCAAAGUAUAAUUGGCAGGAGAGUUACCUCCUAAAUUCGUUGCCUACAUGCCUUGUUGCGAGAAAAGAAAUUAUUCACGAAAACGAAGAACCAGAUGACUCAAAGUUUCUUGCCAUAAAUGUGCCCGAAAAGACUAUUAAAGAUGUCCAUGUAAAUCUUUAGGAAUGGUAUCCAACAAAAGGAAAGACAAGAUUAAAUUCAUUAUGAGUGGUUUGAAUAAAGACAAGAUUAAAUUCAUUAUGAGUGGUUUGAAUAAAGACAAGAUUAAAUUCUUGAAAUGUAUCCUAAUGGAUACACACAACGUGCAAUUUCCCAGUUAUAGUCAUUAUUCUAGAAAGAACGUGUACAAUAUAGUCUCAGGGAUUUGACUAUAAACGAUCUUAUUUGUCAAUUUAUAAGAAAACUAGAUGGAAAGCCUAUCCUUGACCCAUAAAGGGUGCUCAAGUCGUUUUUGGACGUAAAAUCAGGGGAAGAUGUGAGUCGCAGCACAACUACCAAUACUUAUUCUUUUGUUUUACUAUAUUUUUAUCAGCUAUAUUAUUCUUUUUAAUGGUGUGAUUUUAUAUCUAUUUAUUGUUCCUUUUUUUAUUGUUUACUUUUGUGCCACGAACUUGAAGUGUCAUUUGACAAAUAGACCAACUUAUUUACAGCUAUGUAUCAUUGCUUUUGUCAUCCAGAUUUUUAAAUACGAGUUUUUUUUUUAAACACUCAUAAAUUAUUUUUGAGAAUUGUCUCAAUGGGUGCUUUCUGGCUUUCGUUAUGGAAGAUACAAAGACUUUGUUCAAGCAGCUAUAGAUCUUAGUCAAGUACUAACAGAGACAAAAAUACACCUAAUAUAUUGGGGAGCUGACUGAGGGUUACAAAGACUUAUUUUCGAACAUGUUUAUACUAGAGGAAGCCAAGUGCUCGGUAUCAUUUCGAAAGCCCUAAAACAUCUGGGAUGUCUACUCGGCUCACCGAUUGAAGAAGAGCUAGUUGUCCCAAGUACGUAAGAAAGAAUAUUGUUGUAGAUUUUCUAAUGCCAUUGGUGUCAAUGUGCAAGUGUACACAACAAGAAAUAUAAUGAUAAGUAUUCAAGAUCGUCUCCACAUGGAUUGUUGUUAUGAGAAUUGCUACUACAAUUUUAUCAGUGCAAUUUUUAUUCUAAAUUAGAAUUAAAACAAAUUAUUAAACUAAUGAACUAAUUAAGAUAAAAACUUGCAAUAAGGAAAAUGCAAUAAAAUAAAUUAUCACAGCAAAUAUAUGGAUGUAACCAAGGGGAAUGGAGUAGUUGAGUGAUUAAACUCACUUAAUGAUUUUGACUAUUUUUCUAAUGUUUGGUUCGAUUGCUACAACAUCUGCUACAACACUGGGCAAAAUUCUUAUGUAUCCUCAGCUGUCGCAUGCUGGAUAUCUUAUACCUAGAUGCAACUUAACAUUGACCAAUUGUUAUGCUAACAUCAGAUAUAACAUUACACAUUUUAGAUUCUAAUUACCCUACAAGGUGAAUCUCUAUAUCUAGUUCAUCACUAAUUUUAGAUUACGCAUGAUCCUUUUGAAUCAAGUUAAACCCAACUCAGGAAACCCAAUUUAAAACCAAGUAUUGUUCUGAUAUGUUCCACUAAGACAUGCCUUUUUUAGGCUCUUUCUUAGCUAGUACCACUAAAUGGGUGGUCAGCCGAAAUAGUGAAUUGAAAUAAUUACUAUAAAAACAACGAGCUAUAACAAACAUGCAGCAACAUAAAAUAUCACUCAACCACAAGUAAAUUUAGUUCAUAAUUUGCGAUAAAACAAGAAUCAAAAUAGUUUUAGCCAUCAAACAAUCUAUCAUAACAAGAUAAAAGCAAGAGAAUAAUAAAUAAGAGUGAGAUCCGCGUGAUCUUCUUCUUGAAUACUUUAUUGCAAUCGCCAAUUCUCUCUCUUGAUAUUUGUUUUCUCUUGUUUUGUUUCUCUAUUCCUUUUCUCUAAUGACGGCCCCCGCCUUUUUUCUUUGCGUGUGUGCUUGUUUUAUAUCUUAGAAUUAGGGCAACCGGAAGCUUAGGGCACGCAUCUUCCAGUUUAGGAAACUCUAGAUCGCUAUCUUCAUAGUAUCUUGUGUGAAAUCUUCUUUGUCAAUGCUCCAGGAUUGCUAUAGUAAUGGUGCUACAGCAACAUUGCUACAAUAACAACUUCAGCAUUUGCAUUGUUCCAUACUUGUUUCAAUUCUUUCUACCAAAUUCUUUCUUUAUCUUUACAAGCCUAUUGCGGUCGCAUUCCUUUCUUGAAAUUUGAACUUCCGAUCACCUACAAUUAUGUAUAUAGUCUAAGCACACAAUUCAUUCUCUAUCAAACAAAACUUAUUAAAAGUAAACUAAAAUGGAUGUUCAUGCAAAACAUUACUAAAUGUAAUAAAAACAUGUCAUUUACUAUAUAAGUAAUCAUGAUUUAAGUCUAAAUGUCUAAGAUGUUAAACCAUGCGAACCCUAUCAUUUUAUAGCUAGGAGAUCUUGCAACUAUGGAGGCUUUGAUUACAUUUGCAUCUUAGGCCCCUUUGAACAUUUGUCAAAAACCCAUCGGUUUAUUAAAUGUUAAUAAUUUUUAUGAUGGUUUGAUAGUAUUUCUUCAUGAUAUAGUUAAGAAUCAUUUCAUUCCAUUCACAGUGAAAAAGCUCUUUAUUUAUGCUUCUACUACUAACAAGUUACUAGAUCUUUUACAAACUUACAUACUAGAAUCAGAUCUUAGGACCUUUGCGUUGGAUUGGUCAACUAAUGAUGAUAGCAGUAGUAGUAUUAAGAGGUGCAAAUUAGAUUUAACCUUCCAUUUGUACAUAUUUUCUUAUGUUGCAGCAUUCAGGUGAUAUCUUCUAAAAUCUACAUUUUUUCUUUUUAGAUAUUGAGGACAAUGUCUCAUUCUAGUUGGGGAGAGAUAAUAGUUGAUAGUUGCAGAAUAACUGAUAGUUGUUUUCUUGUACUUGUGGAAUAACCUUUUCUAAAUUUUUGAGUUGAAGAUGGCCAAAUAUAGAGUUUAGUUACUCUAGAAACACAUCUUCCUAGUCUUGCAGUUUAGUUAAAAAAUAAUAAAAAUAAAAAUAAUAAAAUUUAAGGCAUUUUAUGUGAUAUUUUGAUAUUGGAUGACAUGAUAAUUUCUAAAUUUUAGUAUUUGCAUUAUCUCUAAAUUUUAGUAUUUGUAUUAUCUUUAGUUUUGAGUUAUGUUACACCCACUUUAUAUAUUGAUAUUAGUGACGAGUGUGAAUUUAGAAAUUUGAUGAGUGAAAUUGAUUGAGUUAUUUGAAGAAAUGCACAUGUUAUAAUAAGUUCCGAGUGAGUUUUUAAGCCUAUCAUUUUUCUUGGAGAGUAACCAUUUUUCCAAGUUUAUCAGUUUAUUAUUUUAUACGUGAUCUAUAUCUUUUUCUUUUGAGUCGACCAAUGAAAAAAAAAAGAGAAUUGUGUGUUGUUACAUUUGGAAGUCCAUUGAAUUAGUAGAUAUAAAAGACUAUUUAGAGUUCUAAAAAAUGACAGAAAUACCAUCUUUAAUCCAUUUGACCCUUUUCUAGCCAUCCCCAUUGUGAAAUAUCAAUAAUUACCUAUCUUAUGCCUAUAAAAAAAAAAAUAUUUUGUUUGUUAACUUAUUGUCUUAUCCCGCCCCAACUUGGUGUACUACCUUAUAUUUUAUGUUUUCCAUCACCUAUUUAUAUUUGAGAAAAACAUAGAGAAUUUUUUCUUUUUCAGAAAAGUGUUGCACUCUUCUCUCUCUCUCUCUCUCUCUCUCUCUCUCUCUCUCUCUAUAUAUAUAUAUAUAUAUAUAAUGAUAAUACAAAAGAGAAAAAAGAAAUAAAUAAAUAAAUAAAAGAACCUUGCAAUUUAUACUCUAAGUAUCAUUAACAUAGAGGACUAUUCCUCAUUAAUCCAACAGUUCUGAGAAAAAAUUUUAGCUCCAUUUUAUGUAAUUCUCUUUCUGUCUUUUAUUUUCUAUGUAUUUUAGUAUAAAAUCACCAUUUUACAUGUGGUUCAAUAUGAGUGGCUAAUUUCGUUUCAAGCUUGAGUGGAAGGUGAAGUCUCAACAUGGUCCAUGAGCUUAAUUUAGUAAGUUUAUUAACUCUUUCUCUGAUUUAUGUGGAUUAUUUUGACUCAUUGUUGGCGGACAGUAAUAAUCUUGUCUAGAUUUUGUACAAUAUAUUGGCUCCCUAGUGUAAGAUCAUUACUAUUUGGUAUGACAAGAACUUUACACUAAUUUAUUAGCGAGAAAAUCCUCUCUAGUAUUCGUGGUUUGUCUUGACUCAGUAUUGAUAGAAAAUACAUCUAAGUUAUUUAGUGGAUGGUCUUGCCACAUUACAAUAGUGAGAUUAUUAUCACCUAGUACAAUGUAUACUUGACAUCAUAUUUAGUAGAAGAUUAUUUUCCCUUGGCAUAAUAAGUGCUUGAUAUUAUAUUUACCAGAAUGAGGACUAUGAGGAGUGGAAAUACCCACUCAUAAACUAAUAGGAACUAAAAAGGAAUAAUAAGCUCAUAGUGUAGUGUUGUUUCAUCUUUAAUCUAUUCCACCAUCUUUUUAGUUUAAAUCUUAUUACUGUUCAAAAAUCAUAUCCAACCAAUUCGCGUAUAAACUAGGAAAAUUAACCUCACACAUAAUUAAAUCUACCUUCUCGUAUGAUCGACACUCAUCAUCAUUUAUCUAUACUACAAUAGGUUCGUGCGCUUGCAAGUACAAGAAAAUUUGCACAACAAUAUGCAUAAUUGAUAAGUAAAAUGUGUAUUUUAAUUUUCUAAUAUAUGGCUAAUUUAUUUCAAUUUAUUUUAAUUACUAUUUGACUUUAGUUACAAUUUUUAUUUUUAUAAUCAUAUACAAUAAAACCUUGGUAAAAAAUGAGUAUUCGAUAAAUUAAUAACCUUAAUUAAAUAAUAAAUUCUUUCAAUUCCCAACUUGGGGCAAAUGUACUAAAUUAAUGAUCUCGCUAAAUGCAUAAAUAAUAAUUUUUUGAAUACCUUAGGGCCCGAUGAAAAUGUAAAUUAGUAAUUAUCAAAAUACAAAAAAAUAUUAAUAAUAAAUAACAUUUAAAAUUUAUAAUAUUAAGGAUUUUUUUGACAACUUUAAUUUUCUCAAUUCUAUUUUUUUCAAAAUAUUUGUUUAAUGAUUUGAGACUAAAAAUAAAACUAGUGACUUGUAUUUAUGGAGUUUAUAUACUAGUGCAUUUAUAGAGUUUAUAUUAUAAGUACUUUAAGUAUUUGAAACACUUUAUCUUUUAGGGUAUUACAUUUGAAAACUACGUACAUCAAUCUUAUGUCUAUGUACAAUGUACUUACAUUAAUUUUUUUCACUUCUAUGUACAUGUUCAUAAAAUUUAUUAUUAUUAUUAUUCUUUCUUUUUUUAGAAACAUAUCUUGGUAACUGAAAAGUACACAUACAAAAAUGACACAAAUAAAUAAAAUAUAAAUUCUUCAUAAAUUUAUAAACAUUCAUUUAUUGAUAAAUUAACAAAUUGUUUUAUUGAUAAUAUAUAACCUAAAACAAUAAUAUAUAACAUAGCUAAGAUAAUAUUUUUUCUUAAUUCCAAUAAUAUUAUUUUAUAAAGGUUUCAUUGUAUUUUUUGGGUUUUGAAUUUCAAUAUUUAAAUUAUUAAGUUAAAAAUGGGGCAAGGGUAGAUUAUUAAAUUUAAAAGAAGAAAAGUUAGAGGGAAACAAAAGCACUUUUAGUUAGUAUGAUGAGUUAUUGGGUUUGAAUUAAAUUUAUAUGGAAUGGAAAACUUGUAAAUUACUAUAGUGCCAAACCUGUAAAUAGAACCGUGGCAGUUAUGUAUGUAAUGGCUUCUCUGUAAAUAAAAUUGAAAAUCUUCUCCAAAUUUUGAAGCCAACACUUAGAAUGGCAUGUUAGACGGGUGUUAGCUUGUCUGUAAUAGUAAAUUAUUUACGAAUAUUGUAAUAUUAUAAUAAAGAGUAGUGUUAGACAUCCCAAAAUUAGGAGAUAUUGAAAUUAAUAUAUAUCACUUACCCUCUAUUGUUUUUAUAAUACUCAAUAAUUUUAUGUUACCAUAAUUUAUAAUAUUACUCUUAUUUUCAAAUAUACUUUUAUGUAUUUAUUAUAAAUUAAAUAUAUUAUAUAAAUCGAAAUAAAAAUAAAAAUAAUAAAAAUACUUAUUCUUAUUUUUAUAAUUUAUAGUCUUUUUUUAUUAAAUAAAAAUUCAAAUAAGUAUUUCAACAAAUACAUAACAUAUAAACAUCUAAAAGUUACCACAUUGCAAACAAAAAUAUUGCCGUUGGCAAUUCUAAAAUCAUAAUUAAAACUUCAUUACAUAGUAAAUAAAAUAGGUUUUGGUGUAAAAUAAUAAUAAUAAUAAUAAUAAUCCGAUAUUUUUCUUUCAUUUUUAUAUUUUUAAAUAUUUUAUAUACAUUGCAAACAAAAUAUUGCAUUUUUAUUAGCAUUUGAGAUUAAAACCUAAUGAAAUUUAGAAUUAUUUUGCUGUGGAGUAGGGCUAUUUAAACCCACCAAACUACUCAAUAAACCCAUUUUUAAAAAUAAUUUUUUUAUGAUUAAAAUACCCUAAAUUAAAUUAUAGUUAUGGACAUUAUAAUAUAAUAAAAAGGAAAAAAUCCAGAAUUUUUACUCAUUGAACCCAUCUUUAUAUUCAACAUAGUUUUAUAGGACCUUAAUAAGAUUUUCAUUAAACCCUAAUCAAUCAAGAGGUGUGAUUCUUCUAUCAAGCCGUAUAUUUUUGUUAAAUGGGCACAUGUGAUUCGAUUAAGAAUAACAAAGUUGGUUGUUAUUGAUUUGAUGGAUAUUGAUUUUAUGGAGGAACAAAACAAUAUUGACAAUAAGUUGAAUGAUGAACAUGUAUGAAAUUUUUUUAUUUACAUUUGAUUUUUGUUUUUUUCCUUUUCCAUUCGAAAUUGAUAGAGAGAUACAUUCAAAACCUGCUAGUAAACUCCACAUGCAUGUGAGACUUCGUCAAUAGUAACAAACAAACAAAUAUUUGGUGUCCUUCAUCAAAGAUUUUUCUUUUCACUCCAAGAAAGUAGUUUCUUGUCCUUGGAGGUUUUCUUUCGGUGUCCUUUAUAAAUCAACUUCAAAUACCUUUAAACAACUAUCUCUGAUCUUUUUUUUUUUGUUUAUUUUUAUAACCAUAAAAUAUUUUAACUGUUAGUAUUUUAAAGAAAUAAGAGACAAAUUUUACUUGAUUCUUUGACUUUUCGUUUAAUUGCAUAAGUCUUCCUUGUGCACUUUAAUGCUUGAUUCUUUGACUUUUCUCUCUCUGUUAUGCACUGAUCUUUGCCUUUAAUUAGUUUUUGGUAGCCUAAUAAAUAAUAGUUGUCGUACUUAUAUCUUAUUUUAUUUGAAUUUGCCAAAAUAAUUUAGGUUCCUAAUGCAUCACUAACAAUUGCUUUUGCAAGUUCUGAUAUUUAUGGAGUUGCGAUUUUGGAUGCAAGUGAGCAGAUUAAAGCACGAAUGGAGCCAGUUGCUUCUGAGCAUUAUUUAACCUAUUUGUCGAGGUUCACUUCUUUUAAUAGUUUGUUUCUACAACUUUAUGUUUUUUUUGGUAGUAACUGUUAUUUUCACCUAUCUAAUACUAAGAAAAUUAUAUCAUUUUAGUUUUGUCUUUUGGUUUAUGUCUAUAAGCUUUAUAGAAUGCUACUUUUCCUUCAUUCUAUCAGCUAGUACUAUUGUGAAGGUCUUGCAUAGUAAACAAUAAAUCUUAUGUGUCAUAUAAAACUGAUUUUUUAAAUGUAUUUUAUAGUUUUAACAAUGAUAUUUUAUUAUAUGUAGGAUGAUGUUUCCAUCAAAUCUACCAAUUCUGAUGCACAUUGUGUGAUGGAUUAUAGCAGUGAAUUUACAACUCAUGAGGUAACUUUAGUUUGUAAUUAAUUUUGGAUUUUUUAAUGAAAUUUUAUUUAACUUCCAUGAGAUUUCUUUCUAUCUAGAUAUUCAAGCUUCAGUGGACUCGUAAUGUCAGAAAGAAAAAUGGUAUAAUGGUUGUCAUCAAGAGAUUUGAAGUGGGUUGUUGUGGUAAAAGACCAAGUAUCUUUUUUGGUCGUGAGAGAGGUGGAAAGUAUGAAAAAUAAAGAAGAAAGACAACCAAAAAGAUUCAAAAUCGAGAAUAACUAGUACAAAAAAAUGAGGAUUUUAAAUUAAAGGGUCGAAAGUUAGACACUUAAAACGACUGGAUGCUAAAGGUAAUGCGCGGAGUCCAUAAUCAUCCAAUUGCAAAACAUCUUGAAGGGCACUCAUUUACAGGGCAACUAAUUGCUGAAGAAACAUCAUUAUUAGUUGACAUGUCAAAAAAUAUGGUACAACCAAAAGAUAUUUUAGUCACUUUUAAAAAGAAUAUAUCUAUUUUUAAUGUUUCUACAAUGAAGUCAAUAUACAAUGCACGGCAGAGAUAUACGGUGAUUGAGAUUGCUGGCAGAUCACAAAUGCAACAACAUUUGAGUAAGUUAUCUGAACAUAAUUACAUUGAGUGGCAUAGUUGAUAUGACAAUACAUAUAUUGUGAAAGACUUGUUUUGGGCACACCCUAAGAGCAUAGAGUUGUUAUAUUUAUUUCCAAGUGCUUUGCUAAUGGACUGUACUUAUAAAGUCAAUAAAUACCAUCUUUCUUUAUUUGAGAUUAUAGGAGUCACAUCAACUGAUAUGACUUUUAAUGUUACUUAUGCAUACCUAAGUUAUGAGUGGGAAGAUAGCUACACAUUAGCAGUAGAUAGAUUGAGGGGUUUAAUGGACAAUGACUUUUUUCUAGGGUCAUUGUCACUGAUAGAGAGUUGGCUUUAAUGAACACCAUUGAUAAAAUAUUUCUUAAUGCAAAUCAUUUUUUUUUUUUUUGUAGAUGGCAUAUCAGUAGGAAUAUUAUAGCAAUAUACAAGAAGUUAUUUGCAGUAAAUGAUAAGUGGGAGAAGUUCAUAAUGAGUUGGAACUUAUGGAUGUUAUCUUCAAAUGAAAUUGAAUUCAUUGACCACUUUAAAAUCAUGUAGAGAGAUUUUGCUUUUUUUUUUUUCCAGCGGUGAUGGAAUAUGUAAUAGAUACAUAGUUGAACAACUAUAAAGAAAGAUUUGUUUCAGCAUGGACAGAAAAAAAUUAUGCACUUUGGAAAUUUACUACAAACAAGUAUAUAACAUUUUAAUUUUACCAAUAACUUAUUGGUUUUACUUAUUCAAUUUAUUUAUUAUAUUAUUAUCGUUGUUGUUGUUGUUGCUGUUGUUGUUGUUAUUAUUAUUAUUAUUAAUUUUUUUUACUAUUAUCUUUUUAAUAGGGUUGAAAGUGCACAUUCAAGGUUAAAGAAGUAUCUUUCCACAAGUCAAGGAAACUUUGAGACAUCAUAGGCAAAUAUACACAAUUUACUUCAGUUACAACAUACAUAUAUUAAAGCAUCAUUUGAGACAAGUUUGACAAUUGUUCAACAUCAAUUCAAGCCUGAAGAAUUCAAACAUAUUUAGGCUUCAUCUCUAUAAUUGCAUUAAAUAUAAUCCUCAGUGAACUGAAACGUGCUAUUUCUAUUAGGGUCGACCACUCUGCAUGUGGGUGUGUUGUUUGCCAAACACACGGUUUACCAUGUGCUUAUGAGAUUGCAUAAUACAAAAAAGAAUGUCAACCUAUUCCACUUGAGAGAAUUGAUCUAGAAGUGAAGACAAGAAGCAAAAGGUGGAGUUAAGUUGUUAGUCGGAGUUUGAGUUGAUUGUUAAGCAGCUUAAUAAGGGUUCGAUUAAAAUCCAAUUAGAUAUUUUGUAGCCAAUCUUGGGUGUACCUUUCUUUUAGAUCCAGAAGUGAAGACAAGAACACGAGGUCGACCAUCUAUCAAAGCUGAUACUUCUACCCGUUGUGACCCAUCUGCUUUUGAGAUAAUAUUAUCUGGCCAAGAAAGUUGUUCAGUUAAUGUGAAGAGUAAUUUAGUUAUAGCUGCUGUAUCAAAACCUAAAGUUAAACAUAGAGGAUGACCGAAAACAAAGGUAAUACAAAUUUAUACUUAAGUUAUUUAGUAAGUCAUUUAAUUUAAAUUUUUUUAUUAUAUAUAAUACUUAUAUUUGCAGGUUAACAAGAGCAUGCCAAUCAAAUCAAUUAUGUUUAUUGAUGAAUUUUCAGUUGGAUUACAAUCAUAUAUUCAUUACAUUAAAGAUGUUGUAGCUGAUGGUAACUGUGGUUUUAAAGAUAUACCUGACUUAAUAGCUUAGGUGAGGAUGGAUGGGUACAAGUGAGGAAAGAUUUACUAAAUGAGUUGUACUCUCACUUAGAUGAUUAUGGCAAAUUAUACGAACUUAAAAGAGUGAACGUGCUUAUUCACAUCGUUUCAUAUUAUGAGAAUUGGCCAACGUUGUCUGAUCGAUGGAUGAGUAUGCCUGACAUGGGUCAUCUUAUAGCAUCAUGCUAUAAUGUUGUCUUAUUCCACUUGUCCUCAAUACAUGCCUUGCAUUUUUACCUUUGAGAUCUGAGCCAGUGCAUAUACUAUCUCACAGAAAUAUUGCUCGUGGCUAUGUAUUUGGCAAUCAUUUUGUUGAGGUAUAAUUUGUUAUUUUAUUAAUUUAAUGUUGUUCCAUAUAUAAUUUUUUAUUAUUAAUUAUAAGCUUUUAUAGAUCAUGUUCCACCUAUAACACUUGAUUGGGGCACAUAUCAUCACCCUAUCGCAAACGGAUGAGAGACUUCAUAUACUUCUCAAAUACAACAUUUUAGAGAAAUUAUAAGUCCUAAGGUGGCUACUACAAAUAGAAUAGUUUUAGACAAUUGAUUUAUAAUACUAUUCAUAUGUUUAUUUAUUAUUUUUUUGCUUUAAUGUUGGCAUGCCAUUCGGGUCGUUCUUUUGGCUCAACGUUCAUGGAUAUGGAUGAUGGAUAUGAUUCCUAUAACUCUGUAGAAAUGAGAGAAGGGGGAUUUGGCAAGGUUGUAGAAUCUGGGGAAUACUUGUUUUAUGAAUAGUGCUCUCCAAUGCUUAGUCCAUAACCCCGAUCUGGUUCAAUAUUUCUAAGCAAAUUACAUUGAUGAGAUCAACACUGAAAUCCUUUGGGAAUGGCCCCUCACUCAAGCUAAAUUUAAUUAAAUUUCAAAUUAAUAAUCAAUUAUUGUCGUCUAUUAAUUUUUUCAAAUUGUAGUUUAGUAUUAAUGUGAUAAAAUCUGUUAAAGUUGUGAUCAAAGAAUAUUUCAUCAAUAAUCAAUUACUUAUUCUUCCAAAUUAUCAACACCGAGAUGUACAAGCAUUAAUCAAAUAGUCAAAUAUCAAUCCACAUGAUAGCAAGUAUUAAUUUUAUAAGUAUAACAUCUAAUAGAAUUCAUUUUAUCAUUUCAAUUUUUAGUCCAAAAUAAUUUCACAAACUGAUCUAGAACAUUCCAAAGAAUAAAAUCUGUUGGAUGCAUAUGCGAUGCUAACCUUAACAUACCUUGCUUUAUCAUGAAUGUAUUCUAAAAUGUUAAAAGCAAUAAAUUUAUUUCCUUUCCUUUUGCUUCUUUUUUAUUUUUUCAGAAGAAACUCGUUGACUUAUAUUCAAUCAAUUUUUUUCAGAAGAAUUUAAUGGCUUUGUAAUGAAUUUAAUGGGUUUAAUGAAUAAAAUCACCAUUAUUAUAAAAAUUGGGUUUAGUAAGGGAAUAUUAGAUAUUUAAGUGGGUUUACUGAGUAAAAUUUGAAAUUUCAAAAUUUGAGGGUGGAUUUAUUUAGUAAAUAGGGUUAUUGAGUAAUUUGGUGUAUUCAAAUAGUCUCAUCCUUUGUUGUGGGAAGAACACUCAACCCAAGUUUGAUUAAAGAAAAACUCUUGCUUCUGAAGUUAAUUUCUCCCAAUGAAAAAUUAUCUUCCUUCCUCUCAAAUCCUCCUCUGUCUCCCUAAGAUUAUGAUUUAAACAUUGUUUUCCAACAAUAAUUCUCAUUGCAUUUAUGAAAAUAAUGACAUCUUCGCCGCCCUUUGUGUAUUGUUCUAACUUAGUGUAAGACACUUUUUAAUUUAUGUGAUUUUUGUGCCCUAAAGUGGCCUAUGUAAUAGAGUUAAUAAUUAUUAUUAGUUAAUUAAUUAAUUUAAACUUCUUAUCCUUAUUUAUAUCUACCUAAAUUUUAAAAAACUUAAAAAGCAAUUUAAAGAGAAGUUAUAUUAACAUCCACUACUCCUAAUAACUUUUUACACGUUAAGGUAGUUAACGAACAUUGAGGGAUUGUGGCCCAUCUCUUUUUAUUGUAUUUAUAUUCUUCUUGACGGGAGAAGAAAAUAACUAAUUUCAGGAAAAAAAUAAAAUUAAGGGCCCCCAAUCCAACAACUUAAGUCGAUAUAUUCCAUAUACUCAUGGGUAUAUUGGUGUCGGAUAGACUAAAACAUUCUAGUGAAAUUAUAAAAUACAAUAUGAAAUCCAGAGGAACUGAUAGCUAUGGUUAGAGGAAAGUUCUUUGAAAAUAAAAUAUUCUUACAUUUUGGUAUCAGAGUAUGUACCUUUUUAAAUUUGGCUUUCGAUUCUUUGAGUGUGCUAGAAAUGGUGUUAUUAAUAUUAAUGACAUACCUAAUAUUAGUCAAUAAUUUUACAUCUUAAAUUUAUAUGUGUCUGCAAUAGAUGUACAUGUUAGUGCUACUUGCAUGCAACUAUAUAUAUGAGAACCUAAUAUACGUGGAUUUUAUAAGUGAUUAUUAAUUAGGCUACUAAAAUAUUAAAUUAGUAUGCUACAGUGAUAUGUUAAUUUGCCAUAUAUAUUGUACAUAUAUUAAAUGGCAAACUCUAUCUUACAUGCAUGUAAGAUACAUGCCUCUCACAUGAAUAGUGUAUAUAUGGGACCCACACACUAUUUAAAAUACCUUAAUUUUGUUAUGUGACAAAUUCAUUUUUAUGUGGCGUCUGGAAUACUAUUCUUGUUCGUUUACCUUCUAUUAUUUAUGUAUUAUUGGUAACUGAGUUUUGAUGUCAAUCUUAAAGUUUAUUACAUUUGAGUAGUUGACGGAUGGCCACAUCAUCUUAAAAUUAUAAAAAUGGAAUAAUUAGGACAUAUUAAUUUUAAUGACUUCAAAUGUUGUACUUAAACAUUAAAAUAUCAUAAUGUUCCUACACGGGAAUUAUAAUACUCGUAUAAGCCUAAUGAGAUAGUAGUGAUUUAUUCUUUUACUUAAAAUAUAUACAUAAAAGAAAAACUAAUUGCCCACAUGCUUGAUAAAUUUUGAUAAAAUAAUUGGUAACAUGUUAGGCCCAUUAUACAGAAUUAAUCAAUUGCAUGUUACAAAUUUUACCCAUAGGACAAUUAUAAUGAUGCAUUAAUUUAUUUUGGAAUCAUUUGAUGUAUAGAUUUUCCAAAUUUUAUGCUUUAAUUAUAGUUGGUAAACUCAUUAUUUAUUUAAUUUAUAGUCAUUCAAUCUUUAUAUGUUCCAAUCUAUGAUGCAUCUCACAUCCUUUUAUGAUAAUUUUAAUGACUGGAAGGAGAAAAUUCUCUUAAAUUGGAGCACAUGGACCUUGACUUAGCGCUUCAAUUGGAUGAACCAUCAGUGCCUACAGAAUUCAGUUCCAAUAAAGAAAGUAUCAUAUAAUCAUUGGGAGCAGUUCAAAUGCUUAUCAAGGCUCAUGUUGGAAAAAGCAAUAUGGGUCUAUUCCUAAUUUUACUAAUGUGAAAAAUUAUCUUAAUGCCAUUUAGCAAUAGUUUGAGACAUCUAACAAGGCAUUAGCAUGCGCUUUAAUGAGCAAAUUGUCAUCCAUAAACUCUAAAGGCAAAAAUCGUGCAUGAGCACAUUACGAAAAUGAGGGAUAUAGCUGCUCAACUGAAGUUUUUACAAAUUAACAUUUUUGAGCGUUUUCUAGUUGACUUUAUCCAUGAUUCACUCCCAUAUGAAUAUGGACUUUUCAAAACCUCCUAUAACACACAUAAGGAAAAGUAGUCCAUUACUGAACUUUUGACUUUGUGUGUGAAAAAGGAAAGGAGACUGAGUUAGGAGAGGAUGGAAAAUGUCCAUACAUUGACUCAUGGAAAGAAAAAUGACUAGACCAGGAAAAGAAAAGGAAAGGCAUCUCUUAGUUAAGUCAAUAAGAAUGUUGUUGAGUGCUUUUUCUGCAAAAAGAAACAACACAUGAAGAAGGUUUGCCCAAAUACAAGAUUUGGCUUAAAAAGAAACGUAAUCAUAUAUCUUUAGUGUGUUAGGAAUCUAAUAUGGUUAAAGUUUCUAAAACACUUGGAUUGACUCUGCUUCUAUAAUCCAUGUUGCCAAUACCACGUAGGGUGUCUUGAACUAAAGGAAACUAAUGAAUAGUGGAUAUGCAUUCUAUUUAGGGAACAAGAUCCCCUAUAUAUUGAAGCUACAGAGGCCUACAAAUUUUAUUCUUAAUUUUGGCUUUGUCUUAGACCUUGAUUAAACCUUUUAUAUUUACUUCUACAAACUUUAUCUUUGUUUCAAUACUUUUGCCUCUUGAUUUUAGUUUUAAUUUUGCUAGGAAAUCUUUUCAUUUGUUUAAAGACACUAUUGUUGUUGGUAAUAGAAUUUUAGAUGACGGUUUGUUUAAACUUUAUUUAAAUCCUACUUUUGAUUAUAACCUUAUGACUUUCCAUGGUAAUAUUGCUACAAAGAAAGGCGUUGUAAAUGAGAAAUCAUCCAUGUUUUGGCAAAAGAGAUUAUGUUACAUCUUCAUUGAAUGAAUCAAAAGAUUAGUAAAAGGUGGCGUCUUUAAGGCUCUUGAAUUUAUUGAUUUUGGUACUUGCAUAAACUACAUUAAGGAAAAGCAUACCACUAAGACCAAGAAAGGUGCUAGGAGGAGUUCCGACAUAUUAGAAUUAUACACACGAAUAUUUGUGGCCAUUUCUAGAAGUGUGCUUAAAUGGUCAGAAAUACUUCAUCUCUUUCAUUGACUAUUAUCCACGAUAUAAGUAUCACUACUUUCUCUAUGAUAGAUGCAAAGCAUUAGAUACUUUUAAAGUUUGUAAAGUAGAAAUAGAGAAAAACUUAGGAAAAUAAAUUAAAAUUAUCAGAUCAGGUAAAAGUGGAGAAUAUUAUAAUAUUAUAGUCAAUAUAUAAGAUAAGGACAAAGACCAGAUCCAUUUGUUAGGUUUCUAGAGGAAGAAGGCAUUGUUGCUCAAUACACAAUGCUAGGCUCGCCAUAUCAAAAUGAUGUAGUAGAAAGAUGAAACCAAAAAUUAAUAAACAUGGUUUGAAGUAUGAUAAGUAACUCCAACUUCCUAUUAUCCUUGUGGAGUGAAGCUCUAGAAAAUGUUGCAUAUCUACUAAAUAAAGAUCCAAUAAAGGUUGCUUUUAAAACACAUUUUGAAUUAUGGAAAAGUUAGGAACCUAGUUUAAAAUGUGCAUAAAUGUGGUUGUCCAGCCGAAGUUAGAAUAUACAACCUACAAGAGAAAAACCUAGACCCGAAGGCAGUUAAUGAUAUGUUUUAUUGGCUAUGGGGAAAGGUCUAGAGGAUAUAGAUUUUGUCAUCAAUCCUAUAAUUCUAAAAUUAUAGGAAGCAAAAAAAAAAAAAAAAAACGCAUUUUCAAGAGAAUGAUACACAUAGUUAAAGUACCUCAAGACUUGAUUUUUAAGCAAGAUCUAAGUUUCGAACCUACUCCUGAAUCUUCAUGAAAAUUAGUUGUUAUUCAAGAUAAUCAUCAAGAAUUACAAGAUUAUCAACAACCAAUUCUUAUCACACUUUUCACUUAACAAGAAAGAAUUGAUUAUCAUGAAACGUCCUUCAGAUCUCCAUUGAGGAAAGCAGUUUUCACAUCUAUUUAAUAUAAUUCCAUAUCAAAUGGGCCACUAACGCCAAGAUUAUCCGAAAAGAAUCCUUCUUAUAGACUAGUGAUAAUAUUUUGCUUGAUUUAAGUGAUUUGGGCUUGCUUCAUAAGGUUAAACUUUUUCUCUCACAAUAAUUUGUUAUGAAAGAUAUGGGUGAGGCUUCUUAUGUCAUUAGUAUAAAAAUUAAAAUACAUUAGGAUUAUCCUAAGAAACUAUAUCAAUAAAAUUCUUGAAAUAUUUUGUAUAAAUAAUUGGUUACCCAGUGUGGCAUCUAUUUCAAAGGUGCCAAAUUCAAUUUGACACAAUACCCAAAGAACAAAAUUUAAAGGGAAUAGAUGACCAAUAUUUGUUAUGCUUGCGCAGUUAAGAGCUUAAUGAAUGCUCAAGUUUGCACAAGGCCUGACAUUGCAUUUGCAGUAGGAAUGCUAGGAAGAUAUCAAUGCAUCUAGGUAGGGGUGGGCAUGGGUUGAUUUGGAUUGGGUUUUAAGUCAAUCCAAACUAAACCAUAAAAAUUUGGGCUCAACCCAAAUAUUUUUAACCCAACUUAAACCAACCCAUUUGGGUUUGGUUUGAAUUUUAUAAUCAAAAUACUUUUUAUUUUAAUAAAUUUAACUAUAUCAAAUUAUAAUAAUUAUUAAUUAGUAAAUUAUGAAAAAUGUAGUGGAUAAAAAUUAUGAAUAAUGGAUUUUACAAUAACUUCGUUCUUAAAUAGUAACCAUAUUACAACAAAAAUUUUAACAAUGUCAAUACAAAUUAAAGUAAGAUAAGAUAUCUCAACUCAAGUAUCAAAGCAAUCCAUCAAAAUUAAAUUAUUUAAUUUUAUAAAUUUGAAUCUUCCAAGAAAUAAAUCUAAAAUUUAUUGUAAUUAGAAAAAGCGCCAAAAUUUUAAAUGCAGUAAGAAAAAAUAGACAUGAAAUCUAAUUAGGUUUAAAUUUAAUUAAAAAAUAACAAUAGAAUCAUAUUUUAUUUGAUAAAAUCUUAUAAUCAAUUACAUUUUUAAUUUUAGUAAAUUACAAUACAAAUAGGACUAUAAAAUUAUAUUAGAGGAUUUCAUAAAAAUAUUGUUUGAGUAAUUUUAUUAAAAUGUUAAUUUAGUCUUUUAACUCAAGUUGAGACCGUAAAAAUUGUUAUAUAAUAGUGUACUGUACAAACAAUUGCAUUUGUAUUUGCCCUGUGCAGCACUUCUAUUAGUAUUAUAUAAUAAUAAUUAGUAGUAGUAUAAUUACUAUAUAAUAAUAAUUAUUAGUAGUAUAAUUAUUAUAUUAUAAUAAUUUUAAUAAAAAUUUAUUAUUAAAAUAUUGAUUUAGCCUUUUAUUUUGUUUAAUUUAUUUUUCAUUGAUAUGUUACUUUAAAUUUGUUCAUGACUUAUGGGUAAACCAUGCCCAAACCAUUAUGAAAUGGUUUCUUCCAUAAAAACCCAAAUUUAACCCAUCUCAUGAUUUAUCCAACCCAAACCAUUUUAUUUGGUUUGGGUUUAGGUAAACCCAUGGGUUUUGGGUUUAUGCCCACCCCUACAUCCAGGUGUAGAACACUGGAGAACUGCAAAAAAAGUGUUAUAGGAUCUUUAAGAAACCAAGGACUACACGUUUACUUACAGAAGGUUUGAUCAUCUAGAGGUGGUUGGAUAUUCAAACUCUGAUUUUGUUGGUUACUUUGACACUAAAAGUUCAACUUCAAGAUAGAUCUUCUUAUUAGCUAGAAGAGCUAUUUCCUGGAGAAGUGCAAACAAUCAUUAAUUGCUAUCUCAAUUAUGAAAAUAGAGUUUAAUUGUAUCUUAUUUUGAAGCAUCGACAUAGGCUAUUCAACUCAAGAGUUUCAUUACUGGAUUAGGAAGUGUUGAUUCUAUUUCCAAACGACUAAGGGACAGCUGCAACAAUUUUGCUACAAUAUUUCUAGCUAAGAAUAAUAAAAGUGUAUGUGGAAGAAAGCAUAUCGACAUUAAGUACUUAGCUCUUAAGGGAGCAUGUCAAAUCAUAAAAAGUGGUUAUUGAACACAUCAAUGUGAAAUUGAUAAUUACAGAUCCUCUGAUGAACGAAUUACCACAAAAAAUGUAUAAGAAACACGUAGAGCACAUGGAACUCAAUUCUAUUAUAUAAAUUUCAUGUACUUGAGAUACCACCAAAAUGUUGUCUUAUAAAGUUUGUAUUCAUAUAGUUUAAACAAUGACAAUAUGCAUAUAUAUUUCAAAAAAAUAAGAUCCAAAAUGAGCAUUUGGAAAGUUUUUCAUUCCGUAUAUGACACAUAAAGUACUCUGAUAGGUCCCAGUCAAAUUACAAUGAAACCUCAAUAAAUUUGGCUUUCUUUAGGUGAAAGUCAACCACAGCUUUGAGCAAAAUUUUUAACGUUCUUAUUCAGUCCCAAAUAAACUCCUUAAAUAGAGUUUCAAUACAUCAAACCGAUAGCAACACUAACUCUUAAACUUCAGCAUGUUAAAACCAUGACAUAACUAUUAUUCUGGAGGUGACUAACCACCUUUGACUAUGACCAAGCAAUUUGAAAUAAAAACAACAACUAAACUGGAAAAGGACAAGUCAAUCUUAAGCUAAAAACUUGGGAUUUUUCUUGGGAAUUCCGAAGAAUCUUCUCGGUGUAUCAAUACUUCCCCCCACAAGCGGAACCUUCUCCUUAAGGUUGAACACAAGAAAUUAUUGUUUGAGCAUCUGCGUUUCCUCCCAAGUAGCAUCUUCCGCAGGCAAAGUCUUCCACUGCACCAAACUCUCUUCAAUAAACUUGGUACCAUGCCUUACCCAUCUUGUAUCGAUCACCUUCUCCGACACAACUUGAAUCUGUCCUUUAUCAGACAUUGGUGGCAGGUCAACAACGUCAUAAAGAAAAGUACCGACAUACUUCUUUAAGAGAGAAACAUGGAACACUGGGUGAAUCUGAACUGCAGGUGGUAAACAAAGACGGUAAGCUACCUUGCCCAACUUCUGCUCAACUGGAAAUGGGCCAUAGAACCGGCUGGCAAGUUUGUGAUAGUCGCGUUUGAACACGGAUUGUUGGCGGUAGGGGUGCAAUUUUAGAAGCACCAAAUCUCCUUUUUGAAACUCCACUUCUCUUCUCUUUUAAUUAGCUGCAUGUUUCAUUCUAGCGGCAAACAACUCCAAAUUUGUCUUCAGUUGUUGCAGUACUUCAUCUCGAGUUAGGAUACUUUGAUCAACCUCACUAACAUGAGACAAACCCUCUGUAUAGUGAGGAAUGGAUGGAGGAAGGCGACCAUAUAAGGCUUGAAAUGGUGUCAUCCCUGUCGAGCAAUGAUAUGUGGUGUUAUACCAAUACUCUGCCCAUGGUAGAUAAGUAUACCAUUUACGAGGCCAUUGAUGGACGAAACAUCGCAGAUUCUAUUUGAGACAACAGUUCACCACCUCCGUUUGUCCAUCCGUUUGAGGAUGAUAUGCUGAACUGAGCUUCAGCUUAGUACCUGACAUGGUAAAAAACUCUUGCCAAAAUUUGCUUACAAAAAUAGGGUCUCGAUCACUAAUGAUAGACUUCGGCAUUCCAUGAAGUUUAGUAACAUGUUCCACAAACUUUUCAACAAUGAUUUUUCGUUGAGAAAUGAUGAGAUAAAGCAAUGAAAUGAGCAGACUUACUAAAACGAUCCACGAUCACCAUAAUACUAUCCUUACCAUGUGAAGAUGGCAAUCCUUCGAUGAAAUCUAAUGAGAUGUCAUCCCAAACUAGACAAGGAAUUAGGAGUGGUUGGAGCAGUCCAGCUGGUACUUGUGUCUCAAAUUUCAUCUUUUAGCAGGUUGCACAUUGUUGAAUGUACUCUUGUAUAGAUUUGUGCAUAGAGGGCCAAUAAAAUUGCUGAGCUAGCCGUUUGAAAGUCUUUAGAACUCCAGAAUGCCCAGCCACCUUACUGUCAUGAAACUCUUAGAGCAGCUGAUCUCGUAGGUGCAGGCGGAACCACCACUCUUUGAUUGUAAAAACAUAGCCCAUUCUUCACUACAUAAUUGCCCGUAUGAUCAUUUACUGCCUGCUGGAAUAUUUUUUUCAUGUACAAAUCCGUUUAUGCUGCCUCUCGAAUGUCAUCCCAUAAGGAAACCUGUGAAAUAAAUAUUGGAUUAAGGAGAGGGUUGUUGGGAGGGGCAAGAUAAAGCAUCCGCCGCUAAAUUUUCUUUUCCAGACCGAUAUUUUAUCUCAUAGUCAUAUCCAAGAAGCCUAGCAACCCAUUUCUGCUGCUCGGGAGUGGUUACUCGUCACUCUAAGAAGUAUUUGAGACUUAGUUGGUUGGUUUGAAUGAAAAGCUUUUGACCCAAGAUGUAUGGUCUCCAUGUCCGAAUGGCCUCCACAAUUGCUAAAAUCUCUUUGGCAUAGAUUGACCAGGUACGUUUACUACUCCCCAAAGCUCGACUCAUGUAUGCAAUUAGUCUCCCUUGCUGAGUGAGAAUAGCUCCAAUUCCAUCCCCAGAAGCAUCAGUCUCGAUAGUGAAUGGCUCGUUGAAAUUAGGCAUGGCGAGAGUGGGUGUGGUUGUCAUAGCUUGUUUGAGCAUUGUGAACGCACUAGCAGCAUCCUCAUCCCAUUUGAAAUUCCCCUUCUUGAGCAAGUUGGUGAGGGGACGAGCUAGUACUCCAUAACUACGGACAAACUUCCUGUAAUAGCCUGUCAAGCCUAAAAAACCACGCAAUUCAGUAGUAUUAGUGGGUUGUGGCCACGUAACCAUAGCCUCAAUCUUCUUACCAUCUACCUUGACACCUUGAUUUGUCACGAUAUAGCCCAAAUAGUCCAAUUCAUGCUUACCAAAGUCACAUUUGUUUGCUUUGACGAGAAAGCUGUGUUUCUUCAAAAUUUCUAAUGUCUUCCUCACAUGAGUUAAAUGCAAUUCCCAUGUAGGACUAUAGACUAAUAUAUCAUCAAAGAAAACUAAUAUGAAUUGUCGAAGGUAAGGCUGAAAAAUAAAAUUCAUUAUGGCUUGAAACGUAGAUGAAACAUUACAUAACCCAAAGGGCAUAACAAGAUACUCAAAAUGUCCAUUAUCCGUCCUAAAUAUAGUUUUCAGAAUGUCGGGAGCAUGUACUCGUACUUGAUGAUAACCAGCUCGAAGAUCCAAUUUAGUAAAAUAGGUAGCGCCGUAUAACUCAUCCAACAUGUCGUCCACUGUUGCAAUGGGAAAUAGAUCUUUGAUUGUGGCAGUGUUUAAUGCUCUGUAAUCUGUGCAAAACCUCCAAGUAUCAUCUUUAUUUUUUACUAGAAGGACAUGAGACGAAAAUGGACUAAUGCUUGGUCGGAUGAUUCCUAAGUUCAGCAUUGCCUGCACUUGUUUUUCAAUUUCUACCUUCUGAAAAUACGCAUACCGAUAUGGUUGAACAUUGAUGAGCUGGGUUCCUUUCUUAAGGGGUAUAUGGUGGUCGAUUUCUCGUAGUGGUGGCAGCUUAGAGGGUUCUUGAAAGACAUCCUCAAAUUCGCUUAAAAGUUGCUGCAUAUCUGGUUGAAUGCCAUUCCAGGAAGUCUUCCAAGUUUUGAAGAUAAACAGCAAAGACCAUCUGACCCUGUCGAUGCUCUUUUGCAACAGUCUCUAGUGAAGUCACUUGAAUGGGCCUUUGUAUCCCUUGCAGCAUUCGUGCUUGAUUGUCCCAAUUGAAAUCUAUGGUUAAAUGGUUCCAGUUACAAACUAUCGACCCCAGCAUCUCCAACCAUUGUAUUCCUAAUACCAUGUCUAGUCCUGCUAAUGGCAAAGAGUAGAAAGUAAGAGAGAAUGGAAUGCCUUGUAAAUCGAUCGGUACAUUCUCAUAUCGCCCUUGACACAUGAGUCGUUCUCCGUUGGCGACAUGGACUGUGAAAGACUUUGUAGAAACCACUGGGAGCCAUAGUGUGCUAGCUACUUUUUCGUUCAAAAAAUUAUGUGUAGAUCCACUAUCGAUUAACACCACUAUUGGUUGCGACUUGACGGAAGCAGCUACUGGCAUGGUCCGUGGAGAUGACCAUCCAAUCAAUGCAUGUAUAGAAACUUCCAAUUCCUCUUCUCUAUUACCUUCGCUCUAUGCCUCUUCUUCAUUCUCCGGAGAAUUGUCAUGGCCUUGGAUGAGUAGCAGUUGAGGCCUUUGGCACUUAUGGCCUGGUGUGAAUCAUUCGUUGCAGCUGAAAAAUAGCCCUUGAGCUCGUCGUUUUUGCAUCUCUUUCCAGCCCAAGCGUUUAGGAGCUAUUGCUGCUUUUUGAUUGACCAGAUUGUCGGCAGCCGGCGGCUGAUUUUGUGGGAUUGGCCGAGCAAACCUCUUUUGUCGUGUAAGCUAUUCGGCUCUCGUCCUGGAUAAAUUGAUGGCCUCUUUUAGUGAUUUUGGCUUGAACAUUUGUAUCCCAUCAGCUACCUCCGGUUUUAACCCGCCCAUGAAAGUUCCCACGAGAGCCUUUUGAGUCCACCCCUGUACCCGAUUGCCCAAUUUCUCAAAUUCACGUUGAUAAUCCCGAAGAGAUCCAUUUUGUGUUAUAUGUGAGAGAGCCUUGUCAAAGUCUUCUCAAUUUGUUGGUCCAAACCGUGCCUAUAGCUCUUCAACAAACAUAGUCCACGUCACUGUUCGAUUUUCUUCCUUGUAUGUCUGGUUCAACCAUUGCCACCAUUGGUUCAUUUCACCUUCCAGGUGGAAAGACACCAAGUCACCUUUUGAUCUUCAGGAGUUCUUUGAAAUUCAAAGAACUGUGCCACUCUAUUUAACCACUCUGUUUGAUCAUCUCCUGCAAACCGCGGAAACUCAAUUUUGGCUCGAAGAGGGGGUAUGUUCCAACAAGAACUUUCUGUUUCGUCAUGUUGGUACUAAUGCAUGUGUCCUUGCUUCACUGAGUGCAACGACUGAUAUGCCUUUGAGGAGAGAACCGCAUUGGAUAAAGCCUUCAAAGACUCCUCUAAGCGUUGCAUACAAUCGUUCAUUUUGAGCCCAGCUUAUGCACCUCAUCCUGUAAGCCUCCCACUCCUUGCUCCAAUAUUUCAAUGCACUCUUUGUUGGUUGUCAUUGUAGCUCUGAUACUACUGAUAGAUCCCAGUUAGAUUACAAUGAAAACUCAAUAAAUUUGGCUUUCUUUGGGUGAAAGUCAACCACAGCUUUAAGCAAAAUUCUUAAUGUUCUUAUUUAGUUCCAAAUAAACUCCUUAAAUAGAGUUUCAAUACAUUAAACCGAUAGCAACACUAACUCCUAAACUUCAGCAAGUUAAAACCAUGACGUAACUAUUAUUCUGGAGGUAACUAACCACCUUAACUAUGACCAAGCAAUUUGAAAUAAAAACAACUAAACUGGAAAAGGACAAGUCAAUCUUAAGCUAAAAACUUGGGAUUUUUCUUGGGAAUUUUGAAGGAUCUUCUCGGUGUAUCAUACUCACAUUAAGACAAGACUACCUUGUAAUAAAUGGAAGGAAAAACUUAUUUUUUAAAGGACUUGCCAGCACGAUUCAUGGUUUUUUAUUUUUACUUUGCGUAUGAAGUUAAAAACAUAUAGAGAGAGUUAAAGAUAAUGAGUUUGUGAUGAGAUAGACAAAGUGGGAAAUUGUAAGAUACAUUUUUAAUUUAUGUGAUUUUUAUGUCCUAAAGUGGCCAGUAUAUUUAAAUUUCAAAAUAUUUAAAGAACAGUUUAAAGAGACGUUAUACUAACAUCCACUACUUCUAAUGUCUUUCUACACGUUACGGUGGUUGAUAAAUAUUGAAAAAUUAUGGUCCGUCUCUUUUCCUAUUAUUUAUAUUCUUCUUGACAGGAGAAGAAGAUAACUAAUUUCAGAAAAAUUAAAAUUAAAAGUUCUUGAUCUAACAACUUAAGCCUGUAUAUUCCAUUUACUCAUCGGCAUAGUGUUGGUGGAUAGACUGAAAAAAAUUCUAGUGAAAUUAUAAAAUACAAUUUGAAAUUUUGGAGAAUUUGAUAGCUAUGGCUGGAGAUAAGUUCCUUUGCUUCCACUACAAUUUUAUAAAAAUCAAACAUUCUUACACUUAGAACUAAGUGUUGGGAAAAUAUGCUCUUUAAAAGCGUAUGUGUUUAUUUAAUUGUAAUAAAUAAUUUUUCUGAUUAAUAAAAUAAAUGAGGUAUUUUAUUCAAAUAUUUUAAUUACAUUAAUAUUUUUAUUAAAGUCCAUUUAAUCAUAUUAUAUGUAUUUAUGUGAUCACCAUGUGGAUUCGCAGAAGACAUAAAUACAAGUUAUCUUAUGAUUAAUAAAUUUAAUUCGCAGUUGAUAAAUAAAGUUGGGCACUUUAUUUAGGUAUAGACUGUAAUAAAUUCAUUGAAUGAUUUUUCUUAAUCAUGUAUGAAUUUAUUGAUGUAGUACGACUACAUUGAACAGGAUCACAUAUGAGAUUUAAUUAACUUUGUAAUAACUGUCAGACUUAUUAAAUCUCAUAGGCAUUGAUUUUACUGUAAUCUUAAUCUUGAGUUAAUUAUGAUUUCAUAAUUGUAAUUGUUAUUCCAUUUAAGUUACCAAUGGGCAUGACACAUACUUGUGAAAUACAAGUAUGCAACCCAAGAGGAGGGGUGAAUUGAGAUUCUAAAAAUUAUUUGAAUCUAAAACAAAUUAUAAUGUAAAUCUAAAAUGAAUUUAAUGGAAUAACAAUUAAAUCAAAUACAAUAUAAAAAGAUAAGGGAAGAAAGAUUCAAACACGAAGAUUUUUACGUGGUUCGGCCAACUUCGCCUACGUCCACGCCUCCAAGCUUUCCAGGCUUGAGGAUUUCACUAAGCAAGCCUCCAAGGCUUCAAAUGCUUACACUUGACUUCCAAGGUAUCAAUGAUCCUUUACAACAAGAGAUUACCCCCAAUCUCUUAACCCAAGUGUAUCCCAACACUUACAAUCACUCAAAGUAAAAGAUUAAAAAUUGUUUUUCUCUCACACAAUAUUUAAGAUUACAAAUCAAUGCCCAAUGUGUGAAUAGAUGAAGCAAGAAUGUGUUUUAAAGCUCUAUGAAGAUUGUAUUCUCGAAUAUAAGCUCAAUGGUCGUGUUGUGAUCAGAUCUUGUUUGAAUUUGAAUGAGCUUAUUUAUAGAUGAAGCUAGAAACUAGUCGUUAUUGACUUUCUGUACACUGUCGGAUCGUCGUUAACUAGAUGUCGGAUCACCAUUUGACUGGUCAAUAUGACCGUUGGGCUGGAUUUUCAAAUUGUCGGAUCGCCGUUAUCUGGAUGUCGGAUCACCGUUUAGGUCCAGAGGCUAAUCUUCAGUUCUGUUCGAUAUCGGCAAGCCAUUUAUCAAAAUUGUCGGAUCGCCGUUUAGGUCUAAAGGCUAAUCUUCAGUUCUGUUCGAUUUCGGCGAGUCAUUUAUCAAGCUUGUCAGAUCGCCGUUUUCCACAUUCAUUGCUACAGUGAACUAUUUUGCAAAAGAACAGUUUGUCUCCAAAUCUUUAUAAAAAAAAACUUUAUAAAACUUAUCAAAAUAGAUCCAUUUACAGGAUUUGAAACAAUAUUUGUUAUUAUCAAAAUUCUCAAAGCUUUUUCAAUUGAAACCAUUAACAUGAAAAUAACCAAAAAAUAUUUUCAUAGAAUAAAAGUGAGAAUGAUGAUUUAAAAGUAUAUGAAAAUUAUUUUGAGCUUUUAAAAGAUUAAUCAAUCUUAAUCAAGUUUGUUAUCAUCAAAAUCAAAAAUAACGAAAUAUUUAUGUUAACAACUUGUAGUCUAGAUUACCCGGUAUCUUGGUGGGAGCAUUUAUGAGUAUUGGAGUUAUAGAUUAACAAUAUAGAAUUUGUACAACACAUCUCUUGAUGGGUUUUCGGCACUUGAUCAUAGAAUUCUCUGGCCAGAGUGUGUCAACAUAUUUAGUAUGUUGAAAAUGAUCAUUAGAGAAAAUCAGUAAGUAUCAAGGAAUAAGAUGUAAUUAAAUCGAUUGGACAGUUGAGAUGUCGAUUUAAUUAACGAUGUGGUACAAAAGAUUAUGUAGUAAAGAAAUCAAUGUGGCUUGGGACGAAUUAUCAUUCGAGCAUACAAUUAUGGAGGUCAGUUCCAAUCUUUCAUUGGAGUAGAUUUGGAAUUAAAUAAUUGAGCUAGUUUAAUUACAAGCCUAAUUAUUAUAGCCACUAUUGUAUGUUCCCAAAUGAUCCCCGGAUUAGCUCAUUUAAUUGACUGCACCACUAUUGGAUUAAUAAGCAAGAUAACUAGUCAUUUGGGUCAAAAGCCUAAAUAUAUCAUUUAGUGGGAAGCUCCAUUUAAUAUGCUUGUGUGUAAGGGGCUUUAUGUUAUUUUACAAGAUGGGCCCCCUAUAGAAAAAGCAAGUAACAUGGCUUUUGAUUUUCAUUAUUUGGAGCCUAGGGUUUUCACUAAAGAGAGAUAUAAAAAGACUUAUUUUCUUUAAAAGAAAGAGAGCAGUCACUUUAUACAGAUCAGAGAAAAAGAUUUUUCUCUCUAUUGUUGAGAGAAAAAUUUUCUCGUGCUAGUUGCUUUAGUGGUGAUAAAGGCGCCCACACGUCAAGUGCAGAUCAAACUUGAGUCAUAACCUGGAAGAUCAUUGGUGACAGUUCGUGAUCUAACAAGCGUGGUGGUGACGGAUCGUGAUCUAACAGGAGUGGUGGUGACGGAUCGUGAUCUGGGAGCCUAAAUCACUUCAGCGGAAAAAGCCAAAUCGGAUUUUCAAAGUACGAUUUCUAGAUUA
rnacentral:lncRNA from 1 species